UACGAUCAACAUGUUCAUGGUAUUUGAUGCCCACAAUAUAACUUGCAAGCAUGCAAAAUUACACACAGAUUUGCAUAAAAAUAGGGGGUUUUAUUUUAUUUUAAUUUUAUCAUGUUUUGGAGACAACACGAAAGAAAAACCCAAAGAUAAUAUAUUUAUUUUUCAUCAGUCAUAAGCACCCCCAAUACUUAGGCUGAAAGUUGAUCCAUCAGCACUUAAUCGGAACCGCUGAAGCCUUUAUUGUAAGCAUAUUCAACAAGGGAAUCCAACUCAUCAUUGGUGCAGUCGAUCAAAUUGUCCUUAUUUUUAUCAGCAACGUCCAUGGCCUCUUCAACUUGCUUGUUUGGCGUGAGCGCACCUAGAUGUUCAAAAGCAUCCUUGAGCUGGUCCCUGGUGAGGCUGCCCUGCUUAGAGUAAGAUCGAAACACUUGUUCCAAUUUGUUUUUCUGAUCCUUGUUAUCCUUUGUGGCUUGCAUUGUGGAUUUGAGGUUUAUGACAGGGUGAUAUUAGAGAGAAGGCUUGCUUAGCUUGGUUUGGUUUUUUUUUUCAAUGCAAUUUGUUUAUAUAGACCCAAAACUCUGAAUACUAUUCUGUUGAAGUGUCGGGGAAUAAAUCAUUUUUUGGUGGUGGGUUUUAAAUUUUGAUUUCCAUCCUUUUUAUCAAUAAAUUAAUAAAUCAAUCAAUAAAUUUUUAUAAUGAAUACUUAAAAAAAAUAUUUCAAGAGAAUUGGUACGAAUAAAAAUAUUAAUGUUAAUUUCUUCUUUUCUUCUGGCUUCAAAUUAACCACAGAUUAGAAAAUGCUAAAUAGCAGCCUCCCCUAUCUUGUGUCGUAGUGAUGAUACAAGGCUCCACUAUCUUGUAUCCAUUUUCUAUUGUUUCAUUUGUUUUAGCCCUCAUUUGCCGUUUUUAAUUUUUUUUUUUUUUUUUUUUUUGUGGUUGCCUGAUUAAAUGAUGCAUUUUGGUCCAUUUGGUUUUAAUGAAUUUUCAAAAUGUGGUAGAUCUCGUGAAAGGAGUUCUAGGAAGUACUUUGAUGAGCAUGCUUGUAAAUUGUGAUAAUUAUUGUGUAUGAAUGUUAAGUUAUCCAAAAAUAAGUAAGUUUAGUAUUAGGACUUUCUUUCUUUUAUUGUUCGCUGUAAAUGAUUCUGGAGCAAAGCAAACUGCUGUCAAACUAAUUAAUUGCAUUGUACCACUUUCAGGAAUCGUGGCUUUAGUAGGUUAAAACCGUAUACAUGUUUCUUUCUCAUAUGUUCUUAAUCUGGGUAGGAUAGAACUAAGUAUGGGCUAUUUCAAUUCCUUUGCACCUUUUUUCCCUUGUUCUGUAAGGUUUUCUCAACCACCCUUUUCAAGGGGAAAGCUGUAAUAUAUAUAUAUUUUUUUCUUUUCUUUUUUUUUUUUAAAUUAGAUAAUUUUGUAAAAAAAUUAUAUUGAUGGAAGUAUUUACAUGUCAUCCAGAUUUAAUUUUUUCAAUCCUUCAUUUUUUAUAAAUCUUUAUUUUUAAAAAGUUCAUAACAAAAAUUUUUACAAAAAUAGAUCACCAUUGCUAAUAUUGCAUGACAAUUCAUUUUUUUUUUUAUUUUCGUUUUGAUUUUUUGAUUUUUAGUUUUUUUCUUCAUUUAUUUUUUAUUAGAUCAAUUGUUUUAGUGAAAAAAUUCCAAUGAAUGUGCCCGGUGGCAUCUUAUUUUAUUUUUUGCCAUUCAUUUUUUUUAAUUGGAUAAAUAUUACAAUAAAAAAAUUAGUAUACAAAUUUUUUAAGAUAAAAGUCAAUUGAGGUAAAGACAACAAAAUAUCUUGUAUCCGAUCUGUUUCGUUCCUGUGGAUCCAAUCGGUGUGCCUUUUUUUAAAAAAAAUAUUUAAGAUUGAAAUUCUUAAAAAAUCUGAAUUAUUACGAAAUUAUAAUAGCAUCGUCUACUAAAAUAAUUUUGUAAGAAGCCUUUAUGAAUUAAGAAACGGAAAACUUAUAAUUGAAAAAUGAAUUAAUUAAUAGCAGGAUAGAAAAAAAAUUUAAAAGAUUACAAUUAGUAAUUUCAUAAUCAAAAAAAUGAUUUUUUUAAAAUUAAUGUAAAAUUGUGUUUUCUAAACCAAAGCAAUGCACAAAUUAAUCUUUCAUAUAUGCCUCAAACAAUUUAAUAAAAUUACAAAAUAAUUUUAACUAUUUCCAAAAAUGAAAUCUUGAUAUAUAUAAUUUUGCUAAACAAGAUAUUUAGACUUUUGAUAAUUAAAGUUACCUUCAUAAAUGAAAUCCCACUUGAAAUCUUGCAAUUAAUCAACUCAUUUUGAUAUUUUAAUUCUCAUCAAAGUAUAACUUCUUUUGCCUGCUGAAACCAGCAACAAUAUGUACUUCACUUUUUUUGUCAAAUAGCACAUGCAAAAACAUAUGCAUAAGUGUGUGUAAAAAUAAAGAGAAUUAAACAUUUAAAUUAGAUUCAUCUAUAUAUAUAUAUAUAUAUAUAUAUAUACACUCUAUUUGCUUUUCUUUCGAAUAGGUUGACUUUCAAGUUUUCUCGAACCUUUUAUCAUGUUUUUAAGUAAUAAAAAUUUUAGUGUAUGGUUUAUAAUAGUACGAUCAACAUGUUCAUGGUAUUUGAUACACACAAUAUAACUUGCAAGUAUGUUAAAUUACACACAGAUUUAAAUAAAAACAGGGGGUUUUUUAUUUUAUUUUAAUUUUAUCAUGUUUUUGAAACAACAUGAAAGAAAAAGACCCAAAGCUAUACAUUUAUUUUUCAUCAGUCAUAAGCAUCCCCCAUACUUAGGCUGAAAGCUGAUCCAUCAGCACUCAAACGGAACCGCUGAAGCCUUUAUUGUAAGCAUAUUCAAUAAGGGAAUCCAACUCAUCAUUGGUGCAGUCGAUCAAAUUGUCUUUAUUUUUAUCAGCAACGUCCAUGGCCUCUUCAACUUGCUUGUUUGGUGUGAGUGCACCUAGUUGUUGAAAAGCAUCCUUAAGCUGGUCCCUGGUGAGGCUGCCCUGCUUAGAGUAAGAUCGAAACACUUGUUCCAAUUUGUUUUUCUGAUCCUUGUUAUCCUUUGUGGCUUGCAUUGUGGAUUUUGAGGUUUAUGACUGGGUGAUAGAAGAGAGAAGGCUUGCCUAGCUUGGUUUGGUUUUUUUUUUCCAAUGCAAUUUGUUUAUAUAGACCCAAAACUCUGAAUACGAUUCUGUUGAAGUGUAGGGGAAUAAAAUCUAUUUUUUGUGGUGGGUUUUAAAAUUUUAUUUCGAUUGAAAGGAAACACUAUAAUUGUAUGACAAUUUCUUCAUUUGAAAUUUUUUUAAAAUAUCCAUUUUAUUAAUAAAAUUAAUAUAUCGAUCAAUAAAUUUUUAUAAUGAAUACAAAUAAACAAAUAUUCCAAGAGGAUUGGUACGAAUAAGAAUAUUAAUGUUGGCUUGAAAUUAACCACAGAUUGGAAAAUGCUAAGCGUAGUGGUAGCAGCCUCCCUUUCCUGUGUCCCUAGUGAUGAUAGCAGCCUCCACUAUCUUGUAUCCAUUUUCUAUUGUUUCUUUUGAUUUUGCAGGUGAAAAGGCUAGACAACGAAGUCAGGAGUAAGGAAUCUAAACUCUCACCUGUCCAAAUUUGAGCUGUUUCUACACGAAAAAGUUUGAAAAGAAUCGUCUUGUUGCUCCUGGUUGGACAGAACUUGAUCAUACACAUUGAUUUUCUAAAAACUUAUAAUUUGAUGGAAGUGUCUUGUCUGUAGGAUAAUUUGAUAUUAUUGGUUAAAAAUAUUGUUAUAACAUAUAGAUUCAUGGAUCUAUCAUAGACAUAAACUUUAAGAGUCGCUACUAUUUUCUUUUUUGUUUAGGUGUAAUUGACCAUUUAAUUGAAUUUGUCUUAUUUAAAGAGGAUAUCUAAGAUAGACUUAGGCAUUUUUAAAUAGUAAAUUUUAAAAUCCAUGAAAUCAGAUUUAAGGUUCAAGAGUGCAAUUAUACAUGAGGAAGUUUAUAGCACCAUUACAGUGCCUAUCCAAAAGAUGGUAUCAAUUUGAUUUCAAAUUAUCUAAGCCUUGAAAUAUUCUUAUAAUUAUACUCAGUAAUUUAAUUAUUAAAAAUUAAUUCUAAAAUUACUCUAAUAGUUGAGUAGCAAUGUAAGAUAAUUUUCUCAUCUUAAAAGUAUUCUUAGAGACUAAUGUAUCACUCUUAAGAGACUCCGUCAUUGAAUUUAUUAAUAUAUUUUAUUUAAAAAAUAAUUAGUAAAAUCCUCCAAUAGUUUGGUAAGAUUUUACUUUGGUGCAAAUUUCCCAAUAGUUUGGUGAGAUUUUUUUUAAAAUCAUUUAUAAAAUUUUGUUUUGAUGUAGAAUUCUAAAUAGUUUGGUAAGAUUUUAUUUGAAAAUUAUUUAUAAAAUUUUACUUUGAGAAAAUUCAUUAAAUCUUCCAAUUUGGUAAGAUUUAAUUCAAAAUUUUUAUCCUCCAAUAAUUUGGUAGGAUUAAAAAUAUAUUAUUUUAUUUUAUUUUAAAAAUUCAUUAAGUCCUCUAAUAGUUUGGUAAGACUUAAUUCAAUAUUUAAAUAUUCCAAUAGUUUGGUAGGAUUGAAAAUUUAUUAUUAAAAAAAUUACAUUAUGAAAUUCUCCAUUAGUUUGGUAAAAUUCAUAAUUGAAAAUUUCUAAACCCAUGAAAUUAAAAAUUCAUAAUUUAAAACUCACAAUCUUUAAAUUUUAUUUUAAACGUACAUAAAAAAAGUAAAAUAAAUGAAUAAAUAUAUAAAUAAACAAAAUGUGAAAAUUACCCUAAUGGAAGGAGACAUGCCUAGAUUGAAGUAUCUCUUGAUCUGUGGUGAUAGAUAAUCACCAAAGAGCUCUGCCACCAAUUCUAACCUAAUAGCUAGGGUACAAAUUGCUACUCAUCCAUUUUUUGGUAGGUUUCCUUUUUUUUUCCUUUUUUUUUUUGUAUGUUGUUGAUUGGUGUUUAUAUUGGGCCUUCUGCUAAGAGUUUUAGCGAUUUGCAUUGAAUGAAAAGUUUGUAGAUCUGAUUAUACUCUGAAUUGAUUUUUUCUUACUUCUCUUUAAAAUUUAUUUAAUUAAUUUCUAAAAUUGUCUCGAUUUUCCUUGAUUUUCAGAGUCCCUCAAAACUUUCCAAACUAAAUUUGACUUUGAUUCCUUGAUUUGCUUUCUUUGCAACCUUUCUUUAAUAUUUGACAAGAUCAUGUUAGUUUUAAUUAUCGAGAUCAUCAUUGAUUAGUGCUCAAAUUAUUCCAUAAAUUUCAUUGACAUGAUUUAUGAUAAAAAUUUAAAACAAAAUAAAUAAAAGAGUAAAACAUAUAAAUAAAUAAGACAAAAAAAGAUAUUAAAAGAAAUGAAGGAAAUUGGACAAUUGGGCUUAGAUUGAGUUUCAGACUAAAUAGGGUGUCUACAGCUGGCCCUAUUUGCAUAAGUUUUGUGAAAUACAAAUUAUGCAAAAUAUAGAUAUACAUUACGUUCAAGCCCAAAUUAUUCAAUUUUUUUCUUUUUUUUAAAGGCUCUUAAAAAUGAAGGCACACAACUUUUAAAAAAAAUUAAGGAUGACACCCAAAGGUUUUGACAAUCAUGCCCAGAGGUCUUAUAGAUCAUGUCUAAAAAGCUUGUAAAUUAAGCCCGGAGGUUUUACAAAUCAUUCAUUAAAAAAUGCUCCUUUAAACAAAGGCUAUACAACUAUUAAAAAAGAACCUAAAAGUUUUAAAAGAUCAUGCCCAAAGGUCUUAGAGAUUAUGCUCGGAGUUCUUAUAAAUCUUGACUUUAAAAUAAAUUCAGCUCGAAAGACUUACAAAUCUUUACCCAGAGGACUUAGAGAUUACGCGCGGAGGCUUUACAAAUCCCGAUCUUAAAAUAGAUUCAACUCACAAGACUUAUGAAUCUUGCCCAAAUGACUCAAAGAUUACACUUGGAGGUGUUACAAAUCUCGACUUUAAAAUAAAUUCAGCUCAGAAGACUUAUAAAUCUCGACUCUAAAAUAGAUUCAAGUUAGCAGACUUACGAAUCUUACUCGGAAGACUUCGAGAUUAUGCAUGGAGGUUUUACAAAUCUUGAAGAUUAUGCCCAGAGGUCUUACAAAUCUUAACUCUAAAAUAGAUUCAGCUUGAAAGAUUUAUGAAUAUUGACUAAAAGACUUGGAGAUUAUACCCGAAGGUCUGAUAAAUCUCAACUCUAAAAUAGAUUCAACUUGAAAGACUUAUGAAUCUUACCCAGAGGUCUUGCAAAUUAAACUUCAAAAAAGCUUAUUUAAAAUAAAUGUUCAACCACUUUAAAGAGAAAAAGAAUAUUUAGAGGUUUUAAAAAUCAUGUAUGGAGGUCUUAUAGAUAUUGCUUGAAGGACUUUAAAAAUAGUUUAAUAGUUUUGAAGAUGUUGCCAAAGGUUUUUUUAAAAAAAAUUAUCCGAAGAUUUUUUAAGACUGAUACUUAAAAAUUUUAACAAAUUUACCCUAAGGUAAAAUCUUGUUUAAUCAAAGUUUCAUUUUUUAUCAAAAAUUUAAGUCAACAUCUCUUUCCUCUAAAAAAUAUGAAUACAACAUAUGAAAUAGAUGUGAUGUAUACUAUGUAAGAAAUGCAUGAAGUGUAAUGAAUUAAAUGCAUGAAUUUUAUACCAAAUGUCCUUAAUUGUGGUAAUAGGUUUCUCGAAACUUUUUCUUCAUUCCAUCUUUCCAUGACAUAGCCUCUGAAUUAGUUAACAAGUUCUUUCAUGCCCUAAAGUAGACAUUCUCAACAUUUUCAUUCUUGAAAACUAUUUUUCUCCUCUAGUGAGUUAUUUUAAUUUUGAUCCCUUGCAUUUGGCAUUUUCUUGCCUCAGAAAGGUCUUUUAUAGCAUUCACCUAUCUCCCACCUCGAGCAUUAAGAUCCAUCAUAUUGUGAACAUUUUUUAAAACUUCCCAUGAAUAGCAAUAGAAAUUAUCCCAGAUAUCUCUCUUCUGCAUGUGAUCAAAUCUCUUAAAAAUUGGUGAUUACUACUUAGAAUAAGGAUGAUGAAUCAUAAUUUUGGUCUUCCAAAGGAUGCAAUGGUUUGGCACCCCUUUCAGUUCUUGAUAUGUGGUAUUUUAAUAAAUAUCAAGAACAACUAUGUUAGGUUCAAAUUUUCAAGUUUGAAAAAGGAACAAGGCCUAAAUUUUAGAAGGAAUCUUCAUACUGAGAUCAAUCUCUUGGGCCUUUAAAGAAAAGUCUCCUUGGUGCUACAUAGAAAGUCAUGAGUUGGUUUCAGAGUUUCAAUCUUACUUUAGGCUGCCAUUUUGGGUUUUCACCCUAAAACUUCGUUCUUUUCUCUUUUUUUUUUUUUGGAUAUUCCAUCAGGCAUUUGAGCAUUCAAAAAUUAUAAAAAAGUGAUAGUGAUUUCCUAAAGAAAAACUCUUUAAUUUAGAUAUCCAUACUUGAUCAAAAUGGACUUUUUAAAGGACGUAAUGUGGGCUGGGGUUUAAGGUUUUGAAAAAGCAUAAAUAAGCCCAAAAAAUGUAUUUACUAGUGAUCAAACCAAAAAUCAUUUCUUUUCCAGAAACAUCUUUCCUUUUUUCAAAGAUGCCUUUUUCUCUUUUUUCUCUUUUUUUCUUCUUUUCUUUUCUUUUUUUCUUUUGCAUGAGCUUAAAUUUUUUGAAACUCAUCUUAUUUCAAGCUUGCUUAUUAACAUAAGGCAUUAUUUCCUAACCCUCAGCACAAGAUUAGAUGCCAUCUUGAUGAGAUCCUUUUUCUCUUGAACUUGCCCCCCAAAAUUUAAAGAGUGAUUCCUAGUUAAGGUUCAUUCGAAAGAAUAAUCAAAAGGUUUUUAAAAGGUAGCAAAUGGAUAUUUUCUUCUUUUAUAAAGGGAAUUUAAAAGAUGACCAUUUUUCAUUUAAGUAUGGAUACCUAUUGAAAAGCAGUUCUCAAGAGACAACUUGUUUCUAAUUGAUUUUAAGUUCAUUUGAAUGCCCCACAUGCAUGAUUUCACAAUCAACACUAUUUUCUUUUUGUUUUUUUGUAAUUCAUCCAUUUUGAUAACAAAGCCAUCUGAAUGUUCAUCAAUCAGAAAGAUCAAAAGGAUUAUUUAGGGCUUUAAGUAAAUUUGGCUUUUGCCCCAAAGUGAGUACAAAUGAUCGCUUGGUAAAUGAUUCAAAAAAAAAAGAUAAAUGUAGCACAAGUUAAAAUACUGAACAAAUUAAAAAAAUAUGGCUCAAGAAAUUUAAGUGGUGACGUGUUUGAAAAAAGCUUGCCAUUUAUUGAAUCACCAAAAAAUAAAAAGCUUAGGAGAGUGCCCUAAAAGAUUUUACAAAUUAAUCGACUAUCACAUUGUUCAUAGCCUAAAUGAAGAUCAAUAAAUUUUAAGUUUCAUCAUGGCCAAAUAAGGGGAAGUUCUGAAACUUUCGUCCCUAGAAAUUCUCAAGGUUUUUAAUCUUCUAAAUGAAAAAAAUUAAACGUUCAGGGGAAUUGCUCAAGAUACCUAUUCCUAAUAAUAAUUACCAAAUUUCUUGAGAUUUUUUUUUCACAUGUAUUUGUAAGAAGCUAAACAAUUAAAACUCAUAAGAAACCAAUGACUUCAUGUCCAAGAAAUCAAUAUACAAGGAAUAAUCAGCCUAUAAUAAAACAACAUUCUAUUACUCAAAAAGCUCUUUGAUCAAGGUGCCAUUAUGGAUAAGGCUUUCAAACUUUUCUUUCAACUGUUUGCAUUUCUCAGUCGAGUCCAAUUGCCCCAUGUUAUAAUCAUAUUUAACAUUUAUAUCAUAACUCUUGGCUAAUCGAUGUGAAGUUGCUUUUAAAGGUAUUGAGGUGAGGUACUAGUACAUUAUCAGCAAUGGUAAAAGAGCAAAAAUUAGAAUUAGGAUUUUCUCUAGAUUAUUUCUUGAUCUUAUUUGGCCAUUCAUUGGUCGAGUAGUAGAUUGGGGAUAAUGACUUAUGUGAUGAGCUAAUUGUUAGGUUAGUUAGGAAAAAUAUGGAUUCUAAGAAAAGUUAUUUACAGUAGGGUGGUAAGGUUAGUACAUGAUUUGUGGGGUCAAGCUUCCAACCUUUUUCCUUUUAUACAUCAUGACAUGAACAUCUUCUCUUUUCAUUCUUGGUACACACACAUCCUUUACGCUAGGUGCAUUAUCUUCUUUAAGCUAUUCACUUUUUAAGGCAUUCUCUAUUAUCUCCCCUGAUAUGACCAUGUUGGUAAAAUUCUUUAUUACAUUUCCAAUCAUCUUUCAUAAUAUGGAGCUUUAGGAGUGCUAACAAACAAGAUUGUAGUUUUUUUUUCUGUUAAAGGAGUUUGAACUUAGACAGCAACACCCUUCCACCUUUGAGCAUAUUCUUUGAAACUCUCGACGUCUUUUUUCCCCAUACUUUGUAGAAACAAUUGAUUUGAGACUAACUCUAUAAUGUACUUGUAUUAAGUUAUGAAUGCCCUGGCCAAUUCUUUCCAUGAAAUGAUUUGAUUUCUAUCAAACUGAGCAUACCACUAAACAGCAGAUCUCGUAAGAUUAUCUUAGAAUACAUGAAUCAAGAGUUUGUCAUCACAGACAUGGGCAACCAUUUUUCUACAAUAUAUAGUGACAUGGUCAUCGGGCAUUUGGUACCAUUAUAUUUCUCAAAUUUUGAUACCUUGAACUUGGGUAGAAUAAUCACAUCUGGCACUAAGCAAAGCUCUAAUGCAUCCUUAGAUCCAUAAAAAUCUAUUUUUUUGAUGGCUCUAAGCCUCUCUUAUAUGAGAUCCAUUUUUUUUAGCACCUGAAUCUUUUGUUACUUCAAAUGAACUUUUCAUCAGUUUUACUAGCUUUUCAGAAUCAUCAAGGGUUGGAAUUGGUGAAGCUGUUGAAAGUAUUCUAGAAUAAGAGUAUGCCCCUAAAUGUGGUACUUGUUAUGAUUGUACCCCUUGGGAUGCUUAUAUACAGGUUUCUUCCACCUUUUUUUUAUUUAAAUUUUUUAGCAUUUCCAUUAUCUGAGCAAAAUCUACUCUCAUUUUCUCAAUUUAGCUAUGUUGUUUUGGCUCCAUAAGUGGCAAGGAGAUUACCUUGAUGAUCGGGCUUUUAAACCUUAUUACCACAAUUAAGAAUUAGGACAAUGUCUAUUACGAAUUUAUGCAAGAAAACAAAAGAUGUAUAUAUGAAUGAAUGGAUGCAUGCAUUAAAUUCUAUCACAUAAUAAGAAAGAGAAGAAAAAGGAAAUCUUUAAUUAAAAUUUGUUUUGACAAAAACAUCCAAAAUCAUUCCUAGGAAAAAUCCUAAAAUCUAUUGCCUGAUCAUAUUCUUUAGCUUUAAGAUCUUGGUACUACCAUGGAUAAGUUUUUCAACCACUAUGAUUAUGCAAUACCCUUUUAACAAUCUUUGGCUUUCCUUUAUCCCCAAAACUUAAUGCACUAUCUCUUUUAACAAUCUUUGCACCUUAUGCUUGAAAGCAAUGCAAUAUUUUAUUAAAUGGCCUGUAUUCCCAAAGUGAUAAUCAUGUCGAGCUUCAACCUCAAACAAUUUAGGAUAAGGGUUUUAGUAGCUUUAAAGGAACUGAUGUGAUUAGAUAAUUUUCGAGGAGUAUCAGGAAUAAUUUAAUGUAAGUCACAAGGAUUGGAUCAAUGAUGGCUCUCUCUUUUUCAUUCACUUAAUGAUUUUUUGAGUUGAGUAGUUUUUUUACUUACAGGUGCAAAGUUUGGAGUAAAAUUAGGUGUAUAUGCCCAAAAGUUUACUAGUGGGGAGCAGAAUUGCUGAGCUAAAGGGUUUUAACAAGCAUAAUUCAUAACUGAAAAAGUAUAUGGGUAUAGGCUAAUCUACGGAGUUGAAUAGAAAAAAGCUUUGUUUUGGAUGCUAAAAGAGAUUGUUUAGGAAUAACUGGUUAGGAAUUUGGGUAUGAGCCAAUCUAUAGAACUGGUGCAUGGUUAAAAGGCCUUACCUCUUCUACUUCUUUUCUAACUUGGUCUUUUCUUAGGCCAUUGGAUACAUUGACAUGACUUGGAUCGAUAUCAGUAUUAUAAGAGGCUUUUUGAUCUUGACAAAAUGGUUGCUUAAUGCACACACGAAUUGGAGUUGAUGAGAAUUCUUGAGAAUGGGCCACUUCAAGAUUUUUCACCAUUUCCACUAGCUUGGUAAGUUGCAUUUUUAUUUCUUAUAGGUCAUGCCCAAAUUCCUUUUGGUUGAGUUUCAAAGCUUGGAUCCAUGCUUCUAACAAAUCUCCUAUCUCUUCUGAAUUGUUAUCCCAAAUGAUUAAAAGAUUUCUAUUAUACAAUGACAUGAUGAAUGAAUGAUGAUGAUGAUAUAUGAAUAAGUGAGAUACAUGAAAUGAAUGAAAAUAGACAAACAAAGAAAUAAAUAAAUGCAAACUUAUUGAUGCUAACAUGAUUCAAGCAAAAGAAAGUAACAAACAAGAACAAAGGUAACAACCAAUAUAAAGAAAGAAAAAGCAAAAUAAUUUAAUGCAUAACUUAAAAGAUAUGUGACCUAAUUUGGAGUAUUUAUACAAAAAGAAAAGAUAUGGAUCUACCUAUGGGUAUUACAACUCACUAUAUGUGGUUUAGGAUUGAUUCUACAUGUUCCCAAAUUAUUCCUCACAUCAUUGUCCAUUAUUGACUAGUAAAACACCCUAAUUUUUACCCAUUAUAGGUUACAAACGGUAAUGGUUCAAUUCAAAUGGGAGUGUUUCACUAGCCUAUGCCAAGACAUGAAAUCUCAUGAAGGCAUAGGUACUUUACUCUUCUUAAGGGACAAAACUCGAUUGUAGAAUUUGCGUUAUUUUAUUUUAUUUAAAAAAAUAAUUAAGUCAUUUAAUAGUUUGGUAAGAUUUAAUUCAAGAUUUAAAUCCUCUAAUAGUUUGGUAGGAUUAAAAAUUUAUUAUUAAAAAAAUUAUAUUAUGAAAUUCUCCAAUAGUUUGGUAGAAUUCAUAAUUUAAAAUUUAUAAAUCCAUGAAAUAAAAAAUUCAUAAUUUAAAACUCAUAAUCUUUAAAUUUUAUUUUAAACAUACAUAAAAAAUGAAAUAAAUGAAUAAAUAUAUAAAAAAACAAAAAUGUGAAAAUUACCUUAAUGGAUGGAGACACACCUAGGUGGAAGUAUCCUUUGAUUUAUAGUGACAAAUAAUCACCAAUUCAAACCAAAGAGCUCUGCCACCAAUUCUAAUCAAAGAGCUUGGGUAUAGAUUGCUACUCAUCUAUUUCUUAAUGGGUUUCCCUUUUUUUUCCCUCUUUUAUUUUUUAUGUGUGGUUGAUUGGUGUUUAUAUAAGGCCUUUUGCAAGGAAUUUUAGAGAUUUGCAUUGAAUGAAAAGGAUUAUAGAUCUAAUUAAGCUCUAAAUUGAUUUUUUCCUAGAUGCUUUUGAAAAUUCGUUUAAUUAGUUUUUGAAAUUAUCUUGAUAUUUCUUAAUUUUCAGAAUCCCUCAAAAUUUUUCGAAUUAAAUCUGACUUUGAUUCCUUGAUUUACUUUCUUUUCAACCUUUAUUUUAAUAUUUUAAAUGAUAAUGUUUUAGUUUUGAUUACCGAGAUCUUCCUUGAUUAAUGCUCAAAUUACUCCACAAAUUUCAUUGACCUAAUUUAUGAUAAAAAUUUAAAACUAGAUAAGUAAAAGACUAAAGCAUAAAAAAGAUAAAUAAAUAAAUAAGACAAAUAAGAUAUAAAAAGAAAUGUUGGAAAUUGGACAAUUGGUCUUUGUUUGAGUCUCAAACUAAACAAGGUGUCGACAAAUAUAUAUUUUAUACUUUUUUACUUUUUAAAUUAGAUAAUUUUGUAAAAAAUGAUAUUGAUGGAAGUGUCUACAUGGCAUCCAUAUUUAUUUUCUUUCAACCUUUCAUUUUUUUUAUAAAUUUUUAUUUUAAAAAUAGUUAAUAAUAAAAAUUUUACAAAAACAGUUCAUAAUUGCUAAUUUCGCGUGACAACUUAACUUUUUUUAUCCUUUUUUUCGUUUUUUUCUCCCUUUAUUUUUUAUUAGGUCAAUUGUUUAAACAAAAGAAAAACCAACGAAUGAGCCCAUGUGGCAUCCUAUUUCAUUUUUUUACCUUUCAUAUAUUUUUUAAUUAGAUAAAUAAUACAAUAAAUAGAAAACAGUAAAUAAAUUUUUUAAGAAAAAAGUCAAUUGAGGUAUUUACAAUAAAUUUUCUUAAUUAGAUAAUUUUUUGAGAAAAUAAUGACAAUAUAGGUGUUCACAUAAUAUCCUCACUUGUUUUUUUUUAUAUAAUUUUAUAUUUUAAUUAGAUAAAUUUUAUAAUAAAAUGAGAUGGUUGAUAAAAAUAGCAAAACAAUCAGUAUUUAUGGAUUUCGAUACAUCUUGAUUUGAUAUGGGUGUUUUUAUAAAAAGUCGAUAUCAAAUCGAAUCAUAUUGGUUUUUAAGGUAAGGAAAGGUAAGAUGUGGAUUUAGGGUGCUUUGUCCUAAAUCAUCUUGUGAUAUAUGUAAAAUUAUAUAUUUUAUUAUUAUUUUGGUUUUAUAUUUAUAUACAUGUAUUAUAUUAAUAAAAUUAGUAUUUGAUACUUUAAUUUAAUAAAUUAAUAUUUUAAACUCAAUAAGGGUGUCCAUGUGGCACCCUUAUUGAGCUUUCUUUUUUGUUUUUGUUUUUUUCUCUUUUGUUUUUGGUUUUCUUCUUUUUCAAUUUUUUUAAUUCUUUUAUUAGAUAAAUUUAGUGAGAAAAAAAAAAGACCAAUUGAAAUAUCCACAUGACACUUCCAUUUAUUUUUUUAUCAUUUACUUUUUUAAUUAGAUAAAUUUUAAAAAUAUAUAACAUAAAAAUUAUUUUUAAUUUAAUUUUAUUAAAAUUUAUAUCAAAAUAAUAAUAAAAAAGAAACUAUGAAUUAUUUUAAUUAAUAAAAUAGUUAAACCUAUGCUACAAGCUCAUUUCUAGUAUUCAAGAAAAUAGUAAAGAAAAUUAUUUAAACCCCAUCUCUUAAUUUUAAUCUUAAUUAGAACACGCUAGUAGUUUAUUUAUAGAGAUCAUUAGAAAUUAAUUACUUUCUUAGUCAACUGCUAGGGUUUGAAACAAGUGCCAGAAAAUCGAUAGGCCUUAAAAUUUUAAUUCCUGGCAUUUUGAAUAAGUGUUGUUGGAUUUCUUUAGGUCUAGGUUGAGCCCAAUGACUCAUUAAUUAUGUUCUUAAUCAGGCCUAAAACCUAUUUAACCACAAUUUAUGGUUUUUAAAAUUUAUGUAAGUGUGCCUAUACAUUUAUAUUAUAAAAAUUAUCACAUUCACUUGUAGUAGUGGAGUUUUGAAUUUUAUUAUCAAGAUUGUAAUAGUAGCGUGAGCAAUUGAUAUAAUAUUAAAUUUUUAAUUUUAAUGAUGUUAUAACAUAUAGAUCCGUGGACCUACUACUAGAUAUAGAUUAGAGGAGUUACCACCAAUCUUUUUUGGUUAGGUAUGAUUGACCACCUAAUUGAAUCUGAUCUAUAAGAUAGAUGUUAGGUUCGGAAGUUGGUUACGCUUGAGGAAGGUUGUAGCACCCCCACAGCACCUAUCCAAAUGAUGGUACCAGUUUGAUUUUGAAUCAUCUAAGCCUUGGUCAUUUUAUGAUUUUACCGAAUACUUUAGUAUUGAAAAUUAACCCUAAAAUUGUCCCAAUAGUUUUGUAGCAAUUCAAGAUAAUUCUCUCACCUCAUGAGUAUUUAUGGAGACUAGUAUCCUACUCUGGAGGGGCUCUUUUAUCAGAUUUAUUAAUUUAUUAUAAGAAAAGGUAAAUCUACUAAUAGUUUGGUAAGACUUACUUUGAAGCAAUCCUCCAAUAGUUUAGAGGAUAAAAAUUAUUUAUUUAUUUGAAAAGACCUUUUUUUUAUUGAAAAUAUUUUUUUAAUUAUUUUUAAUUAUUUUGAAACUUUAUUUACAAUAACUUUUUUGUUUGAAAAGAUUUUUUUUAGAAUAUUUUUCUUUCUUUUUUUUACUUUCAAAAAUAAAAAUGGAAGAAAUAACAUUUUUUAAAAAAAAAUAAAAAUGGGUUAAAAAUAAAAUAAAAUUAGAAAAUAAAAAUAAAUAGAAAAGGAAAAACCUGCGAUCGGGUCGGGUUGAUACCAAGGUCAGAAAACAGGUCAAUGGGUCACACGCGGAUCUUUGGCUAUCCAAAAUGGUGUCGUGUUGGAAGAGUAUAAAAGCCACACCACUCAGCUUUUCUUCAAAAUUAUUUGAUUAAGCCUUUCUUUCUAAAAUGUCUAUUCUUUUGUCUUCUCUCUAACUGAUUUUCAAAAAUUGACGAAUAAAUCUCAAAAGCUAAUAGGAAAUUUCCAAGAACCCAACAAGUUGUCCAGAAAGCUAAACUCAGAAGUCCCUAUAAUGCAAAACCCUAUAGAAAUUCAAACCCAAAAACACCAAAUCCCAAUCCUAGAAAAUCUGAACAAAUCAAAUCCAAGACCUAAAACCUCUUGGUUGCUAAACAAAUUUCUUUUUUUUUCUCUAGAGUUUCUGCAUAAUCUUUUUUUUUCUCCUUUCCCUUGCUUUGAUCACUGGUUUAUAUAAAAGUUCAUGCUCAAUCAAUUCUCUUUAAAUCCAUGAUUUUGUUUGAUUUUCGUUUUAAUGAGAAUUGAUUUUGAAAUCAAAUCCCAAAAAUCUCUCCCUAUCAUUUUGAUGUGAAUUGAUUAUGGAAUUAAAUCCCGACAAUCUCUCCACAUCAAAUACCAAUUGAUUCUAGAAUUAAAUUCCAAAAAUCUCUCAACUACGAUUAAACUCUGAAAAAAAUAUUCCUAGACAAAACGGGGUGUCUACAAAUGAUCAAAGUUCAAAAUUUGACAAUUUUAAAUAUGAAUUCUUUGUAUCAUCUUACAUUAUACAUGCACAUGUAAUAAUACACACAAAGCAAGUAAUAAAAAGCUAAAAACUAUCUUAUAAAAUGUGGAAAUUAUAGUGGGGAAUUGGGGGUUAGAUAAUAGGAAGCCUUAAAAAAUAUGAAUUAUUACCAAAUUACAGUAGCAUCAUCUUAAUAAAAUAAUUUUGUAAGAAACCUUUAUGAAGUAAGAGAGGGUCUAAAUUUAUAAUUGAAAAAUGAAUUAGCUAAUAAUAGGAUAGACAAAUAAUUUAAAAGAUUAAAAUUAGUAAUUUCAUAAUCAAAUAAAUGAUUUUUUUAAAAAAUUAAUGUAAAACUAUGUUUUUUAAACCAACACAAUGCAUAAAUGACAUCACAAAUUAAUCUUCAUAUAUGCCUUGCAAACAUUUUAAUAAAAUUACAAAAAACAAUUUUAAGUAUUUCCAAAAGUAAAAUCCAGAUAUAUAUCAUAUUGCUAAACACGCUAUUUCAACUUUUGAUAAUUGAAGUUACCUUCAUAAAUGAAAUCUCACUUGAAAUCCUGCCACUAAUUAACUCACUUUGAUAUUUUAAUUCUUAUCAGUGUGUAACUAUUUUUUACCUGCUGAGACCAGCAUCGGUAUAUACUUCAAUCUUUCUGUCAAACAUCUUCAAUUUUAUCAAAACCAUUUUCUUCUAUGCUUACAUAUGCGAGUGCAAACACAUUUGCGUGUGUGUAAAAAUAAAAGGAAUUAAGCGUUUAAAGUAGAUUCAUAUAUACACUAUCUGCUUUCCUCCCAAAUAUGUUUUCUUUCAAGUUUCCUCAAACCGUUUGUCAUAUUUUUAGGUAUUAAAAAUAUUAACAUAUAAUUUAUAAUAGUGCGAUCAACGUGGUCAUGGUAUUUGAUACACAUAAUAUAACUUGUAAGCAUACAAAAUUACACACAGAUUCGCAUAAAACAGGGGGUUUUAUUUUAUUUUAAUUUUAUCAUGUUUUUGAGAAAACAUGAAAGAAAAAGACCCAAAGAUAUAUAUUUAUUUUUCCUCAGUCAUAAGCACCCCCCAUACUUAGGCUGAAAGUUGAUCCAUCAGCACUUAAACGGAACCGCUGAAACCUUUAUUGUAAGCAUAUUCAAUAAGGGAAUCCAACUCAUCAUUGGUGCAGUCGAUCAAAUUGUCCUUAUUUUUAUCAGCAACGUCCAUGGCCUCUUCGACUUGCUUGUUUGGCGUGAGUGCACCUAGAUGUUGAAAAGCAUCCUUGAGCUGGUCCCUGGUGAGGCUGCCCUGCUUAGAGUAAGAUCGAAACACUUGUUCCAAUUUGUUUUUCUGAUCCUUGUUAUCCUUUGUGGCUUGCAUUGUGGAUUUUGAGGUUUGUGACCGGGUGAUAAUAGAGAGAAGGCUUGCCUAGUUUGGUUUGGUUUUCUUUUCCAAUGCAAUUUGUUUAUAUAGACCCAAAACUCUGAAUACGAUUCUGUUGAAGUGUUGGGGAAUAAAACAUUUUUUGGUGGUGGGUUUUAAAAAUUGAUUUCCAUCUUUUUUAUCAAUAAAAUAAUAAAUCAAUCAAUAAAUUUUAUAAUGAAUACUGAAAAAAAAAAUAUUCCAAGAGGAUUGGUACGAAUAAAAAUAUCAAUGUUAAUUUCUUCUUUUCUUCUGGCGUCAAAUUAACCACAGAUUGGAAAAUGCUAAAUAGCAGCCUCCACUAUCUUGUGUCCAUUUUCCAUUGUUUCAUUUGUUUUAGCCCUCAAUUUGCAGUUUUUAGGUUUUUCUUUUUUUUUUUUGGUUCCCUGAUUAAAUGAUGCAUUUUGGUCCAUUUGGUUUUAAUGAAUUUUCAGAAUUUGGUAGAUCUCGUGAAAGGAGUUCUAGGAAGUACUUUGAUGAGCGUGCUUGUAAAUUGUGAUAAUUAUUGUGUAUGAAUGUUAAGUUAUCCAAAAAUAAAUAAGUUUAGCAUUAGGACUUUCUUUCUUUUAUUGUUUGCCAUAAAUGAUUCUGGAGCAAAGCAAAAUACUGUUAAACUAAUUAUUUGCGUUGUACCACUUCCUGGAAUCAUGGCCGUAGUGGGUUAAAACUGUAUACAUGUUUCUCUCUCAUAUGUUCUUAAUCUCGGUAGGAUAGAAUUAAGUUUGGGCUAUUUCAAUUCCUUUGCACCUUUUUUCCCUUGUACUGUAAUAUUUUCUCAACCACCCUUUUGCAAGGGGAAAGCUGUAAUAUAUUAUAUAUAUAUAUAUAUAUAUAUAUAUAUUUAAAAUUAGAUAAUUUUGUAAAAAAAUUAUAUUGAUGGAAGUGUGUACAUGGUAUUCAGAUUUUAUUUUUUUCAUUUCUUCAUUUUUUAUAAAGCUUUAUUUUUAAAAAGUUCCUAAUAAAAAUUUUUACAAGAAUAAAUCAUCAUUAGUAAUAUUACAUGACAAUUCAAUUUUUUUUCCUUUUUAUUUGUUUUGAUCUUCAUUUUGAUUUUUUCUUUUUUAGUUUUUUUUUCUCCCUUUAUUUUUUAUUGGAUCAAUUGUUUCAGUGAAAAAAACUGACCGGAUGUACCCACAUGGCAUCCUAUUUUAUUUUUUGCCUUUCAUCUUUUUUUUAAUUAGAUAAAUAUUAAAAUAAAAAAAUUAAUAUAUAAAUUUUAUAAGAUAAAAAUCAAUUGAAGUAUAGACAACAAAAUAUCUUGUAUCGUAUAUGUUUCGAUUCCUAUGGAUCAAUCGGUGUGCUUUUUCUUUUUUUUUUUAAUUUAGGAUUGGAAACCAUAAAAAAUAUGAAUUAUUACCAAAUUACAAUAGCAUCAUCUACUAAAAUAAUUUUGUAAGAAACCUUUAUGAAGUAAGAAACGGAAAACUUAUAAUUGAAAAAUGAAUUAAUUAAUAGUAGGAUAGAAAAAUAAUAAAAGAUUACAAUUAGUAAUUUCAUAAUCAAAUAAAUGAAUUUUUUUAAAAUUAAUGUAAAACUAUGUUUUCUAAACCAAAGCAAUGCACAAAUGACACUGCAAAUUGAUCCUUCAUAUAUGCCUUACAAACAUUUUAAUAAAAUUACAAAAAAAAAUUUAACUAUUUCCAAAAAUAAAAUCUUGAUAUAUAUAAUUUUGCUAAAUAAGAUAUUUAAACUUUUGAUAAAUGAAGUUACCUUCAUAAAUGAAAUCUUACUUGAAAUCCUGCAACUAAUUAACUCAUUUUAAUAGUUUAAUUUUCAUUAAAGUGUAAUUUUCUUUUGCUUGCUAAGACCAACAUCAGUAUGUACUUUAAUUUUUUUGUCAAAUAGCUACAGUUUUAUCAAAAUCAUUUUCGUCUAUACUUACAUAUAUGCACGUGCAAAAACAAAUGCAUAAAUGGGUAUAAAAUUAAAAAGAAUUAAGCAUUUAAUUAGAUUCAUAUAUAUAUAUAUAUGUAUAUAUACACACACAUAUAUCUGUAUUCCUCAUAAAUAGGUUGACUUUCAAGUUUUCUCGAAACCUUUUAUCAUGUUUUUAAGUAAUAAAAAUAUUAGGGUAUGGUUCAUAAUAGUACGAUUAACAUGUUCAUGGUAUUUGAUACACACAAUAGAACUUGCAAGGAUGUAAAAUUACACAGAUUUGAAUAAAAACAGGGGAUUUUAUUUUAUUUUAAUUUUAUCAUGUUUUUGAGAUAACAUGAAGGAAAAAGACCCAAAGCUAUAUAUUUAUUUUUCAUCAGUCAUAAGCAUCCCCCAUACUUAGGCUGAAAGUUGAUCCAUCAGCACUCAAACGGAACUGCUGAAGCCUUUAUUGUAAGCAUAUUCAAUAAGGGAAUCCAACUCAUCAUUGGUGCAGUCGAUCAAAUUGUCCUUAUUUUUAUCAGCAACGUCCAUGGCCUCUUCGACUUGCUUGUUUGGCGUGAGUGCACCUAGAUGUUGAAAAGCAUCCUUGAGCUGGUCCCUGGUGAGGCUGCCCUGCUUAGAGUAAGAUCGAAACACUUGUUCCAAUUUGUUUUUCUGAUCCUUGUUAUCCUUUGUGGCUUGCAUUGUGGAUUUUGAGGUUAUGACAGGGUGAUAUUAGAGAGAAGGCUUCCCUAGCUUGGUUUGGUUUUCUUUUUCCAACGCAAUUCGUUUAUAUAGACUCAAAACUUUGAAUACGAUUCUGUUGAAGUAUAGGGGUAUAAAACAUUAUUUGGUGGUGGGUUUUAAUAAUUGAUUUCCGUCCUCUUUAUCAAUAAAAGUAUUAAAUCAAUCAAUAAAUUUUUGUAAUGAACACUUCAACCAUGAGGAUUGGUACGAAUAAAAAUAUUAAUGUUAAUUUCUUCUUUUCUUCUGGCUUCAAAUUAACCACAGAUUGAAAAAUGCUAAAUAGCAGCCUCCACUAUCUUGUGUUGUAGUGAUGAUACAAGCCUCCACUAUCUUGUGUCCAUUUUCUAUUGUUUCAUUUGUUUUAGCCCUCAAUUUGCAGUUUAGUUUUUAGUUUUUUUUUUUUUUUGUGGUUGCCUGAUUAAAUGAUACAUUUUGGUUUUAAUGAAUUUCCAGAAUUUGGUAGAUCUCGUGAAAGGAGUUCUAGAAAGCACUUUGAUGAGCAUGCUUGAAAUUUGUGAUAAUUAUUGUGAAUGAAUGUUAAGUUAUCAAAAAAUAAAUAAGUUUAGUUUUAGGACUUUCUUUCUUUUAUUGUUUGCUAUGAGCAAACUACUGUUAAACUAAUUAUUUGCAUUGUACCACUUCCAGGAAUCGUGGCUUUAGUGGGUUAAAACUGUGUCCAUGUUUCUCUCUCGUAUGCUCUUAAUCUGGGUAGGAUAGAACUAAGUUUGGGCUAUUUCAAUUCCUUCGCACCUUUUUUCCCCUGUACUGUAAUAUUUUCUCAACCGCCCUUUUCAAGGGGAAAGCUGUAAUAUAUUUUUUUUUAUAUUUUUUCUUUUUUUUAAAUUGGAUAAUUUUGUAAAAAAAUUAUAUUGAUGGAAGUGUCUACAUGUCAUUCAGAUUUAAUUUUUUGAAUCCUUUAUUUUUUUAUAAAUCUUUAUCUUUAACAAGUUCAUAAUAAAAAUUUUUACAAGAAUAGAUCAUCAUUGCUAAUAUUAUGUGACAAUUUAAUUUUUUUUUGUUUUCAUUUUCGUUUUAUUUUAUUUUUUAGUUUUUUUUCUCCCUUUAUUUUUUAUUAGAUCAAUUGUUUCAGCAAAAAAAAAAAAAAAACCCAAUGGAUAUGCCCAUGUGCCAUCUUAUUUCAUUUUUUGCCUUUCAUUAUUUUUGUAAUUAGAUAAAUAUUACAAUAAAAAAAAUCAGUAUAUAAAUUUUUUAAGAUAAAAAUCCAUUGAGGUAUAGACCACAAAAUAUCUUGUAUCUUAUAUGUUUCGUUUCCUGUGAAUCCAAUCGGUGUGCUUUUUUUUAAAAAAAAAAAAAUUUAGGAUCAGAAGCCUUAAAAAAUAUGAAUUAUUACCCAAUUAUAAUAGCAUCAUCUACUAAAAUAAUUUUGUAAGAAACCCUUAUGAAGUAAGAAACGGAAAACUUAUAAUUGAAAAAUGAAUUAAUUAAUAGUAGGAUAGAAAAAUAAUUUAAAAAAUUACAAUUAAUAAUUUCAUAAUCAAAUAAAUGAUUUUUUUAAAAUUAAUGUAUAACUAUGUUUUCUAAACCAAAGCAAUACACAAAUGACCCACAAAUUAAUCCUUUCUAUAUACCUCGCAAACAUUUUAAUAAAAUUACAAAAAAAUUUUAAUUAUUUCCAAAAAUAAAAUCUUGAUAUUUAUAAUUUUGCUAAACAAGUUAUUUAAACUUUUGAUAAUUGAAGUUAUCUUUAUAAAUGAAAUCCCACUUGAAAUCUUGUAACUAAUUAACCCAUUUUGAUAUUUCAAUUCUCAUCAAGAUAUAUCUUUCUUUUGCUGCUGAGACCAGCAACAAUAUGUACUUUAAUUUUUUUUGUCAAAUAGCCUCAAUUUUAUAAAAAUUAUUUUGUCUAUACUUAUAUAUAUGCACGUGCAAAAACAUAUGCAUAAGUGUGUGUAAAAAUAAAAAGAAUUAAGCAUUUAAAUUAGAUUGAUAUAUAUAUACACACUAUCUGCUUUCCUUCGAAAAGGUUGACUUUCGAAUUUCUUCAAACCUUUUAUCAUGUUUUUAAGUAAUAAAAAUAUUAGUGUAUAGUUUAUAAUAGUAUGAUCAACGUGUUCAUGAUAUUUGAUACACACAAUAUAACUUGCAAGUAUGUAAAAUAACACAGAUUUUAAUAAAAAUAGGGGGUUUUAUUUUAUUUUAAUUUUAUCAUCUUUUUGUGACAACAUGAAAGAAAAAGACCCAAAGAUAUAUAUUUAUUUUUCGUCAGUCAUAAGCAUCCCCCAUACUUAGGCUGAAAGUUGAUCCACCAGCACUCAAACGGAACCGCUGAAGCCUUUAUUGUAAGCAUAUUCAAUAAAGGAAUCCAACUCAUCAUUGGUGCAGUCGAUCAAAUUGUCCUUAUUUUUAUCAGCAACGUCCAUGGCCUCUUCGACUUGCUUGUUUGGCGUGAGUGCACCUAGUUGUUGAAAAGCAUCCUUGAGCUGGUCCCUGGUGAGGCUGCCCUGCUUAGUGUUGGAGAACACUACAGCUCUGAUACCAUUUGUUGGGCUAAAAGCCUCCAAUCCAAUCACACCAGCGGAAGCAAAUCAAACAAUAAAUCAAACACAAAAGAGACAAUAAUUUAACGUGAUUCGGUCCAACUACCUACAUCCACGGAUAAGAAACAAGAUCCACUAGUUGUAAAAAAUUACAAACAUACAUCAAAUCAUCAACCUCACUCAAUAAUCAAUACUCAUAAGACACUCUCAAUCUCCUCUAGUCCUAUAGAGUAUUCUCAACCCAAACAAACACAAACCCAAACCCUUAUGCACUCUUUCAACAUAAUCAAACAUAUACCCAUAUGCUCCCAUACAUCAUACCUAUGUGGACCCUCUCAGUCUCCUCUAUUCCACUCACAAACAAACAUACACACCUAUAAGACGUAGAGUCCCAAUACUCCUAUGGGGUGUCUAUCCUACAAAACCCUACAACUCUCUUACAUCUUUUUUCUCAUACCUAACCCUGUAGAGACUUCACCUAUUUAUAACCAUACAAACUUACCCAUUAAGAAUCCCUCUCCUUUUAGAAUUCUUCUCCUGUAAGUCAAACAUGCCUAUUAAGAAUCCCUUUCCUUUUAGAAUUCUUCUCUUGCAAGUCGAACUUACCUAUUAAGAAUCCUCUUUCUCUUGAAAUUCUUCUUUUGCAAGUCUUCUUGUCCAUCAAGCAAUAUCUGACAAAUCUCAAACAAAUCUCUUAUGGAAUUUGAGUCAAUAUUCCUAACAAUCUUCACCUUGACUCAAAUUCCAUCAAUUAUCUGUCUUCAUGCUAGACAUGCUUAGCUCCACCUGCAAUGGAAGUCUUACAAUCAUCUUCUCUUCUCUUGUGUCUUCACGCUUCAUACAAACCAAUCUUCAAUCUUUAAAACUCGAACUCGAACUCUUCUCUUGAAUUGAGCUCCUCUAAAUUUAUUUCUUUUCAUGUCUUAAACCAAGCUUUUCCCAUAUCUCAAACUGUCAACUAUUCUCAUGUCUCGAACUAUCGGUUCUUUCCACAUCUUGAAUCUUCAACUCUUCUCACGUUUCGAACCUUCAGCUCUGAUACCACUUGUUGGGGAACACCACAGCUCCGAUACCAUUUGUUAGACUAAAAGCCUCCAAUCCAAUCACACCAGCGGAAGCAAAUCAAACAAUAAAUCAAACACAUAAGAGACAACAAUUUAACGUGGUUCAGUCCAACUACCUAUAUCCACGGAUGAGAAACAAGAUCCACUAGUUGUAGAGAAUUACAAACAUACAUCAAAUCAUCAAUCUCACUCAACAAUCAAUACUCAUAAGACACUCUCAAUCUCUUCUAGUCCUAUAGAGUAUUCUCAACCCAAACAAACACAAACCUAAACCCUUAUGCACUCUUUCAACAUAACCAAACACAUACCCAUAUGCUCCCAUACAUCAUACCUAUGUGGACCCUCUCAGUCUCCUUUAAUCUACUUAUAAACAAACAUACACACCUAUAAGACGUAGAGUCCCAAUACUCCUAUGGGGUGUCUAUCCUAUAAAACCCUACAACUCUCUUACAUCUUUUUUCUCAUACCUAACCUUGUAGAGACUUCACCUAUUUAUAACCAUACAAACUUGCCCAUUAAGAAUCCCUCUCCUCUUAGAAUUCUUCACCUGUAAGUCAAACAUGCCUAUUAAGAAUCCCUUUCCUUUUAGAAUUCUUCUCUUGCAAGUUAAACUUACCUAUUAAGAAUCCUCUUUCUCUUGGAAUUCUUCUUUUGCAAGUCUUCUUGUCUAUCAAGCAAUAUCUGACAAAUCUCAAACAAAUCUCUAACAAAUCUCAAACAAAUCUCUUAUGAGAUUUGAGUUAAUAUUCCCAACAAUCUUCACCUUGACUCAAAUUCCAUCAAUCAUCUGUCUUCAUGCUAGACAUGCUUGACUGCACCUUAAGAAUCCCUCUCCUCUUAGAAUUUUUCUUCUGUAAGUCAAACAUGCCUAUUAAGAAUCCCUUUCUUUUUAGAAUUCUUCUCUUGCAAGUCAAACUUACCUAUUAAGAAUCCUCUUUCUCUUGAAAUUCUUUUUUUGCAAGUCUUCUUGUCCAUCAAGCAAUAUCUGACAAAUCUCAAACAAAUCUCUAACAAAUCUCAAACAAAUCUCUUAUGAGAUUUGAGUCAAUAUUCCCAACACUUAGAGUAAGAUCGAAACAGUUGUUCCAAUUUGUUUUUAUGAUCCUUGUUAUCCUUUGUGGCUUGCAUUGUGGAUUUCGAGGUUUAUGACUGGGUGAUAUUAGAGAGAAAGCUUGUCUAGCUUGGUUUGGUUUUCUUUUCCAACGUAAUUUGUUUAUAUAGACCCAAAACUCGAUUUGUAUUCCGUUGAAGUGUAGGGGAAUAAAAUCUUUUUUUGUGGUGGUUUUUAAAAUUUGAUUUCGAUUGAAAGGAAACGAUAUAAUUGUAUGACAAUUUCUUCAUUUGAAUUUUUUUUAAGUAUCCAUUUUAUUAAUAAAAUUAAUAUAUCAAUCAAUAAAUUUUUAUAAUGAAUACACAUAAACAAAUAUUCCAAGAGGAUUGGUACGAAUAAGAAUAUUAAUGUUGGCUUGAAAUUAACCACAGAUUGGAAAAUGCUAAGCGUAGUGAUAGCGGCCUCCCUUUCUUAUGUCCUAGUGAUGAUAGCAGCCUCCACUAUCUUGUAUCCAUUUUCUAUUGUUUCUUUUGAUUUUGCAGGUGAAAAGGCUAGACAAUGAAGUCAAGAGUAAGGAAUCUAAACUCUCACCCUGUCCAAAUUUGAGCUGUUUCUACACGAAAAAAGUUUUAAAAAAAUCGUCUUGUUGCUCUUGGUUGGACAGAACUUGAUCAUACACAUUGAUUUUCUAAAAACUUAUAAUUUGAAGGAAGUGUCUUGUCUGUAGGAUAAUUUGAUAUUAUUGGUUAAAAAUAUUGUUAUAACAUAUAAAUUUAUGGACCCAUCAUAGACAUAAACUUUAAGAGUCGUUACUAUUUUUUUUUUGUUUAGGUGCAAUUAACCAUUUAACUGAAUCUAUCUUAUUUAAAGAGUAUAUCUAAGAUAGACUUAGGCAUUAUAAAAAUAGACUUAGGCAUUUAAAGAGUAUAUCUAAGAUAGACUUAGGCAGUAUAUCUAAGAUAGACUUAGGCAUUCUUCUGUUUGUCAAUAGACUGAUCCUUCCCUCUCUCUCUCUUCCCUUCCUUUCCUCUCCCCUCUCUCUAAACAGACGAAGAACUCCGGUUGAAUUUCAUCAGAUUUUGGAAAAUGUCAUCGAAAUCUGGGUUUUUCACCAGAAAUUCAUCGAAAAGUUGAUCGAUUUCUGGAAAUAGUCGCCAAAAACUGGGUAGCUGAUCGAAAAAUUCAAACUUGGCCUGAAAAUUCACCGAAAAAUUUAAACUUGGCCGAAAAUUUCAAUCGAAAUCUAUAAAUUUUUCAAAAAUUUUCAGAAAAAAAUUUGCCAAAAUUCUAAAAAAAUUUUGAAAUUACUUCUGGCCCUUCUGAAGGCUUUUUUUUUUCUUUUUGCUCUUUUUCUCAGUCAGUCUCUGUGUUUCUGUUCUAGUCUUUAUGAUUCAUGGAUCUAUUUAUAGGGAUUGAUCAGAAGAGUUUCUGAUCAAUCCCAACUCUUCCUUGGAUUGGGAUUCAAUCCUUGAAUCCAAUAUAGACUCUGAUUGAAUCCUAAAUCUACGGUAGAAUUCCAAAUUUCCAUCCCAAUCUCAGCCGAAUAAAAAGAAAAAGAAAAUCAAAUCAAAUAAAAAAAUGUUAAUAGAUAAUUAAAAAAAUAAUUAGAUAAAUAAAAAUGUUAAUAGAUAAAUAAUAAUAAUAAUAAUAAUAAUAAAUAUAUAAAUAGAUAAGUAAUAAUAAAAAAAUAUAUAUUAAUAAAUAGUAAUAAUAAAUAAAUAAUAAAUAAAUACAAAAAAUACAAAAUACAUAAUAAAAACAAAAUAAAACAAAAUGAAAUGGGCUAACCCAUUUAGACCAGGCCCAAUUGAUCUGGGCUUGGACCAAAUUAAGUGUCUACAGUUGCCCCUCUUUGCAUAUUUUCUGUGAAACAGAAAUUGCGCAAAGAUGUAGACACCCAUUCAAAACUCCACUCGACCUUUUUUUUUUUUUGCUUUUUUUUGUUAAAAUUUUGAUCAAAGUUCCUCUAAGCAGAGGCUCAACGACUUUGAAAAACAUAAACAAAGCUCCUCUAAUCAGAGGCUCAAAGACUUUGAAAAUAAUAAACAAAGCUCCUUUAAUGAGAGGCUCAACGACUUUGAAAAUAAAUAAACAAAGCUCCUCUAAUCAGAGGCUUAACGACUUUUGGGGAAGUAAAUUGCUCGUCUAAUCAGAGGCUCUAUGACUUUUGGAAAGUAAAUUACUCCUCUAAUUAAAGGCUCUACGACUUUGAAAAAUAAACAAAGCUCCUCUAAUCAGAGGCUCAAUAACUUUUGAAAAUAAAUUGCUCCUCUAAACAGAGGCAUGACAACUUUGAAGAAUAGAUUGCUCCUCUAAUCAGAGGCAUCACAACUUUGGAAAAUAAAUUGUUCCUUGACAAUCAUGUUCAAAGGCGUUGAAAAUCAUGUUUGAAGGAAUUUCAGGAGAUUAUGCCCAAAGGUCUUACAAAUCAACCCUGAUACCGAGAGACAUCCUACUUUAAGGAUUAGAAACUUACCUGACAAGCUUUUUUCCCAAAUUUGAAAAUGUUUUUACAUCCGUCUUAUCUAUGUGGGAUGUUGGAAUACCCCUGCUUCUUGAAUUUAUGCACUAUAUUUUCUUGAAUGUAGUAUAUGCUAUGCAAUGCAUGUGAAAUUCAAUGCACGCUAUGUAAAUGUUGGCUAAUUAAUUCCUAUUCAAUUGUGGUACUCAAGUUUCUCAAGCUCUUUUCUUGGGCAUCACCCUUUAUUCUUCAAAGAUCAAAUUACACUACUCUUCUAAGAUCGAGCCAGUAUAGCUCUCAAUCAUCUCUUCCACUCACAUUCUUCCUGUAAGAAAUCUCUUUCCAAAUUUAAUAUCCUUAUCAGGAACUGAACAUCUCAAUUCUGCUUUUAUCACUCUUGACUUCUUCAAUGUAAUGUAAAAAUCUUUCAUGCCAUUAUUCAUUUAUCAAUCAUUAUUUCAAACUCAACAAGUAAGAAUGCAUUUGCACAUUUCUUUGAUUGUAGAGUAUUAAGAAGAAAAGAAUAAGAAUGGUUGAGAAACUGUCAACAGAAAAGGCACACAAAAAGUGAAAUAGAAUGUUUUUUUAUUAGCAAAAUGUUGGCAAACUUUGUCCAAGGAAGAAUUACAAGGAUAAGUAUAGGGAGACAAAGCCCAAAAAUGAACAAUAGGACAAUCAUGAUAACACAUCUCAAGGUUUUCUGAAAACCCAACCAUCUGAUGCAUUUAACAACUCAGAGCUCCUCCAAAUUUGCUAACCUCUACGCCAAUAGAUUUUUGAAAUUUGAUGCUAUAUUCUCCUUAUCUAAGCUACCUUUUUAGGUUUUCAACUUAGAUAAACCCCUAUGACUCAAACUGCCCUUUUAGGGUUUUUGCCUUGAGUCCUCAUUUUUCAUUCACUUUUUUUUCUUUUUUUUCAUUUUUCAUUUUUUUCAUUUUAUUUUUUCUUUUCUUUUUUUUCAAGCAUAGUAUUUCUUCACAGCAUCAAAAUUUAUAGGAUGGGGUAAAUCAUUUCCAUCCAUUUCAGUCAGUAUUAGUGUUCCACCUAAGAAAGCCUGUUUCACUACAUAUGACAUUUUCUAAUUCAGAGUCCAUUUUUCUCUAUUAUUGUGCUGGAUUGGAAGGAUUCUCUUCAAGACCAACUCUCCUUCUCGAAAGCAAUGGGGUCGAAUCUUUUUGUCAUGAGCCCUCAUCAUUCUUUUUUGAUAUAACUGACCAUGGAAUAAUGUAGUCAAUCUCUUUUUUUCUAUGAAAUUUAAUUGUUCAUAGCGUUCUCAAAUCCAUUCAGCUUUUUUCAACUCAACUUCUUUUAGAACCCUUAAGGAUGGGAUCUCCACUUCCACUAGUAGUACAGCUUCCAUCCCAUAAACCAAAGAAAAUGAGGUUGCCUUAGUAGAGGUAUGCACUGAUGUUCGAUAUGCAUGUAGUGCAAAUGAUAACUUCUCAUGCCAAUCUUUAUAAGUCUCAGUCAUCUUCUCAAGAAUUCUUUUUAUGUUCUUGUUGGCUGUCUCAACUGCCCUAUUCAUUUUCGGACGGUAUGGUGUCAAGUUAUAAUGCUUGAUCUUGUAUUGAGCACAUAUUUCUUGCAUCAUCUUACUAUUUAGAUUCUUGGCAUUAUCUAAAAUAAUUCUCUCUGAAAGUCUAUAUCUACAGAUAAUCUCUCUCUUUAUGAAUUUACAAACCACAAAUCAUGUUACAUUUGCAUAUGAUGCUGCCUUCACCCAUUUUAUGAAGUAAUCUAUUAUCACAAAAAUAAAUUUAUGCCCAUUAGAAGCCUUUGGGGUGAUAGGACCAAUGACAUCCAUGCCCCACAUUGAGAAUGGUCAGGGUGGUGCCAUAAUAUGUAAAAUAGAUGGUGGGGCAUGAAUUUUAUCAGCAUAUAUCUGGCAUUUAUGGCAUUUACGAGCAUAGUCAAUGCAAUCACUCUCCAUUGUCAACCAGUAGUAUUCUGCUCUUAUGAUCUAUCUCGUCAUCAUAUGUCCAUUGGCAUGUGCCCCACAUAUUCCAUCAUGUAUCUCUUCAAUGAUUUUUCUUGCUUCAGCCUUACUUACACAUCUUAGUAAUACUUGAUCAUGGCUUUUUUUGUACAGAACAUUCCCAUCUAGGAAAAAACUCAUAGCUAAUCUUUGGAUGACCCUUUUAUCAUUUUUUAUUGCUUGAACUAGGUAUUGUUGAUCCUUAAUAUAUUGUAAGAUAUCAUAAUACCAGGGCUUUCCAUCCUUCUCUUCUUCUACAUUAGAGUAAUGAGCUGGCAUAUCCUUAACAUCUAGCCUGAUGGGUUGAAUGUCAAUAUUGUCAUUAAUUCAAAUCAUUGCAGCCAGAGUAGCUAAGGUAUUGAUAAUCAGAUUCUUUUUUCGAGGUAAAUGAUCAAACUAGAUAUCUUUAAAUUGUUUUAUCAACUCUAAAAUAUACUUAUGAUAUGGAACGAGUUUUGAAUCUCUCGUCUCUCAUUCCUCUUUCAACUUAUAUAUAACUAGAGCUAAAUCCCCAAACAUUUUUAAUGCUUUCACUCUUCUAUCUAUAGCAGCUUGUAGGCCCAUGACACAUGCCUCAUAUUUAGCAAUGUUAUUUGUGCAAUUAAAAUUUAACCUUGCUAUUACAGGGCAGUAUUGUUCUUCUAGGGAGAUCAGAAUUGCUCCAAUUUCAUGUUCCAAGGCAUUGGUAGCUCUAUCAAAAUACAUUCUCCAACACUUUUCUCCAUGCCUUCCUUUCUUCAAUUGGAAAAUAGUUAUUAAAUCUUCAUUAAGGAAUUCUAACCUCAUUGGUUCAUAUUCUUCAGUAGCAUGAUCUGUGAGGAACUCCACUAUAGCGCCUUCUUUUAUUGUCUUUUGGCUUACAUAUAUAAUAUCAUACUCCGAGAGUAUUACUUGCCAUCUAACAAUUCUUCCAGAUAAAGAAGGCUUCUCGAAGAUGUAUUUAAUUGGAUCCAGUUUUACUAUGAGCCAUAUGGUAUGAUAGAGCAUAUACUGUCUGAGUCUUUUGGCAGUCCACGUUAAUGCACAAUACAUUUUCUCCAAUGAGGAAUACUUGGAUUCAUAUUCUGUGAACUUUUUACUCAGAUAGUAAAUAGCUCUCUCUUUUUGGUUAGACUCAUCUUAUUGCUCCAACACACAUCUCAUUGAAUUUUCACACACUGUCAAGUAUAGAAUUAAAGGUUUCCCUGGAAUAGAUGGCACCAACACUGGAGGGUUUGACAAGUAUUGCUUAAUUUUAUCAAAAACCACUUGACAUUCCUCAUUCCAUUUUCCAAGAUUAUUCUUGCAAAGAAGCUUAAAUAUGGGAUCAUAUUUAUAAGUAAGCUGAGAGAUAAAUCGAGAAAUAUAAUUCAAUCUUCUCAAAAAACCUUGAACCCCCUUUGGUGUACUCGGAGGUGACAAAUUUUAAAUGGCCCGUAUCUUGUCUGGAUCGACUUCAAUUCCUCUUUCACUGACCACAAAGCCUAGUAACUUUCCUGACUUUACCUCAAAUGUGCACUUGGCUAGGUUUAACUUAAGCUGAAACCUUCUCAAUCUCUCAAAUAACUUUCUAAGGCUGGUGAUAUGAUCUUCAUUCUCACAAGAUUUUACAAUCAUAUCGUCUACAUACACCUCAAUCUCUUUAUGCAUCAUGUCAUGGAAGAGUGUUACCAUGACCCUUUGAUAUGUUACCCCAGCAUUUUUAACCCAAAAGGUAUGACUUUGUAACAAAAGGUUCCCCACAUGAUCACGAAAGUAAUUUUUUCCAUAUCAUCUGCAGCCAUUUUUAUCUGAUUAUACCCUGAGAACCCAUCCAUAAAGGAAAAAAUUGAAUGCCUAGCCGUGUUAUCUACCAGUGUGUCGAUAUGCGGUAAAAGAAAGUUAUCCUUUGGACUAGCCUUAUUUAAAUCACGAUAGUCUGCACACAUUCAUACCUUUCCAUCUUUCUUAAGAACCGAUACUAUAUUGGCUACCCACUCUAGAUACUUAGCCAUUUGUAGAAAACCUGCAUCAAACUAUUUUUUCACCUCUUCUUUGAUCUUUAGUAGCAUUUAAGGCUUCAUUCACCUCAGUUUCUGUUGAACUGGCUUACAUUAUGAUUUUAGGGGCAAUCUGUGCUCUACUAUCUCCGUGCUCAGUCUUGACAUAUUUUGGUAAGACCAAGCAAAUACAUCCAUGAAUUUCCUAAGUAGAUCUGCCAAAUGUUGUUUAUCUUCUGAUGAAAGUGAAGUGCCAAUUUUGACAUCUUUCUUAUUCUCUUCAUCUCUCAGAUUCACCAAGUUAAUUAUCCCUGAUGAGGCUCAAUUGACUUAUUUUCUUGUUCAAUCAAUCUUAUUAGGUCUGAAAGUAUAACAUAUUCCUCAUAAUUCUCUUCAUUGUCAAGUUCAUCAGUGUUAAUUGAAUUCUCAAAACUAACCUCUUAAUUGUUAUCAUAAUUAUCUUCAUGUUUAUUUAAGGACCUAAAAUUGUAUGAAAUGAGAUAUGUUGACCAGAUGUGUUUGAAAAAAUGGCAAUAAUAAAGACACAAGAAGAAAUGAAUGAAAAUACAUCCUUCUAAAUUUUUAUUAAAAUAAUAAAAGAUAAAUGACGCAAAGAAGAAAGAUCAUCCCAAUGUCUUGGGCAAUAGCUAUUGGGAUGUUACAAUUACAUUGUAUUAGUUUCAAAAGUCACAGACACUUUAAUGGCACUGCAAUUAUUUAGCUCAUAAUUUGGUGGACCCACCUCUUUUGAUUAAGCCCUACUUCAUCUUUAAUAGCAUUAAUGGUUAACUGGGUAAAAGCCCUUUCCAUGCUUUUUUUUGUAUUUGAAUACAUGAAUCUUCCAGGUCUAAAAGUCUCAUACAGGUGUGGGAUAACCAUUAGUCUUACUGUUUUUUCUACUGGCCUUCUCUUGAUCUCUCAUUUUGCUAUCUCAUAGCCUAGGCCUAACCUUUCACUAUUGUCUAUCACUGCCGGGGGUUCUUUUAUUCCUUGCAAGUUCUUGCCCAGCCUUAAUCCUGGAUACCAGCCCUUAUUGAUGACUUGGCUUAUCACUAUCCUUGAAAAAGAUUAAUUUUUAAGUCCUUCACCUAUACAAUUAACUAAUUCAAAAGAUCGAUGAGAGCAUUCUACUACUUUUUCGAUAGCCUUUACAUACGGAGCAUUCAAGGUUGGAUCACUAGCAUGUCUUCCUCCCCAACUACCACUACUAAUUGACCUUUUACAUUAAACUUGAUCUUUUAGUGUAAGGUAGAGGGCACAGCACCUGCCAUGUGAAUCCAUGGCUUUUUUAGUAGACAACUGUAGGAAGGAGAGAUAUCCAUCACUUAAAACUUCACAUUAAAAGUGUACGACCCUAUUUGUAAGGACAUCUCGAUAUCUCUCAAGACUUCUCUUUUGGUUCUAUCAAAAGCUUUCACGAUCAUCUGACUGUCUUUCAUAUGAGAGUAGUCAAUGGGUAACCUUGCCAAAGUUAACAUAGGCAUGACGUUGAUAGCGGAGCCAUUAUCAAUAAGGACUUUAGCUAUGAUAUGGCUCUUGCACUUGACCGUGAUAUACAAAGCCUUGACAUUUCUUCUUCCCUCCGAGGAAAUUUCAUCAUCAUUGAAUGAAAUGUAAUUCAGCAUGACUAGAUUUCUAACUAGGUGGUUCACAUAUUCAACAGAUACAUUAUGUGCCACAUAUGCCUGGUUCAAUACUUUCAGCAGGGUGUUUUGAUGUGGCUUCGAAUUUAAUAACAGUGAUAGUAAUGAAAUUCAUGCUAGCAUUUUAUUCAACUAUUCAACAACUGAAUACUCACUAUGUUUUACCAGCUUCAAGAAUUCACAAGCUUUUUUUUCUAACACCGACUUCGGGCGAUCUUCCUCAGGUUCUACUUCAAGGUUAUUUCAUCCUUCUCCUUCAUUAGCCUUCUCUCUUCUAGCUUUCUCCAAUAUUUUUAGAGUGUAACAUCUUUCACUUCGGGUAAUACCUCUUACACUAGUUAUAUUGGAAGUGUCAGCUUUAGAGACAUCCCUUUUUUACCCCUGAACUACUGUAUUGCAGCCAUAUUUCUAGGGUACAGCUUUAUCAUCCUUGUAUGGGAAAGGAGUCGAAACUUUAAAAGUUAUCAGCUUGGGAAUGAGUUUAUCUAUGAUUGACUUUGGCUUGUUCCCAUAAUGAAUGGUCACCGACUUUGGAAACAGUUUUACAGGCUUAUCAGUCAUAGACACUUCAACACUUUCUAAGUCUUCUCUUUUUUCGUAAACCUUUAUCUAGUAUAAAUUUAAGAGCUUUUGCACUUUUUAGUGAAACUGCUCACAAGUUUCGAUAGAGUGACCCAUUGUCCCGCUAUGAUAUUUACAAGAAGUGCCGACUAUAUAUAUUCCAUGAUGGCUGUAUGGACUCAUUGGUUGUAUCAUGUCAGCUUUUCAUAAAAUAUCAAACAGCUGACUAAGAGGCGUUUUAAUAUCUGCCAUUUCUUUCUUUAAAUGGUGCUCUUGUUCUUCACUUAAAGCAUUCAUAUUAUGAUUAGGGAAGGGAUUGCCACUAAAAUUUGGUGUAGUCACCCCUCCUGUAUCAAAGUUAAUUAUUCCAUCCUUGAUCAAUCAUUGCACUUUGUGUUUCAGGACGGUGUGAUUUUCGAUAGAGUGACCGACAAUCCUAUAGUGAUAGUCACAAUGGGCUGUGGGAUCAUACCACUUAGGGUAAGGUAGCUUGAAGGGCUCUAAUUUACUAGGAGCAAUCAGAUGACUAUUGUAAAACUCAUGAUAUAAUUCUGUAUAGGUCAUUGGGAUUAGGUCAAAUACAAGUUUUUUGUGAGUAGUUUGUUACUCCCGUGAACCACCCAUUAGGUUAGCUAGAUGAGUUUAGGGUUUUAGGUAGGCUGAAUAUUAGGACUAUAUAUGGUAUUCUAAGGCCUAAGAGGAGGUUGAUAUGUUUGGGCAUAAGGUGACUAUGCAAAUGGUUGGUAUGGGUAAGGGGAAGUGUUAUUUACAGUAGGGUAAUAUGGAAGGUAUCCUUGUGGUGAGUAGGGUUGAUAACCUCCAAAUUAUCGUCUAUUAAAGCUCAUAGCUUGAGCUUCAGUCUCUUUCUUCUUUAGGACUCUUUUGCUAGAUGCUUCACUUCCUUUCAACUUGCCAUUCUUGAUGGCAUUCUCGAUAAUUUCUCAUGAAAUUACCAUAUUAGCAAAAUUUUUGGUUGCAUUCCCUAUCAUCUUUUCAUAAUAGAAAGGUUUCAAAGUGCUAACAAACAGCAUUGUAAUCUCUUUCUCAGUCAGAGGAGGUUGUACUUGAGAAGCUACAUCCCUUCAUUUCUAAGCGUAUUCUUUAAAAGACUCAUUUGCCUUUUUCUCCAGGUUCUGUAAAGACAAACGAUCAGAAGCCAAAUCGAUAAUAUGUCGAUAUUGAUUGAUGAAGUCAUGAGCUAUAUCACUUUAAAAAUGAAUACGGGUUCUAUCAGCUGGACAUACCACCUGGUAGCAGAGCCUGUAAGGCUAUCUUGAAAAACAUGCAUUAGUAGUUUUUCAUUAUGUGCAUGGGCUGCCAUCUUUCGACAAUACAUGGUGAUAUGAGUUUUUGGGCACUUCGUAUCAUCAUAUUUCUCAAAUUCUGGUACUUUGAACUUUGGUGGAAUGACUACAUUCGAGACUAAGCAUAGCCCAGCAGCAUCAACAGAACCAUAAAAUCCAAUUCCUUCUACGGCUUGUAAUCUUUAUUCAAACAUACUAAUCUUUAGAUCUUCCUGAGACUCUGCCACUUUUGCUUUCUCUUUAUUUUUCAAGUCAUCUAGAUUAGGAAUCGGUUCUAUUGCCUUUUCAAUAAAGAUAGAAUUUACAUAGCUAUGGUAAUGCCUUGGAUUGGAGGCUGAUAGCAUUCCAGGAUAUGUAAGAUAUGCGAAGUAUUGUGGUGAAACCUCUUGUGUAGACUAGGCUUGAGGUGGACCAAAACCUGAAGGAUAUAAAAGGUCAGCCACUUUUUGUAAUGGGGGAACUUGUUGGUUUGUAUUUUCUUCUAUUCCUUUUCCCUUAUUCAGCUUAUUGAGAGCAUCUAAAAUCUUGCUCAACUCAUUUUCAAUCUUUUCCUGUGCUUUCUCUAGCUUUUCAAAUCUGUGAGAGUUUUUCUGCUCCAUUUGUCUGACUCUGGCUUUUGUGUUGUAUCGAUGGAUAGGGUUCUCGCUAGAUGGAGUUAUCCUUGAACCUUGAGUACCAUAUCUUAGAAUUAGUAAAUUUGCAUGACUAUCUCAUGGUUACUUUGUUAAGUGUAAUGAGUGAGAAUGCAAUGAAUGAGAAUGCAUGUAUGCAAAGAACAUUUGCCUUAAAGAUGGUAUUUAACUAAAAGAUUUCAUUUAUUCCAAAAAACUUUUAUUUACAUUGAGUUUAUCAGCCUAAAAUUAUAACCAUAAAAUUGUUUGAUCUGUUUAUAUUGGGCCUUGGCUUUUUCGAUAAAGUUUAAUAGACGCUACCCAUGCUCUCUUACUGGGGUCACCACUUGUUUUAAUACCUCUGCCUCUUCUACCAUCUCUCUUGCCUUGCAUACCCCUUUACAAAUUUGGGUCGUUAGGUACUCAAUAUAUUUCUAUCUUCUUAAGUUCUCUCUUUUACCAUACCAGACUUGAUAUGAUAACUGUCUAUCCUCCCUAACUAAUGCAGCAAUAUGGUCUUUUUGUUCAUUCAACUUUUAUCUCAGCCUGCUUAGAUAACUAUUCAGCAUGUUAUUCUCUAUCUAGACUUAGGUACUUUCUUCUUCCAAUUCAGCAUAUUUUUGUUUCAAUCUUGCAUUCUCUUCAGUUAGCUCAAUAAUCAUUAUCUCUUUGGCCCUUUCUCUCACGCAUAAUCUCUUAUAUUUUGAUAUAGCUCUGCUAGGUCUUUAAUAGUCGUAUCAUGUUCUCUAACAAUCUUACAAACUUUGGCUUCAUGUCUUUCAGCUCUAUCUUUCCACUAGUCUUUUUCUUCUUGAAGCUUCUGGAUUUCUUACUUUAACUUACCCUUUUCAUACUCAAAUUUUUUUGUCGCAAGCUCUAAUUCUGAUGGUGUCUCUUCAAGCUUUCCUCUUGUUGGCGGUUGAAAGCUUUCAUAAGUGAAUACCAUUUCUUGUUUUCAUUUUGCUCUCCAAACCAAAUACCCUGGAGUGACUUUAUCAGUAAACGAUCCAAGACUCACUCUUCGGGGAUUUUUCCAUGCUUUAAUCAUCUCAUUCAUCUUUUGAAAUACUUUUGGCUCACUGUAAGAGAAAUCUAAUUAAUGAAGCCCAUACGUCAUAGGAAUAAACUGUUCUGCCCCAAACUACCUUUUCACUGGGAGUGAUGCAUAAUUUGUCGCUCCCUAUAAACCCAGAAGUGGGGCCACUAUAUUUAUCCCCACAUUGAUACAACAUAGGCUCACGAUUCAUCUAUGGGGCCAACCAUCUUACUGUGGCACUGGUCAAUUUUUAUAGGAAAGUUAUCCAUUCUUUUUUAGAUUUUCAUUCUGACCACCCACUUUCACAGAAUUCUUUGAUCAGAGCUCGAUUACGAACAUAAAGCUUUGAGAAAGCACCUUUUCUCCAUUCAAAAUGGCUUUUCAUCCAUAAGUAUAACAACUGUAUGCAACCUAUAAAGCGCCCUCCAUUCCGACGGUAGUAAUUCAAAGAUCUGAUAGUCUCUACUAAUAUUAUGGUUGAAGGAUUACAGCCAUUGAUCACACUCUCGAAGAAGUCAACCACCUUUAUCUCAAUAUAACCCAAAACCUUUGAGAAGAUCACCUUUCCAUAUAUAGCUAAGGCAAAUACAUCUAACCCCCGUUCUUCGUUGGCAUGUUGCAAUAGAAACUCAUGAAAGAACUUCCACGGUAGGCAAACCUGUUCUUGUUUCUUCUUUAUAUGAGAAUCCACAACUUCUUUGUCUAUCCUCAUGAGUUAAGCUAAACCAUUACAAAAUCCUGACUUGUGUUUUUUGACAUAUAUCUUAUCGGGAGCCUUGAGGUGCAAACCCAACAAAGUUGAAUAUUCUUUGAUGGUUGUGUCAUAUCAACUUCAUUGAAGAUGAAAUACUUGUAUGCAGGAUCCCAAAAUUAUGCUACAGCUCUGAUUAGUUGAUCGUCGAUAACUACUGCUAGAAGGUGUGCUAUAUGCCCAUGUCUCUGGCAAAACUGCUCUUGUCUUGACGAACUCAUCUUCUUCCAUAAAUCAACCAAGUCCUCUAGAUUAUUUUGUUUGAGAAGGAUAGAUGUUUCUUGAGACAAGGUAGAAUCAUAUCCGAUUGAUAAACAAUCCCCCAUCUUCAGUUGAAUCUUUUUUUACUGGACCAUUACUUCGUUGGGUGACUCACAAGGUGCUAAUACAGAUGAAGAACAAACUAGUUGUUUUAUGGAGUCCAUGAAAAAUUUUUGUAAAAGACCGUCUUUCAAGCAAAUGUUCUUUAUGCAACUUUAUGAUAUAAGCAUGAACCGAUGCAAAAGAAUGAGAGAAAAGGUUAGUAUGCUCAGAAAAAAAAAGAAUAAAUAAAUAACUAAGUAAAUUAAAAUAUCACACAGAAUAAGAGGAAUGAAUCCUAUGCUUUUGGUUAAUUCUAAAAAGGAAGAAUAAUGGCUCUAUCUAUAGGUUAGGCACUCUUAAGGUUCACUAUAUGUGGUUUGAUGUUAAAGUCUAAAGGUUCCUAAAUUACUCCUUACAUCAUUGUCCAUCACAGACUAGUAAGGCACCCUAAUCCUCACCCAUUACAAGCUACAAGCGAAAAAGGUUCAAUUUGAGUGGGAGUAUUUCGUUAGUCACUGUAGAGGCAUUAGACCUCACGAAAGUAAUAGGUACUUUACUCCCUUAUAGAGGCACGGAGCUCGGGUAUAGAGCUCAUGUUAUGCAUAUGCAUAUGAAUGACAUAAUUAAUAAAGUAAAUAAACAUGAAUGAAUAAAAGAAUCUAUACAAAAGGUUCAAUUUUAUUGGGCUUUUGGAUAACAUAAAUUUAUUUGCUGGCCUAACUCUCAGACAUCCCCAGUGGAGUCUCCAAGCUGUCAUAACAUCUAAAUUCAGGGAUCUAUCACUAGACAUUGACUUAAGGAGUUGCCACCAAUCUUUUUUAUCUAGGUGUGAUUAGCCACCUAAGGAAUCUAUCUUUUCAGGGAACACCUAAGUUUAAGGGUCCCUAAAAGAAUAGGUUCAAGUCUACUAACCAGAAUAGGGUUCGAGAGUUCGGUUACGUGUGAGGAAGGUUAUAGCACCCUCACAACGCCCAUCGAAAGAUGGUACCAGCUUAAUUUUGUGUUAUCCAAUAAGCCUUAAAAAUUUACCAAGUAAUUAAUUAUUGAAAAUUAUUCUCAAUUGACUCUAAUACUUUUAGCAAAAAUUUGAAAAAAUUUUCUCACCUCAAGAGUAUGCAAGAAAACUACUAUUUCACUUGUAGAGGCUCCAUCGUCGGAUUAUUUAACAUUAAAGAAAAUUCAAGAAAAUAAAAAGGAAAAAAAUGAUUGCUUUAGAUAUAAACUCUUUUCUCUUCAAGAAUUCAGUGCUUUUAUACAAGAAAAAUUUAUAUUUUCAACUUUUCCUCAAAAAUUCAUUUUUGAAAACUUAUUUUUAAGUAAAAUUGAUACUUUCAACUUUUUCCCAAAAAUAUUCUUUCUCAAAAAUAUAUUUUAGAAAGAUUAUUUUCAAGAAAAAAUGAUACUUUCAACUUUUCCCCAAAAAUAUUUUUUAGAAAUACUUAUUUUCAAGGAAAAUUGAUACUUUCAACUUUUUUCAAAAAUAUUUUUUAAAAAGCUUAUUUUCAAGGAAAAUUAAUACUUUCAACUUUUCCUCAAAAAUUUUUUUAGAAAAACUUAUUUUCAAGGAAAAUUGAUACUUUCAACUUUUUCCCAAAAAUAUUUUUAGAAAGCUUAUUUUCAAGGAAAAUUGAUACUUUCAACUUUUCCUCAAAAAUAUAUUUUUUUGAAUUUUAUUUAAAGAAAAUAAUAAAAAUAAAAAUAAAAAUAAAAAUAAAAAUAAAAUAAAAUGAGAUAAAAUAAGAAAUACUAAAUAAUUCUAAUCUAAUCAAUAAAUAAUAAUAAAUAAAUAAAUAAAUAAAAACCUAAAAACGGCUCGGCUUAGCAGCUCGGCUCGGCUCAGCUCCGUACUCGGGUCACACGUGGGUCGUAAGCGAGUUGGCACUCAGGUCGGGUUGCCCAAUUUCAAAACGCGCAGAUCCUCUAAGAACAGUUACGCCAAAAUGAUGUCGUUUUCAACAAGUAUAAAAGGCUAAUUCCUUUAUUUUUCAGUAGAUCGAUCCUUCCCUCUCUCUCUUUCCUUCCUUUCCUUUCCCCUCUCUUUAAACAGAUGAAGAACUCCAGUUGAAUCUCGUCGAAUUUUGGAAAAUGUCAUCGAAAUCUGGGUUUUUUUGUUGAAAGUUCAUCAAAAAGUUGGUCGAUUUUUGAAAAUAGUCGUCGAAAACUGGGUAGCUGACCGAAAAAUUCACCGAAAAAUUCAUCGAAAAAUUCAAACUUGGUCGAAAAAUUCAAUCGAAAUCUGAAAAUUUUCCAAAAAUUUCCAGAAAAAAAAUUCACCAAAAUUCUAAAAAACAUUUGAAGUUGCUUCUGGCCCUUUUGAAUGUUUUUUUUUUUCUUCUCGCUCUUUUUUUCAGUCAGUCUCUGCGUUUCUGUUCUAGUCUUUGUGAUUCGUAGAUCUAUUUAUAUGGAUUGAUCAGAAGAGUUUUUGAUCAAUCCCAACUUUUCCUUGAAUUGGGAUUCAAUCCUUGAAUCCAAUAUGGACUCUGAUUGAAUCCCAAAUCCACGGUAGAAUUUCAAAUUUCCAUCCCAAUCCCAGUCGAAUAAGAAGAAAAAGAAAAUCAAAUCAAAUAAAAAAAUGUUAAUAGAUAAUUAAAAGAAAAUAAUUAGAUAAAUAAAAAUGUUAAUAGAUAUAUAAAUAGAUAAGUAAUAAUAAAAAAUAUAUAUUAAUAAAUAGUAAUAAUAAAUAAAUACAAAAAAUACAAAAUACAGAAUAAAAAAUAAAAUAAAACAAAUUGAAAUGGGCUGACCCAUUUGGACCAGGCCCAAUUGAUUCGAGCUUGGACCAAAUUGGGUGUCUAUAAAAUUCUUUAUUAGUUUGGUUAAAUUCAUAAUUGAAAUUUUCUAAACCAAUGAAAUAAAAAAUUCAUAAUUUAAAACUCACAAUCUUUAAAUUUUAUUUGAAAUGUACAUAAAAAAGUAAAAUAAAUGAAUAAAUAUAUAAAUAAACAAAAUGUAAAAAUUACCCUAAUGGAUGGAGACAUGCCUAGGUUGAAGUAUCUCUUGAUCUAUGGUAACAGAUAAUCACCAAAGAGCUCUACCACCAAUUUGAACCUAAGAGCUAGGGUAUAGAUUGCUACUCAUCCAUUUCUUGGUGGGUUUUCCUUUUUUUCUCCCCCUUUUUUUUUGUAUUUUCUUGAUUGGUGUUUAUAUUACGCCUUUUGCUAAGAGUUUUAACGAUUUGCAUUGAAUGAAAAGGAUUGCAAAUCAGAUUAUACUCUGAACUGAUUUUUUCUUGAUUCUCUUUAAAAUUUAUUUAAUUAAUUUCUAGAAUUGUCUCAAUUUUCCUUGAUUUUUAGAGUCCCUUAAAACUUCCCAAACUAAAUUUGACUUUGAUUCCUUGAUUUGCUUUCUUUUCAACCUUCCUUUAAUAUUUGAAGAGAUCGUGUUUUAGUUUUAAUUGUCGAGAUCAUCCUUGAUUAGUGCUCAAAUUACUCCAUAAAUUUUAUUGACAUGAUUUAUGAUGAAAAUUUAAAAUAAAAUAAAUAAAAAGAGUAAAACAUAUAAAUAAAUAAGAUAUAAAAAGAUAUAAAAAGAAAUGAAGGAAAUUGGACAAUUGGGCUUAGUUUGAGCCCCGAACUAAAUAGGGUGUCUAUAGUUAGCCCUCUUUGCAUAGUUUUUGUAAAAUAGAAAUUAUGCAAAGAUAUAGAUAUCUAUUACGUUCAAGCCCAAAUUAUUCAAUUAUUUUCUUUUUUUUAAAGGCUCUUAAAAAUGAAGGCACACAACUUUUUAAAAAAUUAAGGACGACACCCAAAGGUUUUGAUAAUCAUGCCCAAAGGUCUUAUAGAUCAUGUCCAAAGAGCUUGAAAAUUAAGCCCGAACGUCUUACAAAAUCAUUCAUUAAAAAAUGCUCAUUUAAAUAAAGGCUACACAACUAUUAAAAAAGUACCUAAAAGUUUUAAAAGAUCAUACCCAAAGGUCUUAGAGAUUAUGCUCGGAGUUCUUACAAAUCUUGACUCUAAAAUAAAUUCAACUCGAAAGACUUACAAAUCUUCCCUAAAGGACUUAGAGAUUAUGCUCGGAAGUCUUACAAAUCUCGAUCUUAAAAUAAAUUCAACUCGCAAGACUUACGAAUCUUGCCCAAAUGACUCAGAGAUUACACUUAGAAGUGUUACAAAUCUUGACUUUAAAAUAAAUUCAGCUCAAAAAACUUAUGAAUCUUGUCCAAUGACAUAUAAAUUAUAAUCAGAGGUCUUAUAAAUCUCGACUCUAAAAUAAAUUCAAGUCAGAAGACUUACGAAUCUUACUUGAAGGACUUGGAGAUUAUGUGUAGAGGUUUUACAAAUCUUGGAGAUUAUGCCUAGAGGUCUUACAAAUCUUAACUCUAAAAUAGAUUCAGCUAUGGAGAUUUAUGAAUAUUGCCUAAAAAACUUCGAGAUUACACCCGAAGGUUUGAUAAAUCUCAACUCUAAAAUAAAUUCAGCUUGAAAGACUUAUGAAUCUUACCUAGAGGUCUUACAAAUUAAACUUCAAAAAAGCUUAUUUAAAAUGAAUGUUCAACCACUUUAAAGAGAAAAAAGAUAUUUGGAGGUUUUAAAAAUCAUGCUCGGAAGUCUUAUAGAUAUUGCUUGAAGGACUUUUAAAAUAGUUUAAUAGUUUUGAAGGUGUUGCCAAAGGGUUCAUAAAAAAAAUUAUCCGAAGGUUUUUUAAGACUAAUACUUAAAAAUUUUAACAAAUUUACCUUGAGGUAAAAUCUUGUUUGAUCAAAGUUUCGAUUUUUAUCAAAAAUUUAAGUCAACAUCUCUUUCCCCUAAAAAAUAUAAAUGCACAUAUAAAAUAGAUGUGAUGUAUACUAUGUAAAAAAUGCAUGAAGUGCAAUGAAUUAAAUGCAUGAAUUUUAUACCAAAUGUCCUUAAUUGUGGUAAUAGGUUUAUCAAAACUUUUUCUUCCUUCCAUCUUUCCAUAACAUAUCCUCUGAAUUACUUGACAAGUUCUUUCAUUCCCUAAAGUAGACAUUCUCAACAUUUUCAUUCUUGAAAACUAUUCUUCUCUUCUAGUGAGUUGUUUUAAUUUCGAUCCCUUGCAUUUGGUAUUUUUUUGUCCCAAAAAGGUCUUUUAUAGCAUUCACUUGUCUCCCACCCUAAGCAUUAAGAUCCACUAUAUUUUGAACAUUUUUCAAAACUUCCCAUGAAUAGCAAUAGAAAUUGCCCCAGAUAUCUCUCUUCUACAUGUGAUCAAAUCUUUUAAAAAUUGAUGAUUACUACUUAGGAUAAGGAUGAUGAAUCAUAAUUUUGGUCUUCCAAAAGGAUGUAAUGGUUUGGCACCCCUUUCAGUUCUUGAUAUAUGGUAUUUUAAUAAAUAUCAAGAACAACUAUGUUAGGUUCAAAUUUUCAAGUUUGAAAAAAGAACAAGGCCUAAAUUCUAGAAGGAAUCUUCAUAUUGAGAUCAAUCUUUUUGGGCCUUUAAAGAAAAGUCUUCUUGGUGCUACAUGAAAAGUCAUGAGUUGCUUUCAGAGUUUCAAUCUUGCUUUAGGCUGCCCUUUCAAGUUUUCACCCUGAAACUUCAUUAUUUUCUCUUUUUUUUUAUGAUAUUCCAUCAUGCAUUUGAGCAUUCAAAAUUUAUCAAAAAGUGAUGGUGAUUUCCUAAAGAAAAACUCAUUAAUUUAGAUAUCCAUACUUGAUCAAAAUAGACUUUUUAAAGGACGUAAUGUGGGCUGAGGUUUAAGGUUUUAAAAAAAGCAUAAAUAGGCCCAAAGAAUGUAUUUAUAGGUGAUCAAACCAAAUAUCAUUUAUUUUUUAGAAACAUAUUUCCUUUUUUCAAAGAUGCAUUUUCUCUUUUCUCUCUUUUUUUCUUCUUUUCUUUUCUUCUCUUUUUUUUUUCUUUUGCAUGAGCUUAAAAUUUUUUAAACUCAUCUUAUUUCAAGCUUGCUUCUUAACAUAAGGCAUUAUUUGCUAACCCUCAGCACAAGAUUAGAUGCCAUCUUGAUGAGAUCCUUUUUCUCUUAAACUUGUCCCCAAAAUUUAAAGGUUGAUCCCUAGUUAAGGUUCAUUCGAAAGAAUAAUCAAAGGUUUAAAAAAGGUAGCAAAUGGAUUUUUUUUCUUUUAUGAAGGGAAUUUAAAAGAUAACCAUUUUUCAUUUCAAGUAUGGAUACCUAUUGAAAAGCAGUCCUUAAGAGACAACUUGUUUCUGAUUGAUUUUAGGUUCAUUUGAAUGCCCCACAAGCAUGAUUUCAUAAUCAACUCUCUUUUCUUUUUUUUUUUUUUUGUAAUUCAUGCAUUUUAUUAAUUUAUUCCAAGAAAAAGUAAAUCUCCAAAUAGUUUGGUAGGACUUACUUUGAAGCAAUCCUCUAAUAGUUUAAAGGAUAAAAUUUCUUUAUUUAUUUGAAAAGACCUUUUUUUUUAUUGAAAAGAUUUUUUAAUUAUUUUUUAUUAUUUUGAAAAUUUUAUUUUCCAAAAUUUUUUUGUUUGAAAAGAUUUUUUUAAGAAUUACUUUUUUUUCUUUUUUUACUUUUAGAAAUAAAAAUGGAAAAAAUAACAUUUUUUUUAAAAAAUAAAAAAUGGGUUAAAAAUAAAAUAAAAUAAAAUAAAAUUAGAAAAUAAAAAAAAAUAGAAAAGAAAAAACCUGCGAUCAGGUCGGGUCAGUACCAAGGUCAAAACGCGGGUCAAUGAGUCACGUGCGGAUCCUUGGCUAUAUAAAAUGGUGUCGUGUUAGAAGAGUAUAAAAGCCACACCACUCAGCUUUUCUUCAGAACUAUUUGAUUAAGCUUUUCUUUCUAAAAUGUUUAUUCUUUUGUCUUCUCUCUAAUUGAUUUCCAAAAAUUGACGAAUAAAUCUCAAAAGCUGAUAGGGAAUUUCCAAGAACCCAACAAAUUAUCUAGAAAGCUAAACUCAAAAGUUCCUGGAAUGCAAAACCCUACAGAAAUUCAAACCCAAAAACACCAAGUCCCAAUCCUAGAAAAUCUAAACAAAUCAAAUCCAAGACCUAAAAUCUCUUGGUUGCUAAAAAAAUUUCUCUUUUUUUUUCUCUAAAAUUUCUGCAUAAUCUUUUUUUUUUUCUCCUUUCCCUUGCUUUGAUCACAGGUUUAUAUAAAGGUUCAUGCUCAAUCAAUUCUCCUUAAAUCCAUGAUUUUGUUUGAUUUCCGUUUUAAUGAGAAUUGAUUUUGAAAUCAAAUCCCAAAAUUCUCUCCCUAUCAUUUUAAUGUAAAUUGAUUAUGAAAUUAAAUCCCAACAAUCUCUCCACAUCAAAUGCCAAUUGAUUUUGGAAUUAAAUUCCAAAAAUCUCUCAAGUAUGGUUAAACUCCGAAAAAAUAUUCCCAGAUAAAAUGGGGUGUCUACAAAUGAUCAAAGUUCAAAUUUUGACAAUUUUAAAUAUGAAUUCUUUAUAUCAUCUUACAUUAUACAUGCACAUGUAAUAAUACAUACAAAGCAAGUAAUAAAAAGCUAAAAACUAUCUUAUAAAAUGUGGAAAUUAUAGUGGGGAAUUGGGGGUUAGAUAAUAGGAAGCCUUAAAAAAAAAUGAAUUAUUACCAAAUUACAGUAGCAUCAUCUCAAUAUAAUUAUUUUGUAAGAAACCUUUAUGAGGUAAGAGAGGGUCUAAAUUUAUAAUUGAAAAAUCAAUUAGCUAAUAGUAGGAUAGAAAAAUAAUUUAAAAGAUUACAAUUAGUAAUUUCAUAAUCAAAUAAAUGAUUUUUUAAAAAAUUAAUGUAAAACUAUGUUUUUUAAACAACGCAAUGCAUAAAUGACAUCACAAAUUAAUCCUUCAUAUAUGUCUUGCAAACAUUUUAAUAAAAUUACAAAAAAAAAAUUUAAGCAUUUCCAAAAAUAAAAUCCAGAUAUAUAUCAUAUUGCUAAACAUGCUAUUUCAACUUUUGAUAAUUGAAGUUACCAUCAUAAAUGAAAUCCCACUUGAAAUCCUGCCACUAAUUAACUCACUUUGAUAUUUUAAUUCUUAUCAGUGUGUAACUAUUUUUUACCUGCUGAGACCAGCAUUGGUAUAUACUUCAAUCUUUUUGUCAAACAUCUUCAAGUUUAUCAAAACCAUUUUCUUCUAUGCUUACAUAUGCGAGUGCAAACACAUUUGCGUUUGUGUACAAAUAAAAGGAAUUAAGCAUUUAAAGUAGAUUCAUAUAUACACCAUCUGCUUCCUCCCAAAUAUGUUUGCUUUCAAGUUUCCUCAAACCGUUUGUCAUAUUUUUAGGUAUUAAAAAUAUUAACAUAUAAUUUAUAAUAGUGCGAUCAACGUGGUCAUGGUAUUUGAUACACAUAAUAUAACUUGUAAGCAUACAAAAUUACACGCAGAUUCGCAUAAAACAGGGGGUUUUAUUUUAUUUUAAUUUUAUCAUGUUUUUCAGAUAACAUGAAAGAAAAAGACCCAAAGAUAUAAAUUUAUUUUUCAUCAGUCAUAAGCACCCCCCCAUACUUAGGCUGAAAGUUGAUCCAUCAGCACUUAAACGGAACCGCUGAAACCUUUAUUGUAAGCAUAUUCAAUAAGGGAAUCCAACUCAUCAUUGGUGCAGUCGAUCAAAUUGUCCUUAUUUUUAUCAGCAACGUCCAUGGCCUCUUCAACUUGCUUGUUUGGCGUGAGUGCACCUAGAUGUUCAAAAGCAUCCUUGAGCUGGUCCCUGGUGAUGCUGCCCUGCUUGGAGUAAGAUCGAAACACUUGUUCCAAUUUAUUUUUCUGAUCCUUGUUAUCCUUUGUGGCUUGCAUUGUGGAUUUUGAGGUGUGUGACCGGGUGAUAUUAGAGAGAAGGCUUGCCUAGCUUGGUUUGGUUUUCUUUUCCAAUGCAAUUUGUUUAUAUAGACCCAAAACUCUGAAUACGAUUCUGUUGAAGUGUUGGGGAAUAAAACAUUUUUUGGUGGUGGGUUUUAAAAAUUGAUUUCCAUCUUUUUUAUCAAUAAAAUUAAUAAAUCAAUCAAUAAAUUUUAUAAUGAAUACUUAAAAAAAUAUUCCAAGAGGAUUGGUACGAAUAAAAAUAUUAACGUUAAUUUCUUCUUUUCUUCUGGCUUCAAAUUAACCACAGAUUGGAAAAAGCUAAAUAGCAGCCUCCACUAUCUUGUGUCCAUUUUCUAUUGUUUCAUUUGUUUUAGCCCUCAAUUUGCAGUUUUUAGGUUUUUCUUUUUUGGUUCCCUGAUUAAAUGAUGCAUUUUGGUCCAUUUGGUUUUAAUGAAUUUUCAGAAUUUGGUAGAUCUCGUGAAAGGAGUUCUAGGAAGUACUUUGAUGAGCAUGCUUGUAAAUUGUGAUAAUUAUUCUGUAUGAAUGUUAAGUUAUAAAUUAUAUUUUAAAUUAGAUAAUUUUGUAAAAAAAUUAUAUUGAUGGAAGCGUGUACAUGGUAUUCAGAUUUUAUCUUUUCAUUUCUUCAUUUUUUUAUAAAGCUUUAUUUUUAAAAAGUUCCUAUUAAAAAUUUUUACAAGAAUAAAUCAUCAUUAGUAAUAUUGCAUGACAAUUCAAUUUUUUUUUCCUUUUUAUUUGUUUUGAUUUUGAUUUUUUCUUUUUUACUUUUUUUCUACUUUAUUUUUUAUUAGAUCAAUUGUUUCAGUGAAAAAAACUUAUCGGAUGUGCCCACAUGGCAUCCUAUUUUAUUUUUUGCCUUUCAUCUUUUUUUAAUUAGAUAAAUAAUACAAUAAAAAAAUCAAUAUAUAAAUUUUAUAAGAUAAAAAUCAAUUGAAGUAUAGACAACAAAAUAUCUUGUAUCCGAUAUGUUUCGAUUCCUAUGGAUCAAUCGUUGUGCUUUUUCUUUUUUUAAUUUAGGAUUGGAAACCUUAAAAAAUAUGAAUUAUUACCAAAUUACAAUAGCAUCAUCUACUAAAAUAAUUUUGUAAGAAACCUUUAUGAAGUAAGAAACGGAAAACUUAUAAUUGAAAAAUGAAUUAAUUAAUAGUAGGAUAGAAAAAUAAUUUAAAAGAUUACAAUUAGUAAUUUCAUAAUCAAAUAAAUGAAUUUUUUUAAAAUUAAUGUAAAACUAUGUUUUCUAAACCAAAGCAAUGCACAAAUGACACCACAAAUUGAUCCUUCAUAUAUGCCUUACAAACAUUUUAAUAAAAUUACAAAAAAAAAAAUUUAACUAUUUCCAAAAAUAAAAAUCUUGAUAUAUAUAAUUUUGCUAAAUAAGGUAUUUAAACUUUUGAUAAAUGAAAUUACCUUCAUAAAUGAAAUCUUACUUGAAAUCCUGCAACUAAUUAACUCAUUUUAAUAGUUUAAUUUUCAUUAAAGUGUAAUUUUCUUUUGCUUGCUAAGACCAACAUCAGUAUGUACUUUAACUUUUUUGUCAAAUAGCUACAGUUUUAUCAAAAUCAUUUUCGUCUAUACUUAUAUAUAUGCACGUACAAAAACAAAUCCAUAAAUGUGUGUAAAAUUAAAAAGAAUUAAGCAUUUAAUACGAUUCAUAUAUAUAUAUAUAUAUAUAUAUAUAUAUACACACACACAUCCACACACUAUCUGUAUUUCUCAUAAAUAGGUUAACUUUCAAGUUUUCUCGAAACCUUUUAUCAUGUUUUUAAGUAAUAAAAAUAUUAGGGUAUGGUUCAUAAUAGUACGAUUAACAUGUUCAUGGUAUUUGAUACACACAAUAUAACUUGCAAGCAUGUAAAAUUACACAGAUUUGAAUAAAAACAGGGGAUUUUAUUUUAUUUUAAUUUUAUCAUGUUUUUGGGAUAACAUGAAGGAAAAAGACCCAAAGCUAUAUAUUUAUUUUUCAUCAGUCAAAAGCAUCCCCCAUACUUAGGCUGAAAGUUGAUCCAUCAGCACUCAAACGGAACUGCUGAAGCCUUUAUUGUAAGCAUAUUCAAUAAGGGAAUCCAACUCAUCAUUGGUGCAGUCGAUCAAAUUGUCCUUAUUUUUAUCAGCAACGUCCAUGGCCUCUUCGACUUGCUUGUUUGGCGUGAGUGCACCUAGAUGUUGAAAAGCAUCCUUGAGCUGGUCCCUGGUGAGGCUGCCCUGCUUAGAGUAAGAUCGAAACACUUGUUCCAAUUUGUUUUUCUGAUCCUUGUUAUCCUUUGUGGCUUGCAUUGUGGAUUUUGAGGUUAUGACAGGGUGAUAUUAGAGAGAAGGCUUGCCUAGCUUGGUUUGGUUUUCUUUUUCCAACGCAAUUCGUUUAUAUAGACCCAAAACUUUGAACACGAUUCUGUUGAAGUGUAGGGGUAUAAAACAUUAUUUGGUGGUGGGUUUUAAAAAUUGAUUUCCGUCCUCUUUAUCAAUAAAAGUAUUAAAUCAAUCAAUAAAUUUUUGUAAUGAACACUUCAAAAAAAAUUCCAUGAGGAUUGGUACGAAUAAAAAUAUUAAUGUUAAUUUCUUCUUUUCUUCUGGCUUCAAAUUAACCACAGAUUGAAAAAUGCUAAAUAGCAGCCUCCACUAUCUUGUGUUUCGUUUAUUUUAGCCCUCAAUUUGCAGUUUAGUUUUAGUUUUUUUUUUUUUUUUUUUUUUUUUGUGGUUGCCUGAUUAAAUGAUACAUUUCGGUUUUAAUGAAUUUCCAGAAUUUGGUAGAUCUCGUGAAAGGAGUUCUAGAAAGCACUUUGAUGAGCAUGCUUGAAAUUUGUGAUAAUUUUUACUAAGAAUUUUUACAAGAAUAGAUCAUCAUUGCUAAUAUUGUGUGACAAUUUAACUUUUUUUUUGUUUUCAUUUUCGUUUUAUUUUUUUUUUAGUUUUUUUUCUCCCCUUUUUUUUUAUUAGAUCAAUUGUUUCAGCAAAAAAAAAAAAAAAAAACCCAAUGGAUAUGCCUAGAGUGUAACGAGCGACGUUGACCGAAUCGUGAGAAGCUUGACUUGAGGCUCGGAGCUCGACCACACCUCCGGGGCUCGAUACUAUGGCUCGAUUGUAUUGCGUGAUCGAAUCGAGCUAUUCGAGCUCGCUCGAUUAAGUUUCGAUUAAUAUGUUCAAAAAAAAGCUCGAUUCGUAUCUCGAUAAGAGUCUUGAUUUAAUUCAUGCUCGAAUUCAAAAAUCGAAUAUUUUAUUAAUUAAUAAUAAUAAAAAAUUUCUAAAUUAUAAGCUCGACUAAGCUCGCGAGCUACUCGAGUUAGAUAUAAGAAUACUCGAAUUCAGCUCGAUCGAUAAGUCGAGCUACUCGAGCUCGAGCUCGACUCGAUAAUAAUCGAACCGAAUUGAACCCGAAUAGCUUAUGAGUACUAAUGUAUCAUUUACACCCUUAGGUAUGCCCAUGUGCCAUCUUAUUUCAUUUUUUGCCUUUCAUUUUUUUUGUAAUUAGAUAAAUAUCACAAUAAAAAAAUCAGUAUAUAAAUUUUUUAAGAUAAAAAUCAAUUGACGUGUAGACAACAAAAUAUCUUGUAUCCUAUAUGUUUCGUUUCCUGUGAAUCCAAUCGGUGUGCUUUUUUUUUUUUUUAAAUUUAGGAUCAGAAGCCUUAAAAAAUAUGAAUUAUUACCCAAUUAUAAUAGCAUCAUCUACUAAAAUAAUUUUGUAAGAAACCUUUAUGAAGUAAGAAACGGAAAACUUAUAAUUGAAAAAUGAAUUAAUUAAUAGUAGGAUAAAAAAAAUUUAAAAGAUUACAAUUAGUAAUUUCAUAAUCAAAUAAAUGAUUUUUUUUAAAUUAUAUGUAUAAGUAUGUUUUCUAAACCAAAGCAAUGCACAAAUGACACCACAAAUUAAUCCUUUUAUAUAUGCCUUGCAAAUAUUUUAAUAAAAUUACAAAAAAAAUUUAACUAUUUCCAAAAAUAAAAUCUUGAUAUUUAUAAUUUUGCUAAACAAGUUAUUUAAACUUUUGAUAAUUAAAGUUAUCUUUAUAAAUGAAAUCCAACUUGAAAUCUUGCAACUAAUUAACCCAUUUUGAUAUUUCAAUUCUCAUCAAGAUAUAACUUUGUUUUGCUGCUGAGACCAACAACAAUAUGUACUUUAAUUUUUUUUGUCAAAUAGCCUCAAUUUUAUAAAAAUUAAUUUUGUCUAUACUUAUAUAUAUGCACGUGCAAAAACAUAUGCAUAAGUGUGUGUAAAAAUAAAAAGAAUUAAGCAUUUAAAUUAGAUUGAUAUAUAUAUAUAUAUAUAUAUAUAUAUAUACACUAUCUGCUUUCCUUCCGAAAAGGUUGACUUUCGAAUUUCUUCAAACCUUUUAUCAUGUUUUUAAGUAAUAACAAUAUUAGUGUAUAGUUUAUAAUAGUAUGAUCAACGUGUUCAUGAUAUUUGAUACACACAAUAUAACUUGCAAGUAUGUAAAACAACACAGAUUUAAAUAAAAAUAGGGGGUUUUAUUUUAUUUUAAUUUUACAUCCUUUCGAGACAACAUGAAAGAAAAAGACCCAAAGAUAUAUAUUUAUUUUUCGUCAGUCAUAAGCAUCCCCCAUACUUAGGCUGAAAGUUGAUCCAUCAGCACUCAAACGGAACCGCUGAAGCCUUUAUUGUAAGCAUAUUCAAUAAGGGAAUCCAACUCAUCAUUGGUGCAGUCGAUCAAAUUGUCCUAAUUUUUAUCAGCAACCUCCAUGGCCUCUUCAACUUGCUUGUUUAGCGUGAGUGCACCUAGUUGUUGAAAAGCCUCCUUGAGCUGAUCCCUGGUGAGGCUGCCCUGCUUAGAGUAAUAACGAAACACUUGUUCCAAUUUGUUUUUAUGAUCCUUGUUAUCCUUUGUGGCUUGCAUUGUGGAUUUCGAGGUUUAUGACUGGGUGAUAUUAGAGAGAAGGCUUGUCUAGCUUGGUUUGGUUUUCUUUUCCAAUGCAAUUUGUUUAUAUAGACCCAAAACUCGAUUUGUAUUCCGUUGAAGUGUAGGCGAAUAAAAUCCUUUUUGUGGUGGUUUUUAAAAUUUGAUUUCGAUUGAAAGGAAACGAUAUAAUUGUAUGACAAUUUCUUCAUUUGAAUUUUUUUUAAGUAUCCAUUUUAUUAAUAAAAUUAAUAUAUCAAUCAAUAAAUUUUUAUAAUGAAUACAAAUAAACAAAUAUUCGAAGAGGAUUGGUAUGAAUAAGAAUAUUAAUGUUGGCUUCAAAUUAACCACAGAUUGGAAAAUGCUAAGGGUAGUGAUAGCAGCCUCCCUUUCUUGUGUCCUAGUGAUGAUAGCAGCCUUCACUAUCUUUUAUGCAUUUUCUAUUGUUUCUUUUGAUUUUGCUGGUGAAAAGGCUAGACAACGAAGUCAGUAAGGAAUCUAAACUCUCACCCUGUCCAAAUUUGAGCUGUUUCUACACGAAAAAGUUUGAAGAGAAUCGUCUUGUUGCUCCUGGUUGGACAGAACUUGAUCAGACACAUUGAUUUUCUAAAAACUUAUAAUUUGAUGGAAGUGUCUUGUCUGUAGGAUAAUUUGAUAUUAUUGGAUAAAAAUAUUAUUAUAACAUAGAGAUUCAUGGACCCAUCGUAGACAUAAACUUUAAGAGUCGCUACUAUUUUUUUUUUAUUUAGGUGUAAUUGACCCUUUAACUGAAUCUGUCUUAUUUAAAGAGGAUUUCUAAGAUAGACUUAGGCAUUUUUAAAUAGUAGAUUCUAAAAUCCAUGAAAUCAGAUUUAAGAUUCAGAAGUCCAAUUAUGCAUGAAGAAGUUUAUAGCACCCUUACAGUGCUUAUCCAAAAAAUUGUAUUAAUUUGAUUUCAAAUUAUCUAAGCUUUGAAAUAUUCUUAUAAUUAUACCCAGUAAUUUAAUUAUUAGAAAUUGAUCCUAAAAUUACUCUAAUAGUUUAGUAGCAAUGUAAGAUAAUUUUCUCACCUUAAGAGUAUUCAUAGAGACUAAUGUCUCACUCUGAAGAGACUCCGUCAUUGAAUUUAUUAAUAUAUUUUAUUUAAAAAAUAAUUAGUAAAAUCCUCCAAUAGUUUGAUAAGAUUUUACUUUGGUGCAAGUCUCCCAAUAGUUUUUUGAGAUUUUAUAUGAAAAUCAUUUAUAAAAUUUUGUUUUGAUGUAGAAUUCUAAAUAGUUUGGUGAGAUUUUAUUUGAAAAUUAUUUAUAAAAUUUUACUUUGAGAAAAUUCAUUAAAUCUUCUAAUUUUGUAAGAAUUAAUUCAAGAUUUUUAUCCUCCAAUAAUUUGGUAAGAUUAAAAAUAUUUUAUUUUAUUUUAUUUUAAAAAUUCAUUAAGUCCUUCAAUAGUUUGAUAAGACUUAAUUUAAGAUUUAAAUAUUUCAAUAGUUUGGUAGGAUUGAAAAUUUAUUAUUAAAAAAUUACAUUAUGAAAUUCUCUAUUAAUUUGGUAAAAUUCAUAAUUGAAAAUUUCUAAACCAAUGAAAUAAAAAAUUCAUAAUUUAAAACUCACAAUCUUUAAAUUUUAUUUUAAACGUACAUAAAAAAGUAAAAUAAAUGAAUAAAUAUAUAAAUAAACAAAAUGUGAAAAUUACCCUAAUGGAUGGAGACAUGCCUAGGUUGAAGUAUCUCUUGAUCUGUGGUGACAGAUAAUCACCAAAGAGCUCUGCCACUAAUUCUAACCUAAGAGCUAGGGUAUAGAUUGCUACUCAUCCAUUUCUUGGUGGGUUUCCUUUUUUUUUCCCUUUUUUUUUGUAUGUUGUUGAUUGGUGUUUAUAUUGGGCCUUUUGCUAAGAGUUUUAGCGAUUUGCAUUGAAUGAAAAGGAUUGCAAAUCUGAUUAUACUCUGAACUUAUUUUUUCUUGAUUUUGUUUAAAAUUUAUUUAAUUAAUUUCUAAAAUUGUCUUGAUUUUCCUUGAUUUUCAGAGUCCCUCAAAACUUCCCAAACUAAAUUUGACUUUGAUUCCUUGAUUUGCUUUCUUUUCAACCUUCCUUUAAUAUUUGAAGAGAUCAUGUUUUAGUUUUAAUUGUUGAGAUCAUCCUUGAUUAGUGCUCAAAUUACUCCAUAAAUUUCAUUGACAUGAUUUAUGAUAAAAAUUUAAAACAAAAUAAAUAAAAAGAGUAAAACAUAUAAAUAAAUAAGACAAAAAAAGAUAUAAAAAGAAAUGAAGGAAAUUGGACAGUUGGGCUUGGUUUGAGCCCCGAACUAAAUAGGGUGUCUAUAGUUAGCUCUCUUUGCAUAGUUUUUGUAAAAUAGAAAUUAUGCAAAGAUAUAGAUAUCUAUUACGUUCAAGCCCAAAUUAUUCAAUUUUUUUUUUUUAAAGGCUCUUAAAAAUGAAGGUACACAACCUUUUAAAAAAUUAAGGAUGACACCCGAAGGUUUUGACAAUCAUGCCCAGAAGUCUUAUAGAUCAUGUCCAAAGAGCUUGAAAAUUAAGCACGGAGGUCUUACAAAAUCAUUCAUUAAAAAAUGCUCCUUUAAACAAAGGCUACACAACUAUUAAAAAAGUACCUAAAAUUUUUAAAAGAUCAUGUCCAAAGGUCUUAGAGAUUAUGCUCGGAGUUCUUACAAAUCUUGACUCUAAAAUAAAUUCAGCUCGAAAGACUUUCAAAUCUUUCCCAAAGGACUUAGAGAUUACGCUCGGAGGUCUUACAAAUUUCGAUCUUAAAAUAGAUUCAACUCGCAAGACUUACGAAUCUUGCCCAAAUGACUAAGAGAUUACACUUGAAAGUGUUACAAAUCUUGACUUUAAAAUAAAUUCAGCUCAGAAGACUUAUGAAUCUUGUCCAAAGACAUAGAGAUUAUACUCAGAGGUCUUAUAAAUCUCAACUCUAAAAUAGAUUCAAGUCAAAAGACUUGCAAAUCUUACUCGAAGGACUUGGAGAUUAUGUGCGGAGGUUUUACAAAUCUUGAAGAUUAUGCCUAGAGGUCUUACAAAUCUUAAUUCUAAAAUAGAUUUAGCUAAGAAGAUUUAUGAAUAUUGCCCAAAAAACUUGGAGAUUAUACCCGAAGGUCUAAUAAAUCUCAACUCUAAAAUAGAUUUAGCUUGAAAGACUUAUGAAGCUUACCCAGAGGUCUUACAAAUUAAACUUCAAAAAAGUUUAUUUAAAACAAAUGUUUAACCAUUUUAAAGAGAAAAAGGAUAUUUGGAGGUUUUAAAAAUCAUGCCCAGAGGUCUUAUAGAUAUUGCUUGAAAGACUUUUAAAAUAGUUUAAUAGUUUUGAAGAUGUUGCCAAAGGUUUUUUUAAAAAAAAUUAUCCGAAGGUUUUUUAAGAUUGAUACUUAAAAAUUUUAACAAAUUUACCCUGAGGUAAAAUCUUGUUUGAUCAAAGUUUCAUUUUUUAUCAAAAAUUUAAGUCAGCAUCUUUUCCUCUAAACAAUAUGAAUGCAACAUAUGAAAUAGAUGUGAUGUAUACUAUGUAAGAAAUGCAUGAAGUGCAAUGAAUUAAAUGCAUGAAUUUUAUACCAAAUGUCCUUAAUUAUGGUAAUAGGUUUCUCAAAACUUUUUCUUCCUUCCAUCUUUCCAUGACAUGUCCUCUGAAUUAGUUGACAAGUUCUUUCAUGCCCUAAAAUAGACAUUCUCAACAUUAUCAUUCUUGAAAGCUAUUCUUCUCCUCUAGUGAGUUGUUUUAAUUUCAAUCCCUUGCAUUUGGCAUUUUCUUGCUCCAAAAAGGUCUUUUAUAGCAUUCACAUAUCUCCCACCCUAAGCAUUAAGAUCCAUCAUAUUUUGAACAUUUUUCAAAACUUCCCAUGAAUAGCAACAAAAGUUACCCCAGAUAUCUCUUUUCUACAUGUGAUCAAAUCUCUUAAAAAUUGGUGAUUACUUCUUAGAAUAAGGAUGAUGAAUCAUAAUUUUGGUCUUCCAAAAGGAUGCAAUGGUUUGGCACCUCUUUCAAUUCUUGAUAUGUGGUAUUUUAAUAAAUAUCAAGAACAACUAUGUUAGGUUUAAAUUUUCAAGUUUGGAAAAAGAACAGGGCCUAAAUUUUAGAAAGAAUCUUCAUACUGAGAUCAAUCUUUUUGGGCCUUUAAAGAAAAGUCUCCUUGGUGCUACAUGAAAAGUUAUGAGUUGCUUUCAGAGUUUUAAUCUUGCUUUAGGCUGGCCUUUCGGGAUUUCACCCUAAAACUUCAUUCUUUUCUCUUUUUUUUUUUUUUUGAUAUUUCAUCAUGCAUUUGAGCAUUCAAAAUUUAUCAAAAAGUGAUGGUGAUUUCCUAAAGAAAAACUCCUUAAUUUAGAUAUUCAUACUUGAUCAAAAUAAACUUUUUAAAGGACGUAAUGUGGGCUAAGGUUUAAGGUUUUAAAAAAAGCAUAAAUAGGCCCAAAAAAAUGUAUUUACAGGUGAUCAAACAAAAGAUCAUUUCUUUUCCAGCAACAUCUUUCCUUGUUUCAAAGAUGCCUUUGCUCUUUUCUCUCUUUUUUUCUUCUUUUAUUUUCUUCUCUUUUCAUUUUUUUUCUUUUGCAUGAGCUUAAAAUUUUUUAAACUCAUCUUAUUUUAAGCUUUUCUAACAUGAGGCAUUAUUUCCUAACUCUAAGCACAAGAAUAGAUGCCAUCUUGAUGAAAUCCUUUUUCUCUUAAACUUGCCCCCAAAAUUUAAAUGUUGAUCCCUAGUUAAGGUUUGUUCGAAAGAAUAAUCAAAGGUUUAAAAAAGGUAGCAAAUGGAUAUUUUCUUCUUUUAUGAAGGGAAUUUAAAAGAUAACUAUUUUUCAUUUCAAGUAUGGAUACUUAUUGAAAAGCAGUCCUUAAGAGACAACUUGUUUUUGAUUGAUUUUAGGUUCAUUUGAAUGCCCCACAUACAUGAUUUCAUAAUCAACUCUCUUUUUUUUUUCUUUUUUUUGUAAUUCAUGCAUUUUGAUAAAAAAGCCAUCUGAAUGUUCAUCAAUCAAAAUGAUCAAAAAGAUUAUUUGGGGCAUCAAGUAAAUUUGGCUUUUGCCCCAAAGUGAGUACAAAUGAUCGCUUGGUAAAUGAUUCAAAAAAAAAAGAUGAAUGUAGGACAAGCUAAAAUACUGAAUAAAUUAAGAAAAUAUGGCUCAAGAAAUUUAAGUGGUGACAUGCUUGAAAGAAGCUUGACAUUUAUUGAAUCACCAAAAACUAAAAUGCUUAGGAGAGUGCCUUAAAAGAUUUUACAAAUUAAUCAACUAUCACAUUGUUCAUAGCCCAAAUGAAUAUUAAUAAAUUUUAAGUUGCAUCAUGGUCAAAUAAGGGAAGUUCUGAAACUUUCAUCCUUAGAAAUUCUCAAGGUUCUUAAUCUUCUAAAUGAAAAAAAUUAAAUGUUCAGGGGAAUGGCUCAAGAUACCUAUUCCUAAUAAUAAUUACCAAAUUUCUUGAGUUUUUCUUUCACAUGCAUUUGUAAGAAGCUAAACAAAUAAAACUCAUAAGAAACCAAUGACUUCAUGUCCAAGAAAUCAAUAUACAAGGAAUAAUCAACAUAUGAUAAAACAACAUUCCAUUGCUCAAAAAGCUCUUUGGUCAAGGUGACAUUAUGGAUAAGGCUUUCAAACUUUUCUUUCAACUGUUUGCAUUUCUCAGUCGAGUCCAAUUGCCCUCACGUUAUAAUCAUAUUUACCAUUUAUACCAUAACUCUUGGCUAAUGGAUUUGAAGUUGCUUUUAAAGGUAUUGAGGUGAGGUACUAGUACUUUAUUAGCAGUGACAAAAGAGCAAAAAUUAGAAUUAGGAUUUUCUCUAGAUUGUUUCUUGAUCUUAUUUGGCCAUUCAAUGGUUGAGUAGUAGAUUGGGGAUAAUGACUUAUGUGAUGAGCUAAUUGUUGGGUUAGUUGGGGAAAAUAAGGAUUCGAAAAGUUAUUUAUAGUAAAGGUGGUAAGGUUAGUACAUGAUGUGUGGGGUCAAGCUUCCAACCUGUUUCCCUUUAUACAUCAUGACAUGAACAUCUUCUCUUUUCAUUCUUGGUACACACACAUCCUUUAUGCCAAGGGCAUUAUCUUCUUUAAGAUUUUUACUUUUUAUGGCAUUCUCUAUUAUCUCUCCUGAUAUGACCAUGUUGGUAAAAUUCUUUAUUACAUUUUCAAUCAUCCUUUCAUAAUAUGGAGCUUUAAGAGUGCUGACAAACAUGAUUGUAGUUUUUUUUUCUGUUAAAGGAGGUUGAACCUAUACAGUAGCACCCUUUUCACCUUUGAGCAUAUUCUUUGAAACUCUCAACAUCUUUUUUCUCCAUACUUUGUAGAAACAAUCGAUCCGGGAGUAACUUUACAAUAUACUUGUAUUGAGUUAUAAAUUCCCUAGCCAAUUCUUUCCAUGAAGUGAUUCGAGUUCUAUCAAACUGAGCAUACCACUUAGUAGUAGAUCUCGUAAGAUUGUCUUAGAAUACAUGAUCACGAGUUUGUCAUCACAGGUAUGGGCAACCAUCUUUCUACAAUAUAUAGUGAUAUGGGUCAUCGGGCAUUUAGUAUCAUUAUAUUUUUCAAAAUUUGAUACCUUGAACUUGGGUAAAAUAAUUACAUCUGGCAUUAAGCAAAGCUCUAAUGCAUCCAUAGAUCCAUAAAAAUCUAUUUCUUUGAUAGCUUUUAACCUCUCUUAUAUGAGAUCCAUUUUUUUUAGCACCUGAAUCUUUUAUUGCUUCAAAUGAACUUUUCAUUAGUUUUACUAACUUUUCAGAACCAUCAAGGGUUGGAAUUAGUGAAGCAGUUGAAAGUAUUUUAGAACAAGAGUAUGCCCCUAAAGGUGGUACUUGUUGUGAUUGUACCCCUUGGGAUGCUUAUAUGUAAGUUUCUUCCACCUCUUUCUCUUUAUUUAAAUUUUUUAGCAUUUCCAUUAUCUAAGCAAAAUCUACUCUCAUUUUCUCAAUUUAGCUAUGUUGUUUUGGCUCCAUAAGUGGCAAGGAGACUACCUUAAUGAUCGGGCUCUUAAACCUUAUUACCACAAUUAAGAAUUAGGACAAUGUCUAUUGCGAAUUUAUGCAAGAAAAUAAAAAAUGUAUGCAUGAAUGAAUGGAUGCAUCAUUAAAUUCUAUCACAUAAUAAGAAAGAGAAGAAAAAGGAAAUCUUUAAUUAAAAAUUAUUUUGACAAAAACAUCCAAAAUCAUUCUUAGGAAAAAUCUUAAAAUCUAUUGCCUAAUCCUAUUUUUUAGCUUUAAGAUCUUGGUACUGCCAUGGAUAAGUUCUUCAGCCACUAUGAUUAUGCAAUACCCUUUUAACAAUCUUUGGCUCUCAUUUAUCCCCAAAACUCAACGCACUAUCUCUGAUUAAACUUUGCACCUUAUGCUUGAAAGCAAUGCAAUAUUUUAUUAAAUGGCCUGUAGUCCCAAAGUGAUAAUCACGUCGAGCUUCAACCUCAAACAAUUUAGGAUAAGGUGGUUUUAGUAGCUUUAAAGGAACUGGUGUGAUUUGAUAAUUUUCAAGGAAUACCGAGAAUAAUUUAAUGUAAGUCAUAAGGAUUGGAUCAAUGAUGGCUCUCUCUUUUUUUUUUACUUAAUGAUUUUUUGAGUUGAGUAGUUUUUUUACUCACAGGUGUAGAGUUUAGAGCAAAAUUAGGUGUAUAUGCCCAAAAGUUUAUUGGUGGGGAGCUCGACUGCUGAGCUAAAGGGUUUUGAAAAGCAUAAUUCAUAAUCGAAAAAGUAUAUGCGUAUGGGCUAAUCUGCGGAGGUUGAAUAGAAAUGGCUUUGUUUGGGAUGCCAAAAGAGAUUGUUUAGGAAUAAUCGGUUGGGGAUUUGGGUAUGAGCCAAUCUAUAGAACUGUGCAAGGUUAAAAGGCCUUAUCUCUUCUACUUAUUUUUUAACUUGGUCUUUUCUUAGGCCAUUGGACACAUUGACAUGACUUGGAUCAGUAUCAGUAUUAUAAGAGGCUUUUUAAUCUUAACAAAAUGGCUAUUUAAUGCACACACAAAUUGGAGUCGAUGAGAAUUCUUGAGAAUGGGUCACUUUAAGAUUUUCCACCAUUUCCACUAGCUUGGUAAGUUGCAUUUUUAUUUCUUGUAGGUCAUGUCCAAAUUCUUUUUGGUUGAGUUUCAAAGCUUGGAUCCAUGAUUUUAACAGAUCUCUCAUUUCUUUUGAAUUGUUAUCCCAAAUGAUUAAAAGAUUUCUAUUAUGCAAUGACAUGAUGAAUGAAUGAUGAUGAUGAUCUCUGAAUAAGUGAGAUGCAUGAAAUGAAUGAAAAUAGACAAACAAAGAAAUAAAUAAAUGUAAACUUAUUGAUGCUAACAUGAUUCAAGCAAAAAAAAAUAACAAACAAGAACAAAGUUAGCAACCAUUAUAAAGAAAGAAAAACCAAAAUAAUUUAAUGCAUAACUUAAAAGAUAUGUGACCUAACUUGGAGUAUUUAUACAAAAAAGGAAAGAUAUGGAUCUACCUAUGGGUAUUACAACUCACUAUAUGUGGUUUAGGAUUGAUUCUACAUGUUCCCAAAUUAUUUCUUACAUCAUUGUCUAUCACAGACUAGUAAAACACCCUAAUCUUUACCCAUUAUAGGUUACAAAUGGCAAGGGUUCAAUUGAAGUGGGAGUGUUUUGCUAGCCUAUGCCAAGAUAUGAAAUCUCACGAAGGCGUAGGUACUUUACUCCUCUUAAGGGACAGAACUCGAUUGUAGAAUUCACGUUAUUUUAUUUUAUUUAAAAAAAUAAUUAAGUCCGCCAAUAGUUUGGUAAGAUUUAAUUUAAGAUUUAAAUCCUCCAAUAGUUUGGUAAGAUUAAAAAUUUAUUAUUAAAAAAAUUAUAUUAUGAAAUUCUCCAAUAGUUUAGUAGAAUUCAUAAUUUAAAAUUUAUAAACCCAUGAAAUAAAAAAUUAAUAAUUUAAAACUCAUAGUCUUUAAAUUUUAUUUUAAACAUACAUAAAAAAAAUGAAAUAAACGAAUAAAUAUAUAAAAAAAAUAAAAUGUGAAAAUUACCUUAAUGGAUGGAGACACACCUAGGUGGAAGUAUCCUUUGAUUUGUAGUGACAAAUAAUCCCCAAUUUGAACCAAAGAGCUCUGCCACCAAUUUUAAUCAAAGAGCUUGGGUAUAGAUUGCUACUCAUCUAUUUCUUAGUGGGUUUCCCUUUUCUUUCUCUCUUUUAUUUUUUAUGUGUGGUUGAUUGGUGUUUAUAUAGGGCCUUUUACGAGGAAUUUUAGAGAUUUGCAUUGAAUGAAAAGGAUUACAGAUCUGAUUAAGCUCUAAAUUGAUUUUUUUCCUUAAUUCUCUUUAAAAUUCGUUUAAUUAGUUUUUGAAAUUAUCUCGAUUUUUCUUAAUUUUUAGAAUCCCUCAAAAUUUUUCAAAUUAAAUUUGACUUUGAUUCCUUGAUUUACUUUCUUUUCAACCUUUGUUUUAAUAUUUUAAAAGAUCAUGUUUUAGUCUUGAUUAUUGAGAUCUUCCUUGAUUAGUGCUCAAAUUACUCCACAAAUUUCAUUGACCUGAUUUAUGAUAAAAAUUUAAAACUAGAUAAGUAAAAGACUAAAACAUAAAAAAGAUAAAUAAAUAAAUAAAACAAAUAAGAUAUAAAAAGAAAAGUUGGAAAUUGGACAAUUAGUCUUUGUUUGACCCCCGAACUAAAUAGGGUGUUUACAAAUAUAUAUUUUAUACUUUUUUACUUUUUAAAUUAGAUAAUUUUGUAAAAAAUGAUAUUGAUGGAAAUGUCUACAUGGCAUCCAUAUUUAUUUUCUUUCAACCUUUCAUUUUUUUAUAAAUUUUUAUUUUAAAAAAAGUUAAUAAUAAAAAUUUUACAAGAACAGUUCAUCAUUGCUAAUUCGCGUGACAACUUAACUUUUUUUAUCCUUUUUUUCGUUUUGAUUUUUUUUACUUUACUUUUUUAGUUUUUUCUCCCUUUAUUUUUUAUAGGUCAGUUUUUUUAAACAAAAGAAAAAUUAACCAAUGAGCCCAUGUGGCAACCUAUUUCAUUUUUUACCUUUCUUCUAUUUUUUAAUUAGAUAAAUAACACAAUAAAUAAAAACAGUAAAUAAAUUUUUAAGAAAAAAGUCUAUUGAGGUAUUCACAAUAAAUUUUUCUUAAUUAGAUAAUUUUUGAGAAAAUAAUGUCAAUGUAGGUGUUCACAUAACAUCCUCACUUGUUUUUUUCUUUUAUAAUUUUAUAGUUUAAUUAGAUAAAUUUAUAAUAAAAUGAGACAGUUGAUAAAAAUAGCAAAACAAUCAGUAUUUAUCGAUUUCGAUACAUCUCGAUUUGAUAUGGGUGUUUUUAUAAAAAAUUGAUAUCAAAUCGAAUCAUGUUGGUUUUUAAGCUAAGGAGAAGUAAGAUGUGGAUUUAGGGUGCUUUGUCCUAAAUCAUCUCGUGGUAUACGUAAAAUUAUAUAUUUUAUUAUUAAUUUGGUUUUAUAUUUGCAUACAUUUAUUAUAUUAAUAAAAUUAUUAUUUGAUACUUUAAUUUAAUAAAUUAAUAUUUUAAACUCAAUAGGGGUGUCCAUGUGGCACCCUUAUUGAGCUUUUCUUUUUUGUUUUUGUUUUUCUCUUUUUUUUGUUUAUUUUGUUUUUCAAAUUUUUUUAUUCUUUUAUUAGAUAAAUUUAGUGAGAGAAAAAAAAAAGCCGAUUGAAAUAUCCACAUGACACUUCCAUUUAUUUUUUUAUCAUUUACUUUUUUAAUUAGAUAAUUUUAUUUAAAAAGUAACAUAAAAUUAUUUUUAAUUUAAUUUUAUUAAAAUUUAUAUCAAAAAUAAUAAUAAAAAAUGAACUAUGAAUUAUUUUAAUUAAUAAAAUAGUUAAACCUAUGCUACGAGCUCAUUUCUAGUAUUCAAGAAAAUAGUAAAGAAAAUUAUUUAAACCCCAUCUCUUAAUUUUAAUAUUAAUUGGAACACGCUAGUAGUUUAUUUACAGAGAUCAUUAGAAAUUAAUUACUUUCUUAGUCAACUACUAGGGUUUGAAACAAGUGCCAGAAAAUCGAUAGGCCUUAAAAUUUCAAUUCCUGGCAUUUUGAAUUCAAUGUUGUUGGAUUUCUUUAGGUAUGGGUUGAGCCCAAUGGCUCAUUAAUUAUGUUCUUAAUCAGGCCUAAAAUCUAUUUAACCACAAUUUAUGGUUCUUAAAACUUAUGUAAGUGUGCCUAUACAUUUAUAUUAUAAAAAUUAUCACAUUCACUUGUAAUAGUGGAGUUUUUGAAUUUUAUUAUCAAGAUUGUAAUAGUAGUGUGAGCAAUUGAUAUAAUAUUAAAUUUUAAUUUUAAUUAUGUCAUAAUUAUAGAUCCGUGGACUUACUGCUAGACAUGGAUUAAAGAAGUUACCACCAAUCUUUUUUUGUUAGGUGUGAUUGACCACCUGAUUGAAUUUGAUCUACAAGAUAGAUGUUAGGUUCGGGAGUCAAUUACGCUUAAGGAAAGUUGUAGCACUCCCACAGUACCUAUCCAAAUUAUAGUACCAGUUUGAUUUUGUAUCAUCCAAGCCUUGGUCAUUUUAUGAUUUUACCAAAUACUUUAGUAUUGAAAAUUAACCCUAAAAUUGUCCCAAUAGUUUUGUAGCAAUUCAAGAUAAUUCUCUCACAUCAUGAGUAUUCAUAAAAACUAGUGUCCCACUCUGAAAAGGCUCUUUCAUCAGAUUUAUUAAUUUAUUCCAGGAAAAAGUAAAUCUCCUAAUAGUUUGAUAGGACUUAGUUUGAAGCAAUCCUCCAAUAGUUUAAAGGAUAAAAAUUCUUUAUUUAUUUGAAAAGACCCUUUUUUUAUUGAAAAGAGUUUUUAAUUAUUUUUUAUUAUUUUGAAAAUUUUAUUUACAAAAAUUUUUUUGUUUGAAAAGAUUUUUUUUAGAAUUAUUUUUCUUUUUUUACUUUUAGAAAUAAAAAUGGAAGAAAUAACAUUUUUUUAAAAAAAUAAAAAAUGGGUUAAAAAUAAAAUAAAAUAAAAUUAGAAAAUAAAAAUAAAAUAGAAAAGAAAAAACCUGCGAUCAGGUCGGGUUGGUACCAAGGUCAGAACGUGGGUCAACGAGUCACGUGCGGAUCCUUGGCUAUCUAAAAUGGUGUCGUGUUGGAAGAGUAUAAAAGCCACACCACUCAACUUUUCUUCAGAACUAUUUGAUUAAGCCUUUCUUUCCAAAAUGUAUAUUCUUUUGUCUUCUCUCUAACUGAUUUUCAAAAAUUGACGAAUAAAUCUCAAAAGCUGAUAGGGAAUUUUCAGGAACCCAACAAAUUGUCUAGAAAUCUAAACUCAGAAGUCCUUGGAAUGCAAAACCCUAUAGAAAUUCAAACCCAAAAACACCAAAUCCCAAUCCUAGAAAAUCUAAACAAAUCAAAUCCAAGACCUAAAACCUCUUGGUUGCUAAAUAAAUUUCUCUUUUUUUUUUCUCUAAAAUUUUUUCAUAAUCUUUUUUUUUCUCCUUUCCCUUUCUUUGAUCACAGGUGUCAUAACGUCUAGAUCCGGGGAUCUAUCGCUAGACAUUGACUUUUAGGGAGUCGCCACCAAUCUUUUUUAUCUAGGUGCGAUUGGCCACCUAAAUAAUCUGUCCUUUCAGGGAACACCUAAGUUUAAGGGUCCCUAAAAGAAUAGGUUCAGGUCUACUAACCAGAACAGGGUUCGGGAGUUCUGUUACGUGUGAGGAAGGUUAUAGCACCCUCACAACGCCCAUCAAAAGAUGGUACCAGCUUAAAUUUGUGUUAUCCAAUGAGCCUUAAAAUUUUAUCCAGCAAUUAAUUAUUGGAAAUUAUUCUCAAUUGACUCUAAUACUUUUAGCAGAAAAUUGAGAAAAUCCCCUCACCUCAGGAGUAUGCCAGAAAACUAUUGUUUCACUUACAGAGGCUCCAUCGUCGGAUUAUUUAACAUUAAGGAAAAUUCAAAAAGAAGGAAAAAAAUGAUUGCUUUUUGUGCAGGGAAAAUUGAUACUUUCAACUUUUUCCCAAAAAUAUUUUUUUGAAACUUUGAUUUCCAAGGAAAAUUGAUACUUUCAACUUUUCCUCAAAAACCCUUUUUUUUGAAAAUUUAUUUCUAAGGAAAAUUGAUACUUUCAACUUUUCCUCAAAAACCCCUUUUUUGAAAAUUUAUUUUUUAAGGAAAAUUGAUACUUUCAACUUUUCCCCAAAAAUAUUUUUUUUUAAAUCUUUUUAUCUUCAAGGGUUAUUUAAAAGAUGCACAACAAAUCAAAAUUUCCUGUGAAAUAGUUUAAACUUACUUGGUAUCCAACAUGAGAACAAAUGAACAACUUCUUGCACCACCUUUGCUUACGAGAUGGUGAUGGAAUUAAGUGCAUCGAUUCUUGGCCCUUUUAAGACACUGAUACAUGUAUGAUGUUUCAACAAAGUCAACCAUCUCCUUCUCAACAGCAAACCUAGUCACUUCAACCACUAGGCGAGGCGUAACAUGGACAGUCUCCAGAAAACAAAGCUGUAUCCCCAAAUGGGCCAAGGCAUCCCAACAGGAAGUGAAGUUUUGUUGCCGUAUCUAAAUCCCUUAACAAAUGAAUCAACAUCCCCAAUACUGGCCAGGAAGAGAGCAACAAAGCAAUUACGAAUUUGCUCAACUUGUUCAAGUGUAUGCUGAUUCAGAUCAGAGAUUGAUAUCAUCAUUCCAGCAACAAAUGAACCCAGCUCAUCACCAAGCAACAAGCAAGCAAAAAUGCUAUGGAUGUCAACUGAUAGAACUCUUAAGUCAACGAUUUAGUCGUGGAUAGUACUCCCUGAAGGACACCAGAACUGCCACCUAGAACUGAAGUAAAGCAAACAGCAAACCCACAGCACAGUCCUCCACAUAACUGCAAAAAGCAUAUAGCGAAAUUGUUAUACCAAACGAACACGUGAAGAGAAAAUUUUGAAGAAAACCUCCAAGGACAGCAACUGUUCGAACAACACGAAGCUUUGUUGUUGAAAACUCCAAGCUUGAUGCGUGAAUCCUUGGCUGCAUAUUUUGGUGUAAUUGAUUGGGCUGCAGCUGAGUAGGCUGUAAUUGCAUCUGUGACAUCAGUUGCUGCCUUUCGCAUCAUCCAAUCUGUGCUCCCAAGGCGUUCAUGGAUGCUUUGCCAGAAGGAUUCCAAGCUCUGAGGUGCAAUUGCUCCCACCUGUGACAAACUCGCCACUACCGACGAAAGGGAAGCCUUAGCCAUAAAAUUCUGAUUAUUCAACAGCUUGCAGAUCCUUGGACACAGCUUCUGAAAAGCAGCCAAAGGAGGAUCAGUUGCACAUUCCACCAUCUAAGCCAUACAUGUUGCUCGACGUAACAAAGUGGAGUGCCUUUUCCAUCGUGUUCUCCAAAACAGGUUCUACAGGUGAUCUUCCACCUCCUCUUUCGAAGCAAAGCCUUCUUUCAUGGACUGUCGCCAUGGCUACUGAGUCCGAGACCGAGACAGCUACGAUUGGGCUCAGCUUGCGCCUGUGCCAGCUUUUGUUGCUCAACAGACCUGCUCAUGCGCUCAAGCAACUGAGCAGCCUUCCGCUUGCCCCUAUCUGUAUCAUUUUGUGCCAAGUCCACCAAUGGACUCGUCGCUCCUAGUUCCUGGGCCUCUGCUAAAUGUUGUUGGUCUCCAGCACAAAGGUGAACCAAAACUGCAGCUGUAUUCUCUCUAUUCCUGCUGCCCAGUCUUCUUUUCGGUUCUUCUUUUUUUUUUAUACCAGCAGCCUCACGUUCCCUUGCCUGCUACCAAGUUUUUCUCUCCCUGCAUCCUCUUAUUUAUUUAUAUUAUCGAGUAGGAUUUUUGGUUUGCUGAUCAGCCUCGUUUACAUUCGCUGCAGGUUAUGGUGGAUCCUGAUGCGCCCAGCCCAAGUGACCCAAACCUGAGGGAAUACUUGCCUUGGUGAGUUGCAUGUCACUCUGUCUUUCUCUCUCCGGCUCCUUCAUCUCCAUUCCUUUGCAUGCUGUGUGUGUCUCUAUCUGUUGCAUACUCAAACGGGUACGCAAAAAGAAACAGACAGUGAGGCGAACAGCCGAGCAAGCACUCCAAAUGCUGAGUUUUGGUACUUGCGGUUGUUUGCUUUGUUUCCUCAUCUUUCUCCCUGGGCAUUAGACACACUGAAUGGAGUUCGAGUGCUCCCAAAUGCUGGACUUCGCAGGGGUGCUUGUGGAACCAAAGGCAGGGUCAAGAAAGGGAAGGUUUCCCACAGAGGGGAAGCCUCGAAGGCUUGGUGUCGAUGGGGGCUUCCCCUUUUGUUUGGCUUCUGUUUUUUUCCUCCCCCUUCAGCUUGUAUAUUCACUGUUGAUAUAUAGACCCAUGCUGAUAGAGUUUCAAUUCAAUUCCAAUUAGUCAUCCAAGGCUAAAGAUUAGCCACUAAUCAUGCUUUCUGAUCAUCAUCCAACUUAAUCUCAAUUUUUCUUUUUUUCAAAAAAAAAAAAUCAGAUAAUAAAAAAAUGAUAAAUAUGAAAUAAAAAAAAUCUAAAAUAAAAUUGAAUAAAAAUCUCUGCAAUUGAACUUGGAUUAGUCUCAAUUGACAAAGAAUCCCGGACAAAAUGGGGUGUCUACAGCUGCCCCUCUUUGCACAUUUUUUGUGAAACAGAAAUUGUGCAAAGACGUAGACACCCAUUCAAGACUCAACUAAAUUUUUUUUCCCAUUUUUUUUCUUUUUUUUUUUUUAAAAAAAUCUUGAUCAAAGCUCCUCUAAACAGAGGUUCAAUGAUUUUGAAAAACAUAAACAAAGCUCCUCUAAAUAUAUGCAAAUUUUGUUAUUUUCUUGUUUUUUUUAUUUUUUUUAUUUUUUUUAUUUUUUUAUUUUUUAAAAUUUGAUCAAAGCUCCUCUAAGCAAAGGCUCAAUGACUUUGAGAAACAUAAACAAAGCUCCUCUAAAUAGAGGCAACUUUUUUUGUUUUUUUUUUUUUGCUUUUUUGCUUUUUUUGCCUUUUUUUUUUAAAAAAAUGAUCAAAGCUCCUCUAAGCAGAGGCUCAAUGACUUUGAGAAACAUAAACAAAGCUGCUCUAAACAGAGGCACCACGACUUUGGAAAGUAAAUUGCUCCUCUAAACAGAGGCACCACGACUUUGGAAAUGUAAAUUGCUCCUUAACAAUCAUGUCCAAAGGAGUUGAAAGUUGUGUUUGAGGGAAUUUCAGGAGAUUAUGCCCAAAGGUCUUAUAAAUCAACCAUGAUACCAAAAGACAUCCUAUUUCAAGGAUUAGGAACUUACCUGACAAGCUUUUUCUUUUUCAAAUUUUGCAAAAUAUCUUUAUAUAUGUCUUCUCCAUGUGGGAUGUUGGAGCACCCUUGCUUCUUGAAUUUAUACACUAUACUUUCCUGAAAGUAGUGUACGCUAUGCAAAUGCAUAUGAAUUUCAAUGCAUGCUAUGCAAAUGUUGGCCUAUUAAUUCCUGUUCAAUGUAUGGUACUUAAGUUUCUCAAGCUUUUCUUGGGCAUCAAGCCUUUUGAUUCUUCAGAUAUCCAAUUACACUGCUAUUCUAAGAUCAAACCAGUGUAGCUCUCAAUUAUCUUUUCCACUCACAUUCUUCCUUGUUCAGUUCCUCAAUACUUUGGAAUAAGCUUCAUCAAUCGAUCAUCACUUGACCAUCAUUCAAUGAAUUUCUCAGCACUAACAAGUUUCAAAACAAGUUUCAUCCACCAUCACUGGGUAAUUGUCUCAGCAUUAAUCAUUCCGAAACAAACUCUGUCUACUGAUUGUUCUCAUCAUUCAAUCAUAACUUACAAGUCAUAUCGACCAAUUCAUCCUUGUACUCAUCUCUUGGUUGUUUCACUUUUCAAGAUUUGCCCCAUUAUAUUCUUCAUUUGAUCACCUCAUAUAUCUUUUCAAAUCAUCUCCUUUAGGUUUCUAUCAUUUCUUCAUCAUCUUAGAUUUCUUUUCAAAUGAAUGUAAGAUUCUUUUAAGCACAUAUUCAUUCAUUCAUUAUCAUUUCAAAUCUUGACAAAUACAAUGCAAUCAAGCAUUUUCUCAAUUCAUUCUAGGGGUGAAACAAUAAGAGAACGCAAGGUGAAUUAUGGUAAAGAUAAUCAAUAAAGAUCUAUUUUGGUACAAAGCAAAUGAAAAAGGAAGUAAAUUAGAUACAUGUCAUUGGGAUGGAUGGUAUGUUCAAAUGAUGAAUAUUCAGACGAUUCUCAACAUUAAUCUAGGAUUCUUUUUCAAAAACUCAUUCCAUUUACUGUUGAAGUCAACUUGACCUUGGCGAACUUUGCCCCAGUCUUUGAGGGGUCUUCAAAUGUCUUUGAUCUUCCAUUCAUGUGAGCCAUUUGACCUGGAUCUCUUUCUAUCAAAAUCAACCCUUUCAGGUCUUCAAUUUGAAUCUCUUUUUUCAUUUUCUCAUUUUUUCAUUCAUUCUUUCUUCUUUUUUCUUUCUUUUUUUUCCUUUUUUUUUUUCAUCAUCUUUUUUUUUUCUCAUUUUUCAUCCAUUGUUGAUAUCUUUCAUACAUCCAACUUUAGAGCAUGAUUCCAUUGCUUCAUCAUGAGUAUACCUUCGCUCAACAUAUGAUAAUUCAAGUUGAGUAUUCACACUUGAUCUAAAUGAACUUUUCAAGGUUGUAAUGUAGGCCAAGGUGAAGGGUUAUAAAAAAAAUGGAUAUAAUAGGCUCAAAACAUGUAUUGAAAAGGUUCAAAACCAAAGGAUCAUUUGAUGCAGCUUGGCAUUUUGCCCCCAUAUUGUUUCACUAUUUUCUUUCUUCACACAAAAGAUUCUCAUUACUUUGCCCCAAGUCAUGUGUGGCACGUAUUUUUUCUUUUUCUUUUCUUUCUCUUUCCAUCUUUGAGACCUUUUGUGGUAUUUUUUUUCUUUUUUUUUUUUUUAAAUUACCCUCCAGUGUAGAGGGUGAUCCUUGGUUGGGGUCUUCAGAAAAAAAAAAUGAUAGGCUCAAAGGGGUAGCAAUAAAUAGUUUUUCAAAUGGUAAAAGAAAGAUGGCCAUUUUUCAUCUCAAUUGUGAAUACCUUUCUUGAACAUCAUCUAUUGAACAAAGCUCAUGAACUUGUAUAAAAGAUUGCACAUCUUCAAGACAUAUCUAUUUCUCCUCCAGUAACAGCUUACUUUUGCUCAAAUCAUCUUCUCAUAUUAAUGUGGAUGAGUUCUCAAAAUUAAAUCCCAGAAUUAUUGUUAUCAUUGUCUAAAUAUUCAUCAUCUGAAAUUUAAGAAUGGGAAUGUGAAGUUAUGAAAGGUAACAGGGCAUGGAGUAAUGGUCAAGUGACAGAGAAAAUGUAAUGAAAUACAUUAACUUGCCUUUAUUAAGAUGAUAACGAGUGAAAUCAUAUUGCAAAAAGAAAAUCUAACAAUCACUCGAAAAAGAAAUCCUAAAAUGACAAAGGAAACCUUUAACCAACCUUAUCUCCAUUCUUAAAAAUUAUCCCACUAUAUGAUCAGGUGAAGAAUCUCUAUUGACAUCUUGCCCCUCAAUCAUUCUGACUCUCUGGCCCUUUCUGUUCUUGACUUUCACUCAGUACGCUAACAUUAGGUGUUGUUGCUUUUCCCUGAUCAAAACUUAUCAUUCCAUCAUUGAUCAACCGUUGCACCUUCUGCUUUAAAGCAGUGCAAUUUUCAGUGGAAUGGCCAGUAAUUCCAUAAUGGUAGUCACAGCGGGCUGUAGGAUCAUACCACUUUGGAUAGGGUGGUUUAAGAGGUUCCACAUGGCUGGGGGCAAUCAAGUGGCUAUUAUAGAGUACUUGAUAUAACUCUGUAUAAGUUAUAGGGAUUGGAUCAAAUACAAGUUUUUCUCGAGUAGUCCGUUGUUCUCGUGAGCCACUUGCUGGGUUAGUAGGGCGAAUUUGGGUUCUUACAGGAGCUUGAAUGUUAAGGCGGUAAGUGGAUGAAUAAGAUGGUUGUGGAGCUAGCUGGUAUGGGUAGGAUGAGGCAUUAUUCACAGCAGGAUAGUAUGGAGAGUAACCUUGGGAUGGAUAGGGUUGAUAACCCCUGAAUUGUUGUCUAUCAAAGCUCACAGCUUGAGCUUCAGCUUCUUUCUUUUCUGAUGCCUUCUUGGUUUCUCCUCCUUUCAACUUACCAUUUUUUAUGACACUUUCAAUAAUUUCUCCAGAGAUCACCAUGUCGGCAAAAUUCUUUGUUGCAUUCCCUAUCAUCUUUUCAUAAUAAGGAGGCUUUAAAGUGCUGACAAAUAACACUGUAGUUUCUUUCUCGGUCAGAGAAGGUUGUACCUGAGAAGCAAUAUCCCUCCAUCGUUGGGCAUACUCUUUAAAGGAUUCAUUUGCCUUUUUCUCCAGAUUCUGCAAAGAUAAACGAUCUGGGGCCAAAUCGAUGAUAUGUCGAUAUUGACUGAUAAAGUCAUGUGCCAUAUCGCUCCAAGAGCGAAUGCGAGUUCUGUCUAGCUGAACAUACCAUCUGGUCGCAGAGCCAGUAAGACUAUCCUGGAAAACAUGUAUCAAGAGUUUUUCAUCAUGUGCAUGAGCUGCCAUCUUCCUGCAAUACAUGGUGAUGUGGGUUUUGGGGCACUUUGUACCGUCAUAUUUUUCAAAUUUCGGUACUUUAAACUUAUGGGGGAUAACCACAUCAGGGACUAGGCAGAGCCCAGCAGCAUCUACUGACCCGUAAAAGCUAAAUCCUUCCACAGCCCGUAGCCUCUGCUCUAGCAUGCUAAUUUUGGAGCUUUCCUGAACUUCCACUCUUAUCUUCUCUUUUUCCUUCUUCUUUAAGUCAUCUAGGUCAGGAAUUGGUUCUGUUGCUUUUUCAAUGAAGACAGGAUUUAUAUAGCUAUUAUACUGCCCUGGGUUGAAAGCUGAUGGCAUUCCAGGAUAUGUUGGAUAUGCGAAGUGUUGUGGCGGGACCUCUUGAGCAGACUGGGCCUGAGGUGGGCCAAAACUUGGAGGGUACAAAGGGUCAGCCACUUCUUGUAAUGGGGGAACUUGCUGGCUUGUAUUUUCUGCAACUCCUUUUCCUUUAUUCAUGUUAUUAAGAGCCUCCAGAAUCUUGCUUAGUUCACUUUCAAUCUUCUCCUGAGCUUUUUCUAGCUUUUCAAAUCUAUGAGAACUUUUUUCCUCCAUUUGCCUUGCUCUAGAUCUUGUGUUGUAUGGAUGAGCAGGGUUUUCGCUAGAUGGAGCUAUUCUGGGACCUUGAGUACCAUACUUAUGAUUAGGAAUGUUAUGCUGUGCCUUAUGUAUGAUGCUUUGAUACACAAAUGAAAUGUACAUUUUUCUGAAUGAAAUCUAGUAUGAAAUGAAUGCAAAUGAUUGUGUUAAAACAUGAUCAUGAAAAUAAUGCAGAUGCAUACAAUCAGACAAACAACAUAAUUAGUUCCAUGGAUGAAAUGAAAGUGAUGCUGAUGCAUAAUGUUACAUAUGAUAAUGAUGCACAAAGUUAAACAAUCAAAAUGAUUAGAUAAACACCCUUUUUGUGUCCUAAUUUCAGGGUAUAUCUAUCAUUGGGUAGAAAGGGCUCUAUCCUAAGUUUAGGCACUCUUAAGGUUCACUAUAUGUGGUUUAAGGUCAAAGUCUAAAGGUCCUCAAAUUGUUCCUUACAUCCUUGUCCAUCACAGACUAGUAAUGCAUCCUAAUCCUCACCCAUUACAGGUUACAAGCAGAAAAGGUUCAAUUUGAGUGGGAGUAUUUCGCUAGCCACUGCGGAGGCAUUAGACCUCACGAAAGCAAUAGGUACUUUACUCCCUCCUAGAGGGACGGAGCUCGGGUGUAGAGCUCAUGUUAUGCACAUGCACAUGAAUGACAUAAUUAACAAAGUAAAUAAACAUGAAUGAAUAAUAAUACAUAUAUACAAAAAGGUUCAAUUUUAUUAGGCGUUUGGAUAACACAGAUUAUUUGCUGGCCUGACUCUCAACUUCCCCAGUGGAGUUGCCAAGCUGUCAUAACGUCUAGAUCCGGGGAUCUAUCGCUAGACAUUGACUUUUAGGGAGUCGCCACCAAUCUUUUUUAUCUAGGUGCGAUUGGCCACCUAAAGAAUCUGUCCUUUCAGGGAACACCUAAGUUUAAGGGUCCCUAAAAGAAUAGGUUCAGGUCUACUAACCAGAACAGGGUUCGGGAGUUCGGUUACGUGUGAGGAAGGUUAUAGCACCCUCACAACGCCCAUCAAAAGAUGGUACCAGCUUAAAUUUGUGUUAUCCAAUGAGCCUUAAAAUUUUACCCAGUAAUUAAUUAUUGGAAAUUAUUCUCAAUUGACUCUAAUACUUUUAGCAGAAAAUUGAGAAAAUCCCCUCACCUCAGGAGUAUGCAAGAAAACUACUGUUUCACUUGCAGAGGCUCCAUCGUCGGAUUAUUUAACAUUAAGGAAAAUUCAAAAAGAAGAAAAAAAAUGAUUGCUUUUUGUGCAGGGAAAAUUGAUACUUUCAACUUUUCCCCAAAAAAUAUUUUUUUUUAGAAAUUUUAAUUUUCAAGGAAAAUUGAUACUUUCAACUUUUCCUCAAAAACCCCUUUUUUGAAAAUUUAUUUUUUAAGGAAAAUUGAUACUUUCAACUUUUUCCCAAAAAUAUUUUUUUUAAAAUCUUUUUAUCUUCAAGGGUUAUUUAAAAGAUGCUCAACAAAUCAAAAUUUCCUGUGAAACAGUUUAAACUUACUUGGUAUCCAACAUGAGAACAAAUGAACAACUUCUUGCACCACCUUUGCUUACGAGAUGGUGAUGGAAUUAAGUGCAUCGAUUCUUGGCCCUUUAAGACACUGAUACAUGUAUGAUGUUUCAACAAAGUCAACCAUCUCCUUCUCAACAGCAAACCUAGUCACUUCAACCACUAGGCAAGGCGUAACAUGGACAGUCUCCAGAAAACAAAGCUGUAUCCCCAAAUGGGCCAAGGCAUCCCAACAGGAAGUGAAGUUUUGUUGCCGUAUCUAAAUCCCUUAACAAAUGAAUCAACAUCCCCAAUACUGGCCAGGAAGAGAGCAACAAAGCAAUUGCGAAUUUGCUCAACUUGUUCAAGUGUAUGCUGAUUCAGAUCAAAGAUUGAUAUCAUCAUUCCAGCAACAAAUGAACCCAGCUCAUCACCAAGCAACAAGCAAGCAAAAAUGCUAUGGAUGUCAACUGAUAGAACUCCUUAGUCAACGAUUUAGUCGUGGAUAGUACUCCCUGAAGGACACCAGAACUGCCACCUAGAACUGAAGUAAAGCAACCAGCAAACCCACAGCACAGUCCUCCACAUAACUGCAAAAAGCAUAUAGCGAAAUUGUUAUACCAAACGAACACGUGAAGAGAAAAUUUUGAAGAAAACCUCCAAGGACAGCAACUGUUCGAACAACACGAAGCUUUGUUGUUGAAAACUCCAAGCUUGAUGCGUGAAUCCUUGGCUGCAUAUUUUGGUGUAAUUGAUUGGGCUGCAGCUGAGUAGGCUGUAAUUGCAUCUGUGACAUCAGUUGCUGCCUUUCGCAUCAUCCAAUCUGUGCUCCCAAGGCGUUCAUGGAUGCUUUGCCGCAAGGAUUCCAAGCUCUGAGGUGCAAUUGCUCCCACCUGUGACAAACUCGCCACUACCGACGAAAGGGAAGCCUUAGCCAUAAAAUUCUGAUUAUUCAACAGCUUGCAGAUCCUUGGACACAGCUUCUGAAAAGCAGCCAAAGGAGGAUCAGUUGCACAUUCCACCAUCUAAGCCAUACACGUUGCUCGACGUAACAAAGUGGAGUGCCUUUUCCAUCGUGUUCUCCAAAACAGGUUCUACAGGUGAUCUUCCACCUCCUCUUUCGAAGCAAAGCCUUCUUUCAUGGACUGUCGCCAUGGCUGCUGAGUCCGAGACCGAGACAGCUACGAUUGGGCUCAGCUUGCGCCUGUGCCAGCUUUUGUUGCUCAACAGACCUGCUCAUGCGCUCAAGCAACUGAGCAGCCUUCCGCUUGCCCCUAUCUGUAUCAUUUUGUGCCAAGUCCACCAAUGGACUCGUCGCUCCUAGUUCCUGGGCCUCUGCUAAAUGUUGUUGGUCUCCAGCACAAAGGUGAACCAAAACUGCAGCUGUAUUCUCUCUAUUCCUGCUGCCCAGUCUUCUAUUCGGUUCUUCCUUUUUUUUUUUAUACCAGCAGCCUCACGUUCCCUUGCCUGCUACCAAGUUUUUCUCUCCCUGCAUCCUCUUAUUUAUUCAUAUUAUCGAGUAGGAUUUUUGGUUUGCUGAUCAGUCUCGUUCACAUUCGCUGCAGGUUACGGUGGAUCCUGAUGCGCCCAGCCCAAGUGACCCAAACCUGAGGGAAUACUUGCCUUGGUGAGUUGCAUGUCACUCUGUCUUUCUCUCUCCGGCUCCUUCAUCUCCAUUCCUUUGCAUGCUGUGUGUGUCUCUAUCUGUUGCAUACUCAAACGGGUACGCAAAAAGAAGCAGACAGUGAGGCGAACAGCCUAGCAAGCACUCCAAAUGCUGAGUUUUGGUACUUGCGGUUGUUUGCUUUGUUUCCUCAUCUUUCUCCCUGGGCAUUAGACACACUGAAUGGAGUUCGAGUGCUCCCAAAUGCUGGACUUCCAGUUGAACCAAAGGCAGGGGUGCUUGUGGAACCAAAGGCAGGGUCAAGAAAGGGAAGGUUUCCCACAGAGGGGAAGCCUCGAAGGCUUGGUGUCGAUGGGGGCUUCCCCUUUUGUUUGGCUUCUGUUUUUUUCCUCCCCCUUCAGCUUGUAUAUUCACUGUUGAUAUAUAGACCCAUGCUGAUAGAGUUUCAAUUCAAUUCCAAUUAGUCAUCCAAGGCUAAAGAUUAGCCACUAAUCAUGCUUUCUGAUCAUCAUCCAACUUAAUCUCAAUCUUUCUUUUUUUCAAAAAAAAAAAAUCAGAUAAUAAAAAAAUGAUAAAUAUGAAAUAAAAAAAAUCUAAAAUAAAAUUGAAUAAAAAUCUCUGCAAUUGAACUUGGAUUAGUCUCAAUUGACAAAGAAUCCCGGACAAAAUGGGGUGUCUACAACAGGUUUAUAUAGAAGUUCAUGCUCAAUCAAUUCUCCUUAAAUCCAUGAUUUUGUUUGAUUUUCGUUUUAAUGAGAAUUGAUUUUGAAAUCAAAUCCCAAAAUUCUCUCCCUAUCAUUUUGAUGUGAAUUGAUUAUGGAAUUAAAUCCCGACAAUCUCUCUACAUCAAAUACCAAUUGAUUUUAGAAUUAAAUUCCAAAAAUCUCUCAACUACGAUUAAACUCUGAAAAAAAUAUUCCUAGACAAAACGGGGUGUCUACAAAUGAUCAAAGUUCAAAAUUUGACAAUUUUAAAUAUGAAUUCUUUGUAUCAUCUUACAUUAUACAUGCACAUGUAAUAAUACACACAAAGCAAGUAAUAAAAAGCUAAAAACUAUCUUAUAAAAUGUGGAAAUUAGAGUGGGGAAUUGGGGGUUAGAUAAUAGGAAGCCUUAAAAAAUAUGAAUUAUUACCAAAUUACAGUAGCAUCAUCUUAAUAAAAUAAUUUUGUAAGAAACCUUUAUGAAGUAAGAGAGGGUCUAAAUUUAUAAUUGAAAAAUGAAUUAGCUAAUAAUAGGAUAGACAAAUAAUUUAAAAGAUUAAAAUUAGUAAUUUCAUAAUCAAAUAAAUGAUUUUUUAAAAAAUUAAUGUAAAACUAUGUUUUUUAAACCAACACAAUGCAUAAAUGACAUCACAAAUUAAUCUUCAUAUAUGUCUUGCAAACAUUUUAAUAAAAUUACAAAAAACAAUUUUAAGUAUUUCCAAAAGUAAAAUCCAGAUAUAUAUCAUAUUGCUAAACAUGCUAUUUCAACUUUUGAUAAUUGAAGUUACCUUCAUAAAUGAAAUCUCACUUGAAAUCCUGCCACUAAUUAACUCACUUUGAUAUUUUAAUUCUUAUCAGUGUGUAACUAUUUUUUACCUGCUGAGACCAGCAUCGGUAUAUACUUCAAUCUUUCUGUCAAACAUCUUCAAUUUUAUCAAAACCAUUUUCUUCUAUGCUUACAUAUGCGAGUGCAAACACAUUUGCGUGUGUGUAAAAAUAAAAGGAAUUAAGCGUUUAAAGUAGAUUCAUAUAUACACUAUCUGCUUUCCUCCCAAAUAUGUUUGCUUUCAAGUUUCCUCAAACCGUUUGUCAUAUUUUUAGGUAUUAAAAAUAUUAACAUAUAAUUUAUAAUAGUGCGAUCAACGUGGUCAUGGUAUUUGAUACACAUAAUAUAACUUGUAAGCAUACAAAAUUACACACAGAUUCGCAUAAAACAGGGGGUUUUAUUUUAUUUUAAUUUUAUCAUGUUUUUGAGAAAACAUGAAAGAAAAAGACCCAAAGAUAUAUAUUUAUUUUUCAUCAGUCAUAAGCACCCCCCAUACUUAGGCUGAAAGUUGAUCCAUCAGCACUUAAACGGAACCGCUGAAACCUUUAUUGUAAACAUAUUCAAUAAGGGAAUCCAACUCAUCAUUGGUGCAGUCGAUCAAAUUGUCCUUAUUUUUAUCAGCAACGUCCAUGGCCUCUUCGACUUGCUUGUUUGGCGUGAGUGCACCUAGAUGUUGAAAAGCAUCCUUGAGCUGGUCCCUGGUGAGGCUGCCCUGCUUAGAGUAAGAUCGAAACACUUGUUCCAAUUUGUUUUUCUGAUCCUUGUUAUCCUUUGUGGCUUGCAUUGUGGAUUUUGAGGUUUGUGACCGGGUGAUAUUAGAGAGAAGGCUUGCCUAGCUUGGUUUGGUUUUCUUUUCCAAUGCUACUUGUUUAUAUAGACCCAAAACUCUGAAUACGAUUCUGUUUAAGUGUUGGGGAAUAAAACAUUUUUUGGUGGUGGGUUUAAAAAAUUGAUUUCCAUCUUUUUUAUCAAUAAAAUUAAUAAAUCAAUCAACAAAUUUUAUAAUGAAUACUUAAAAAAAAAAUUCCAAGAGGAUUGGUACGAAUAAAAAUAUUAAUGUUAAUUUCUUCUUUUCUUCUGGCUUCAAAUUAACUACAGAUUGGAAAAAGCUAAACGGCAGCCUCCACUAUCUUGUGUCCAUUUUCUAUUGUUUCAUUUGUUUUAGCCCUCAAUUUGCAGUUUUUAGGUUUUUCUUUUUUGGUUCCCUGAUUAAAUGAUGCAUUUUGGUCCAUUUGGUUUUAAUGAAUUUCAGAAUUUGGUAGAUCUCGUGAAAGGAGUUCUAGGAAGUACUUUGAUGAGCAUGCUUGUAAAUUGUGAUAAUUAUUGUGUAUGAAUGUUAAGUUAUCCAAAAAUAAAUAAGUUUAGCAUUACGACUGUCUUUCUUUUUUUGUUUGCCAUAAAUGAUUCUGGAGCAAAGCAAACUACUGUUAAACUAAUUAUUUGCAUUGUACCACUUCCAGGAAUCAUGGCCUUAGUGGGUUAAAAUCGUAUACAUGUUUCUCUCUCAUAUGUUCUUAAUCUGGGUAGGAUAGAAUGAAGUUUGGGCUAUUUCAAUUCCUUUGCACCUUUUUUCCCUUGUACUGUAAUAUUUUCUCAACCACCCUUUUGCAAGGGGAAAGCUGUAAUAUAUUAUAUAUAUAUAUAUAUAUAUAUAUAUAUAUUUUUAAAUUAGAUAAUUUUGUAAAAAAAUUAUAUUGAUGGAAGUGUGUACAUGGUAGUCAGAUUUUAUUUUUUCAUUUCUUCAUUUUUUAUAAAGCUUUAUUUUUAAAAAGUUCCUAAUAAAAAUUUUUACAAGAAUAAAUCAUCAUUAUUAACAUUGCAUGACAAUUCAAUUUUUUUUCCUUUUUAUUUGUUUUGAUUUUCAUUUUCAUUUUUUCAUUUUUAGUUUUUUUUCUCCCUUUAUUUUUUACUAGAUCAAUUGUUUCAGUGAAAAAAACUCAUCGGAUGUGCCCACAUGACAUCCUAUUUUAUUUUUUGAUUCUUUUUUUUUAAUUAGACAAAUAAUACAGUAAAAAAAUCAGUAUAUAAAUUUUAUAAGAUAAAAAUCAAUUGAAGUAUAGACAACAAAAUAUCUUGUAUCCGAUAUGUUUUGAUUCCUAUGGAUCAAUCGGUGUGCUUUUUCUUUUUUUUUAAUUUAGGAUUGGAAACCUUAAAAAAUAUGAAUUAUUACCAAAUUACAAUAGUAUCAUCUACUAAAAUAAUUUUGUAAGAAACCUUAUGAAGUAAGAAACGGAAAACUUAUAAUUGAAAAAUGAAUUAAUUAAUAGUAGGAUAGAAAAAUAAUUUAAAAGAUUACAAUUAGUAAUUUCAUAAUCAAAUAAAUGAAUUUUUUUUAAAUUAAUGUAAAGCUAUGUUUUCUAAACCAAAGAAAUGCACAAAUGACACUACAAAUUGAUCCUUCAUAUAUGCCUCACAAACAUUUUAAUAAAAUUACAAAAAAAAAUUUAACUAUUUCCAAAAAUAAAAUCUUGAUAUAUAUAAUUUUGCUAAAUAAGGUAUUUAAACUUUUGAUAAAUGAAAUCUUACUUGAAAUCCUGCAAUUAAUUAACUAAUUUUGAUAGUUUAGUUUUCAUUAAAGUGUAAUUUUCUUUUGCUUGCUAAGACCAACAUCUAUAUGUACUUUAAUUUUUUUGUCAAAUAGCUAUAGUUUUAUCAAAAUCAUUUUCAUCUAUACUUACAUAUAAGCACGUGCAAAAACAAAUGCAUAAAUGUGUGUAAAAUUAAAAAGAAUUAAGCAUUUAAUUAGAUUCAUAUAUAUAGAUAUAUAUAUAUAUAUACAUACACAUACACACACUAUCUGUAUUCCUCAUAAAUAGGUUGAUUUUCAAGUUUUCUCGAAACCUUUUAUCAUGUUUUUAAGUAAUAAAAAUAUUAGUGUAUGGUUCAUAAUAGUACGAUAACAUGUUCAUGGUAUUUGAUACACACAAUAUAACUUGCAAGCAUGUAAAAUUACACAGAUUUGAAUAAAAACAGGGGGUUUUAUUUUAUUUUAAUUUUAGCAUGUUUUUGAGAUAACAUGAAGGAAAAAGACCCAAAGCUAUAUAUUUAUUUUCAUCAGUCAUAAGCAUCCCCCAUACUUAGGCUGAAAGUUGAUCCAUCAGCACUCAAACGGAACUGCUGAAGCCUUUAUUGUAAGCAUAUUCAAUAAGGGAAUCCAACUCAUCAUUGGUGCAGUCGAUCAAAUUGUCCUUAUUUUUAUCAGCAACGUCCAUGGCCUCUUCGACUUGCUUGUUUGGCGUGAGUGCACCUAGAUGUUGAAAAGCAUCCUUGAGCUGGUCCCUGGUGAGGCUGCCCUGCUUAGAGUAAGAUCGAAACACCUGUUCCAAUUUGUUUUUCUGAUCCUUGUUAUCCUUUGUGGCUUGCAUUGUGGAUUUUGAGGUUAUGACAGGGUGAUAUUAGAGAGAAGGCUUGCCUAGCUUGGUUUGGUUUUCUUUUUCCAACGCAAUUCGUUUAUAUAGACCCAAAACUUUGAAUACGAUUCUGUUGAAGUAUAGGGGUAUAAAACAUUAUUUGGUGGUGGGUUUUAAUAAUUGAUUUCCGUCCUCUUUAUCAAUAAAAGUAUUAAAUCAAUCAAUAAAUUUUUGUAAUGAACACUUCAACCAUGAGGAUUGGUACGAAUAAAAAUAUUAAUGUUAAUUUCUUCUUUUCUUCUGGCUUCAAAUUAACCACAGAUUGAAAAAUGCUAAAUAGCAGCCUCCACUAUCUUGUGUUGUAGUGAUGAUACAAGCCUCCACUAUCUUGUGUCCAUUUUCUAUUGUUUCAUUUGUUUUAGCCCUCAAUUUGCAGUUUAGUUUUUAGUUUUUUUUUUUUUUGUGGUUGCCUGAUUAAAUGAUACAUUUUGGUUUUAAUGAAUUUCCAGAAUUUGGUAGAGCUCGUGAAAGGAGUUCUAGAAAGCACUUUGAUGAGCAUGCUUGAAAUUUGUGAUAAUUAUUGUGAAUGAAUGUUAAGUUAUCAAAAAAUAAAUAAGUUUAGUUUUAGGACUUUCUUUCUUUUAUUGUUUGCUAUGAGCAAACUACUGUUAAACUAAUUAUUUGCAUUGUACCACUUCCAGGAAUCGUGGCUUUAGUGGGUUAAAACUGUGUCCAUGUUUCUCUCUCGUAUGCUCUUAAUCUGGGUAGGAUAGAACUAAGUUUGGGCUAUUUCAAUUCCUUCGCACCUUUUUUCCCCUGUACUGUAAUAUUUUCUCAACCGCCCUUUUCAAGGGGAAAGCUGUAAUAUAUAUUUUUUAUAUUUUUUCUUUUUUUUAAAUUGGAUAAUUUUGUAAAAAAAAUUAUAUUGAUGGAAGUGUCUACAUGGCAUUCAGAUUUAAUUUUUUGAAUCCUUUAUUUUUUUAUAAAUCUUUAUCUUUAACAAGUUCAUAAUAAAAAUUUUUACAAGAAUAGAUCAUCAUUGCUAAUAUUGUGUGACAAUUUAAUUUUUUUUUGUUUUCAUUUUCGUUUUAUUUUUUUUUUUUGGUUUUUUUUCUCCCUUUAUUUUUUAUUAGAUCAAUUGUUUCAGCAAAAAAAAAAAAAAACCCAAUGGAUAUGCCCAUGUGCCAUCUUAUUUCAUUUUUUGCCUUUCAUUAUUUUUGUAAUUAGAUAAAUAUUACAAUAAAAAAAUCAGUAUAUAAAUUUUUUAAGAUAAAAAUCCAUUGAGGUAUAGACCACAAAAUAUCUUGUAUCCUAUAUGUUUCGUUUCCUGUGAAUCCAAUCGGUGUGCUUUUUUUUAAAAAAAAAAUUUAGGAUCAGAAGCCUUAAAAAAUAUGAAUUAUUACCCAAUUAUAAUAGCAUCAUCUACUAAAAUAAUUUUGUAAGAAACCUUUAUGAAAUAAGAAACGGAAAACUUAUAAUUGAAAAAUGAAUUAAUUAAUAGUAGGAUAGAAAAAUAAUUUAAAAAAUUACAAUUAGUAAUUUCAUAAUCAAAUAAAUGAUUUUUUUUAAAAUUAAUGUAUAACUAUGUUUUCUAAACCAAAGCAAUACACAAAUGACCCACAAAUUAAUCCUUUCUAUAUACCUCGCAAACAUUUUAAUAAAAUUACAAAAAAAUUUUAACUAUUUCCAAAAAUAAAAUCUUGAUAUUUAUAAUUUUGCUAAACAAGUUAUUUAAACUUUUGAUAAUUGAAGUUAUCUUUAUAAAUGAAAUCCCACUUGAAAUCUUGCAACUAAUUAACCCAUUUUGGUAUUUCAAUUCUCAUCCAGAUAUAUCUUUCUUUUGCUGCUGAGACCAGCAACAAUAUGUACUUUAAUUUUUUUUGUCAAAUAGCCUUAAUUUUAUAAAAAUUAUUUUGUCUAUACUUAUAUAUAUGCACGUGCAAAAACAUAUGCAUAAGUGUGUGUAAAAAUAAAAAGAAUUAAGCAUUUAAAUUAGAUUGAUAUAUAUAUAUACACACUAUCUGCUUUCCUUCGAAAAGGUUGACUUUCGAAUUUCUUCAAACCUUUUAUCAUGUUUUUAAGUAAUAAAAAUAUUAGUGUAUAGUUUAUAAUAGUUUGAUCAACGUGUUCAUGAUAUUUGAUACACACAAUAAACUUGCAAGUAUGUAAAAUAACACCAGAUUUAAAUAAAAUAGGGGUUUUAAAUUUUUAUUUUAAUUUUAUCAUCCUUUUGAGACAACAUGAAAGAAAAAGACCCAAAAGAUAUAUAAUUUAUUUUUCGUCAGUCAUAGCGUCCCCCAAUAACUUUAGGCUGAAAGUUGAUCCACCAGCACUCAAACAGAACCACUUGAAGCCUUUAUUGUAAGCAUAUUCAAUAAAGGAAUCCAACUCAUCAUUGGUGCAGUCGAUCAAAUUGUCCUUAUUUUUAUCAGCAACGUCCAUGGCCUCUUCGACUUGCUUGUUUGGCGUGAGUGCACCUAGUUAUUGAAAAGCAUCCUUGAGCUGGUCCCUGGUGAGGUUGCCCUGCUUAGUGUUGGGGAACACCACAGCUCUGGUAUCAUUUGUUGGGCUAAAAGCCUCCAAUCUAAUCACACCAGCAGAAGCAAAUCAAACAAUAAAUCAAACACACAAGAGACAACAAUUUAACGUGGUUCGAUCAACUACCUAUAUCCACGGAUGAGAAAUAAGAUCCACUAGUUGUAGAGAAUUACAAACAUACAUCAAAUCAUCAACCUCACUCAACAAUCAAUACUCAUAAGACACUCUCAAUCUCCUCUAGUCUUAUAGAGUAUUCUCAACCCAAACAAACACAAACCCAAACCUUUAUGCACUCUUUCAACAUAACCAAACACAUACGCAUAUGCUCCCAUACAUCAUACCUAUGUGGACCCUCUCAGUCUCCUCUAAUCCACUCACAAACAAACAUACACACCCAUAAGACGUAGAGUCCCAAUACUCUUAUGAGGUGUCUAUCCUACAAAACCCUACAACUCUCUUACAUCUUUUUUCUCAUACCUAACCCUGUAGAGACUUCACCUAUUUAUAACCAUACAAACUUGCCCAUUAAGAAUCCCUCUCCUCUUAGAAUUCUUCUCCUGUAAGUCAAACAUGCCUAUUAAGAAUCCCUUUCCUUUUAGAAUUCUUCUCUUGCAAGUCAAACUUACCUAUUAAGAAUCCUCUUUCUCUUGGAAUUCUUCUUUUGCAAGUCUUCUUGUCCAUCAAGCAAUAUCUGACAAAUCUCAAACAAAUCUCUAACAAAUCUCAAAGAAAUCUCUUAUGGGAUUUGAGUCAAUAUUCCUAACAAUCUCCCCCUUGACUCAAAUUCCAUCAAUCAUCUGUCUUCAUGCUAGACAUGCUUGGCUCCACCUGCAAUGGAAGUCUUACAAUCAUCUUCUCUUUUCUUGUGUCUCACGCUUUAUACAAACCAAUCUUCAAUCUUCAAAACUCGAACUCGAACUCUUCUCUUGAAUUGAGCUCCUCUAAAUUUAUUUCUUUUCAUGUCUUAAACCAAGCUUUUCCCAUAUCUCAAACUGUCAACUAUUCUCAUGUCUCGAACUAUCGACUCUUUCCACAUCUUGAAUCUUCAACUCUUCUCACGUUUCGAACCUUCAGCUUUGAUACCACUUGUUGGGGAACACCACAGCUCUGAUACCAUUUGUUGGGCUAAAAGCCUCCAAUCCAAUCACACCAGCGGAAGUAAAUCAAACAAUAAAUCAAACACAUAAGAGACAACAAUUUAACGUGGUUCAGUCCAACUACCUACAUCCACGGAUGAGAAACAAGAUCGACUAGUUGUAGAGAAUUACAAACAUACAUCAAAUCAUCAAUCUCACUCAACAAUCAAUACUCAUAAGACACUCUCAAUCUCUACUAGUCCUAUAGAGUAUUCUCAACCCAAACAAACACAAACCUAAGCCCUUAUACACUCUUUCAACAUAACCAAACACAUACCCAUAUGCUUCCAUACAUCAUACCUAUGUGGACCCUCUCAGUCUCCUCUAAUCCACUCACAAACAAACAUACGCACCCAUAAGACGUAGAGUCCCAAUACUCCUAUAGGGUGUCUAUCCUACAAAACCCUACAACUCUCUUACAUCUUUUUUCUCAUACCUAACCCUGUAAAGAGUUCACCUAUUUAUAACCAUACAAACUUGCCCAUUAAGAAUCCCUCUCCUCUUAGAAUUCUUCUCCUGUAAGUCAAACAUGCCUAUUAAGAAUCCCUUUCCUUUUAGAAUUCUUCUCUUGCAAGUUAAACUUACCUAUUAAGAAUCUUCUUUCUCUUGGAAUUAUUCUUUUGCAAGUCUUCUUGUCCAUCAAGCAAUAUCUGACAAAUCUCAAACAAAUCUCUAACAAAUCUCAAACAAAUCUCUUAUGAGAUUUGAGUCAAUAUUCUUAACAAUCUGCACAUUGACUCAAAUUCCAUCAAUCAUCUGUCUUCAUGCUAGACAUGCUUGGCUGCACCUACAAUAGAAGUCUUACAAUCAUUUUCUCUUCUCUUGUGUCUUUACGCUUCAUACAAAUAAAUCUUCAAUCUUUAAAACUCGAACUCGAACUCUUCUCUUGAAUUAAGCUCCUCUAAAUUUAUUUCUUUUCAUGUCUUAAACCAAGCUUUUCCCAUAUCUCAAACUGUUAACUAUUCCCAUGUCUCGAACUAUCGGCUCUUUCCACAUCUUGAAUCUUUAACUCUUCUCACGUUUCGAACCUUCAGCUCUGAUACCACUUGUUGGGGAACACCACAGCUCUGAUACCAUUUGUUGGGCUAAAAGCCUCCAAUCCAAUCACACCAACGAAAGCAAAUCAAACAAUAAAUCAAACACACAAGAGACAAUAAUUUAACGUGAUUCGAUCAAACUACCUACAUCCACGGAUGAGAAACAAGAUCCACUAGUUGUAGAGAAUUACAAAUAUACAUCAAAUCAUUAACCUCACUAAACAAUCAAUACUCAUAAGACACUCUCAAUCUCCUCUAGUCCUAUAGAGUAUUCUCAACCCAAACAAACACAAACCCAAACCCUUGUGCACUCUUUCAAUAUAACUAAACACAUACCCAUAUGCUCCGAUACAUCAUACUUAUGUGGACCCUCUCAGUCUCCUCUAGUUCACUCACAAACAAACAUACACACCCAUAAGACGUAGAGUCCCAAUACUCUUAUGGGGUGUCUAUCCCAUAAAAUCCUACAACUCUCUUACAUCUUUUUUCUCAUACCUAACCCUGUAGAGACUUCACCUAUUUAAAAUCAUACAAACUUGCCCAUUAAGAAUCCCUCUUCUCUUAAAAUUCUUCUCCUGUAAGUCAAACAUGCCUAUUAAGAAUCCAUUUCCUUUUAGAAUUCUUCUCUUGCAAGUCAAACUUACCUAUUAAGAAUCCUCUUUCUCUUGAAAUUCUUUUUUUGCAAGUCUUCUUGUCCAUCAAGCAAUAUCUGACAAAUCUCAAACAAAUCUCAAACAAAUCUCUUAUGAGAUUUGAGUCAAUAUUCCCAACACUUAGAGUAAGAUCAAAACACUUGUUCCAAUUUGUUUUUAUGAUCCUUGUUAUCCUUUGUGGCUUGCAAUAUGGAUUUCGAGGUUUAUGACUGGGUGAUAUUAGAGAGAAUGCUUGUCUAGCUUGGUUUGGUUUUUUUUUCCAACGUAAUUUGUUUAUAUAAACCCAAAACUCGAUUUGUAUUCCGUUGAAGUGUAGGGGAAUAAAAUCUUUUUUUGUGUUGGUUUUUAAAAUUUGAUUUCGAUUGAAAGGAAACGAUAUAAUUGUAUGACAAUUUCUUCAUUUGAAUUUUUUUUAAGUAUCCAUUUUAUUAAUAAAAUUAAUAUAUCAAUCAAUAAAUUUUUAUAAUGAAUACACAUAAGCAAAUAUUCCAAGAGGAUUGGUACGAAUAAGAAUAUUAAUGUUGGCUUGAAAUUAACCACAGAUUGGAAAAUGCUAAGCGUAGUGAUAGCGGCCUCCCUUUCUUAUGUCCUAGUGAUGAUAGCAGCCUCCACUAUCUUGUAUCCAUUUUCUAUUGUUUCUUUUGAUUUUGCAGGUGAAAAGGCUAGACAAUGAAGUCAGGAGUAAGGAAUCUAAACUCUCACCCUAUCCAAAUUUGAGCUGUUUCUACAUGAAAAAGUUUGAAAAGAAUCGUCUUGUUGCUCCUGGUUGGACAGAGCUUGAUCAUACACAUUGAUUUUCUAAAAACUUAUAAUUUGAUGAAAGUGUCUUGUCUGUAGGAUAAUUUGAUAUUAUUGGUUAAAAAUAUUGUUAUAACAUAUAGAUUUAUGGACCCAUUAUAGACAUAAACUUUAAGAGUCGUUACUAUUUUUUUUUUGUUUAGGUGCAAUUAACCAUUUAACUGAAUCUAUCUUAUUUAAAGAGUAUAUCUAAGAUAGACUUAGGCAUUUUUAAAUAGUAGAUUCUAAAAUCAAUGAAAUCAGAUUUAAGGUUCAAGAGUGCAAUUAUGCAUGAAGAAGUUUAUAGCACCCUUACAGUGCCUAUCCAAAAAAUGGUAUCAGUUUAAUUUCAAAUUAUCUAAACCUUGAAAUAUUCUUUAAUUAUACCCAGUAAUUUAAUUAUUAAAAAUUAAUCCUAAAAUUACUCUAAUAGUUUAGUAGCAAUGUAAGAUAAUUUUCUUACCUUAAGAGUAUUCAUAGAGACAAUGUCUCACUCUAAAGAGACUCCGUUGUUGAAUUUAUUAAUAUAUUUUAUGUAAAAAAUAAUUAGUAAAAUCCUCCAAUAGUUUGGUAAGAUUUUACUUUGGUGCAAAUCUCCCAAUAGUUUGGUGAGAUUUUAUAUGAAAAUCAUUUAUAAAAUUUUGUUUUGAUGUAGAAUUCUAAAUAGUUUAGUGAGAUUUUAUUUGAAAAUUAUUUAUAAAACUUUACUUUGAGAAAAUUCAUUAAAUCUUCUAAUUUGGUAAGAUUUAAUUCAAGAUUUUUAUCCUCUAAUAAUUAGUAAGAUUAAAAGUAUAUUAUUUUAUUUUAUUUUAAAAAUUCAUUAAAUCCUCCAAUAGUUUGGUAAGACUUAAUUCAAGAUUUAAAUAUUUCAAUAGUUUGGUAGGAUUGAAAAUUUAUUAUUAAAGAAAUUACAUUAUGAAAUUUGUCAUAACGUCUAGAUCCGAAGAUCUAUCGCUAGACAUUGACUUAAGAAGUUGUCACCAAUCUUUUUUAUCUAGGUGUGAUUGGCCACCUAAGGAAUAUAUCCUUUCAGGGAACAUCUAAGUUUAAAAGUCCCUAAAAAAAUAGGUUCAGGUCUACUAACCAGAACAGGGUUUGGGAGUUCGAUUACGUGUGAGGAAGGUUAUAGCACCCUCACAACGCCCAUCGAAAGAUGGUAUCAGCUUAAUUUUAUGUUAUACAAUAAGCUUUAAAAAUUUACCAAGUAAUUAAUUAUUUAAAAUUAUUCUCAAUUGACUUUAAUACUUUUAGCAGAAAAUUGAAAAAAUUCCCUCACCUUAAGAGUAUGCAAAAAAACUACUGUUUCACUUACAGAGGCUCUAUCGUCAGAUUAUUUAACAUUAAAAAAAUUCAAGAAAAUAAAAAAAAAAUGAUUGCUUUAGAUAUAAACUCUUUUCUCUUCAAGAAUUCAUUGCUUUUAUACAAGGAAAAUUGAUAUUUUCAACUUUUCCUCAAAAAUAUUUUUUAGAAAGCUUAUUUUCAAGGAAAAUUGAUACUUUCAACUUUUCAUCAAAAAUAUUUUUUAGAAAGCUUAUUUUCAAGGAAAAUUGAUACUUUCAACUUUUUCCCAAAAAUAUUUUUUAGAAAAACUUAUUUUCAAGAAAAAUUGAUACUUUCAACUUUUCCCAAAAAUAUUUUUUAGAAAGCUUAUUUUCAAGGAAAUUUGAUACUUUCAACUUUUCCUCAAAAGAAUUUUUUUUUGAAUUUUAUUUAAAGAAAAUAAUAAAAUAAAAUAAAAUAAAAAUAAAAAUAAAGAUAAAAAUAGAAUAAAAUAAAAUGAGAUAAAAUAAGAAAUACUAAAUAAUUCUAAUCUAAUAAAUAAUAAUAAUAAUAAUAAAAAUAAUAAUAAAUAAAUAAUAAUAAAAUGAGAAAAAAACCUGGGAACGGCUUGGCUCGGCUCAGCUUGAGGAAGAAAAACGGCUCGGAGAUGCGGCUCGGCUCAGCUCGACUUUGCACUCGGGUCACACGCAGGUCGCACGCGGUUUGGCGCUCGGGUCGGGUUGCCCAAUUUCAAAACGCGUGGAUCCUUUGGGAACAGUAAUGCCAAAACGACGUCGUUUUCAACAAGUAUAAAAGGCUCAUUCUUCUGUUUUUCAAUAGACCGAUCUUUUCCUCUCUCUCUCUUCCCUUCCUUUCCUCUCCUAUCUCUCUAAACAGACGAAGAACUCCGGUUGAAUUUCAUCAGAUUCUGGAAAAUGUCAUCGAAAUCUGGGUUUUUCACCAGAAAUUCAUCGAAAAGUUGAUCGAUUUCUGGAAAUAGUCGCCAAAAACUGGGUAGCUGACCGAAAAAUUCAAACUUGGCCUGAAAAUUCACCGAAAAAUUUAAACUUGACCGAAAAAUUCAAUCGGAAUCUAUAAAUUUUUCAGAAAUUUUCAGAAAAAAAUUUGCCAAAAUUCUAAAAAAUUUUUGAAAUUACUUUGGCCCUUCUGAACGCUUUUUUUUUUCUUUUUGCUCUUUUUCUCAAUCAGUCUCUGUGUUUCUGUUCUAGUCUUUAUGAUUCAUGGAUCUAUUUAUAGGGAUUGAUCAGAAAAGUUUCUGAUCAAUCCCAACUCCUCCUUGGAUUGGGAUUCAAUCCUUGAAUCCAAUAUAGACUCUGAUUGAAUCCUAAAUCUAUGGUAGAAUUCCAAAUUUCCAUCCCAAUCCCAGCCGAAUAAAAAGAAAAAGAAAAUCAAAUCAAAUAAAAAAAUGUUAAUAGAUAAUUUAAAAAAAUAAUUAGAUAAAUAAAAAUGUUAAUAGAUAAAUAAUAAUAAUAAUAAAUAUAUAAAUAGAUAAGUAAUAAUAAAAAAUAUAUAUUAAUAAAUAGUAAUAAUAAAUAAAUAAAUAAUAAAUAAAUACAAAAAAUACAAAAAUACAAAAUACAUAAUAAAAACAAAAUAAAACAAAUUGAAAUGGGCUUACCCAUUUGGACCAGGCCCAAUUGAUCUGGGCUUGGACCAAAUUAGGUGUCUACAGCUGCCCCUCUUUGCAUAUUUUCUGUGAAACAGAAAUUGUGCAAAGAUGUAGACACCCAUUCAAAACUCCACUCGACCUUUUUUUCUUUUUUGCUUUUUUUCGUUAAAAUUUUGAUCAAAAUUCCUCUAAGCAGAGGCUCAACAACUUUAAAAAACAUAAACAAAGCUCCUCUAAUCAGAGGCUCAAAGACUUUGAAAAUAAUAAACAAAGCUCCUUUAAUGAGAGGCUCAACGACUUUGAAAAUAAAUAAACAAAGCUCCUCUAAUCAGAGGCUUAACGACUUUUGGGAAGUAAAUUGCUCGUCUAAUCAGAGGCUCUAUGACUUUUGAAAAGUAAAUUACUCCUUUAAUCAAAGGCUCUACGACUUUGAAAAAUAAACAAAGCUCCUCUAAUCAGAGGUUCAACAACUUUUGAAAAUAAAUUGCUCCUCUAAACAGAGGCAUGACAACUUUGAAGAAUAGAUUGCUCCUCUAAUCAGAGGUAUCACAACUUUGGAAAAUAAAUUGCUCCUUGACAAUCAUGUUCAAAGGAGUUGAAAAUUGUGUUUGAAGGAAUUUCAGGAGAUUAUGCCCAAAGGUCUUACAAAUCAACCCUGAUACUGAGAGACAUCCUAUUUCAAGGAUUAGAAACUUACCUGACAAGCUUUUUUCUCAAAUUUAAAAAUGUUUUUACAUCCGUCUUAUCUAUGUGGGAUGUUAGAAUACCCCUGCUUCUUGAAUUUAUGCACUAUAUUUUCUUGAAUGUAGUAUAUACUAUGCAAUGCAUGUGAAAUUCAAUGCACGCUAUGCAAAUGUUGGCUAAUUAAUUCCUAUUUAAUUGUGGUACUCAAGUUUCUUAAGCUCUUUUUUUGGGCAUCACCCUUUAUUCUUCAAAGAUCAAAUUACGCUGCUCUUCUAAGAUCGAGCCAGUAUAGCUCUCAAUCAUCUCUUCCACUCACAUUCUUCCUAUAAGAAAUCUCUUUCCAAAUUUAAUAUCCUUAUCAGGAACUGAACAUCUCAAUUCUACUUUUAUCACUCUUGACUUCUUCAAUGCAAUGUAAAAAUCUUUCAUGCCAUUAUUCAUUUAUCAAUCAUUAUUUCAAACUCAACAAGUAAGAAUGCAUUUGCACAUUUCUUCGAUUGUAGAGUAUUAAGAAGAAAAGAAUAAGAAUGGUUGAAAAACUAUCAACAAAAAAGGCACACAAAAAGUGAAAUAGAAUGUUUUUUUUAUUAGCAAAAUGCUGGCAAACUUUGUCCAAGGAAGAAUUACAAGGAUAAGUAUAGGGAGACAAAGCCCAAAAAUGAACAAUAGGACAAUCAUGAUAACACAUCUCAAGGUUUUCUGAAAACCCAACCAUCUGAUGCAUUUAACAACUCAGAGCUCCUCCGAAUUUGCUAACCUCUACGCCAAUAGAUUUUUCAAAUUUGAUGCUAUAUUCUCCUUAUCUAAGCUUCCUUUUUAGGUUUUCAACUUAGAUAAACCCCUAUGACUCAAACUGCCCUUUUAAGGUUUUUGCCUUGAGUCCUCAUUUUUCAUUCACUUUUUUUUCUUUUUUUUCAUUUUUCAUUUUUUUCAUUUCAUUUUUUCUCUUUUUUUUUUCAAGCAUAGUAUUUCUUCACAGCAUCAAAAUUUAUAGGAUGGGGUAAAUCAUUUCUAUCCAUUUCAGUCAGUAUUAGUGUUCCACCCAAGAAAGCCUGUUUCACUACAUAUGACCUUUUCUAAUUCAGAGUCCAUUUUCCUCUAUUAUUAUGCUGGAUUGGAAGGAUUCUCUUCAAGACCAACUCUCUUUCUCGAAAGCAAUGGGGUCGAAUCUUUUUUGUCAUGAGCCCUCAUCAUUCUUUUUUGAUAUAACUGACCAUGGCACAAUGUAGUCAAUCUCUUUUUUUCUAUGAAAUUUAACUGUUCAUAGCGUUCUCAAAUCCAUUCAGCUUUUUUCAACUCAACUUUUUUUAGAACCCUUUAAGGAUGGGAUCUCCACUUCCACUAGUAGUACAGCUUCCAUCCUAUAAACCAAAAAAAAUGAAGUUGUCCUAAUAGAGGUAUGCACUGAUGUUUGAUAUGCAUGCAGUGCAAAUGAUAACUUCUCAUGCCAAUCUUUAUAAGUCUCAGUCAUCUUCUCAAAAAUUCUUUUUAUGUUCUUGUUGGCUGUCUCAACUGCCCUAUUCAUUUUUGGACAGUAUGGUGUCAAGUUAUAAUGCUUGAUCUUGUAUUGAGCACAUAUUUCUUGCAUCAUCUUACUAUUUAGAUUCUUGGUAUUAUCUAAAAUAAUUCUCUCUGGAAGUCUAUAUCGACAGAUAAUCUCUCUCUUUAUGAAUUUACAAACCACAAAUCAUGUUACAUUUGCAUAUGAUGCUACUUUCACCCAUUUUAUGAAGUAAUCUAUUAUCACAAAAAUAAAUUUAUGCCCAUUAGAAGCCUUUGGGAUGAUAGGACCAAUGACAUCCAUGUCCCACAUUGAGAAUGGCCAAGGUGGUGCCAUAAUAUGUAAAAUAGAUGGCGAAGCAUGAAUUUUAUCAGCAUAUAUCUAGCCUUUAUGGCAUUUACGAGCAUAGUCAAUGCAAUCACUCUCCAUUGUCAACCAGUAGUAUUCUGCUCUUAUGAUCUAUCUCGUCAUCAUAUGUCCACUGGCAUGUGCCCCACAUAUUCCAUCAUGUAUCUCUUCAAUGAUUUUUCUUGCUUCAACCUUACUUACACAUCUUAGUAAUACUUGAUCAUGGCUUUUUUUGUACAGAACAUCCCCAUCUAGGAAAAAACUCAUAGCUAAUCUUUGGAUGACCCUUUUAUCAUUUUUUAUUGCUUGAACUAGGUAUUGUUGAUCCUUAAUAUACUAUAAGAUAUCAUAAUACCAGGGCUUUCCAUCCUCCUCUUCUUCUACAUUAGAGCAAUGAGCUGGCAUAUCCUUAACAUCUAGCCUGAUGGGCUAAAUGUCAAUAUUGUCAUUAAUUCGAAUCAUUGCGGCUAGAGUAGCUAAGGUAUUGAUAGUCAGAUUCUUUUUUCGAGGUAAAUGAUCAAACUGGAUAUCUUUAAAUUGUUUUAUCAACUCUAAAAUAUACUUAUGAUAUGGAACGAGUUUUGAAUCUCUCGUCUCUCAUUCCUCUUUCAACUGAUAUAUAACUAGAGCUAAAUCCCCAAACACUUUUAAUGCUUUCACUCUUCUAUCUAUAGCAGCUUGUAGGCCCAUGACACAUGCCUCAUAUUUAGUAAUGUUAUUUGUGCAAUUAAAAUUUAACCUUGCUAUUAUAAGACAGUAUUGUUCUUUUAGGGAGAUCAGAAUUGCUCCAAUUUCAUGUUCCAAGGCAUUGGUAGCUCUAUCAAAAUACAUUCUCCAACACUUUUCUCCAUGCCUCCCUUUCUCCAAUUGGAAAAUAGUUAUUAGAUCUUCAUUAGGGAAUUCUAACCUCAUUGGUUCAUAUUCUUCAAUAGCAUGAUCUGUGAGGAACUCCGCUAUAGCGCCUUCUUUUAUUGUCUUUUGGCUUACAUAUAUAAUAUCAUACUCCGAGAGCAUUACUUGCCAUCUAACAAUUCUUUCAAAUAAAAAAGGCUUUCGAAGAUGUAUUUAAUUGGAUCCAGUUUUACUAUAAGCCAUAUGAUAUGAUAGAGCAUAUAUUGUCUGAGUCUUUUGGCAGUCCACGUUAAUGCACAAUAUAUUUUCUCCAAUGAGGAAUACUUGGAUUCAUAUUCUGUGAACUUUUUACUCAGAUAAUAAAUAGCUCUCUCUUUUUAGUUAGACUCAUCUUGUUGCUCCAGCACACAUCUCAUUAAAUUUUCACACACUGUUAAGUAUAAAAUUAAAGGUUUCCCUGGAAUAAGUGGCACCAACACUGGAGGAUUUGACAAGUAUUGCUUAAUUUUAUCAAAAGCCACUUGACAUUCUUCAUUCUAUUUUUCAAGAUUAUUCUUACAGAGAAGCUUAAAUAUGGGAUCAUAUUUAUAAGUAAGUUGAGAGAUAAAUCGAGAAAUAUAAUUCAAUCUUCUCAGAAAACCUCGAACCUCCUUUGGUGUACUCAUAGGUGACAAAUUUUGAAUGACCCGUAUCUUGUCUGGAUCGACUUCAAUUCCUCUUUCACUGACCAUAAAACCUAGUAACUUCCCUGACUUUACCUCAAAUGUGCACUUGGCUAGGUUUAAUUUAAGCUGAAACCUUUUCAAUCUCUCAAAUAACUUUCUGAGGCUGGUGAUAUGAUCUUCAUUCUCACAAGAUUUUAUAAUCAUAUCGUCUACAUACACCUCAAUCUCUUUGUGCAUCACGUCAUGGAAGAGUGUUACCAUGACCCUUUGAUAUGUUACCCCAGCAUUUUUUAACCCAAAAGGCAUGACUUUGUAACAAAAGGUUCCCCAUAUGGUCACGAAAGUAAUUUUUUUCAUAUCAUCUGCAGCCAUUUUUAUCUGAUUAUACCUUGAGAACCCAUCCAUAAAGGAAAAAAUUAAAUGCCUAGCCAUGUUAUCUACCAGUGUGUCGAUAUACGAUAAAAGAAAGUUAUCCUUUGGACUAGCCUUAUUCAAAUCACGAUAGUCUGCACACAUUCAUACCUUUCCAUCUUUUUUAAGAACCGGUACUAUAUUGGCUACCCACUCUAGAUACUUAGCCAUUUGUAGAAAACCUGCAUCAAACUAUUUUUUCACCUCUUCUUUGAUCUUUAGUAGCAUUUCAAGCUUCAUUCACCUCAGUUUCUGUUAAACUGGCUUACAUUAUGAUUUUAGAGGCAAUCUGUGCUCUACUAUCUCCGUGCUUAGUCCUGGCAUAUUUUGGUAAGACCAAGCAAAUACAUCCAUGAAUUCCCUAAGUAGAUCUGCCAAAUGUUGUUUAUCUUCUGAUGAAAGUGAAGUGCCAAUUUUGACAUCUUUCUUAUUCUCUUCAUUUCUCAGAUUCACCAAGUUAACUAUCCCUGAUGAGGCUCAAUUGACUUAUUUCUUGUUCAAUCAAUCUUAUUAGGUCCGAAAGCAUAACAUAUUCCUCAUAAUUCUCUUCAUUGUCAAGUUCAUCAGUGUUAAUUGAAUUCUCAAAACUAACCUCUUAAUUGUUAUCAUAAUUAUCUUCAUGUUUAUUUAAGGACCUAAAAUUGUAUGAAAUGAGAUAUGUUGACAAGAUUUGUUUGAGAAAAUGGCAAUAAUAAAAACACAAGAAGAAAUGAAUGAAAAUGCAUCCUUCUAAAUUUUUAUUAAAAUAAUAAAAGAUAAAUGGCGCAAACAAGAAAGAUCAUCCUAAUGUCUUGGGCAAUAGCUAUUGGGAUGUUACAAUUAUAUUGUAUUAAUUUCAAAAGUCACAGACACUUCAAUGGCACUGCAAUUGUUUAGCUCAUAAUUUGGUGGACCCACCCCUUUUGAUUAAGCCCUACUUCAUCUUUAAUAGCAUUAAUGGUUAACUGGGCAAAAGCCCUUUCCAUGCUUUUUUCUGUAUUUGAAUACAUGAAUCCUCCAGGUCUAAAAGUCUCAUACAGGUGUGGGAUAACCAUUAGUCUUACUAUUUUUUCUACUGGCCUUCUCUUGAUUUCUCAUUUUACUAUCUCAUAGCCUAAGCCUAACCUUUCACUAUUGUCUAUCACUGUCGGGGGUUCUUUUAUUCCUUGCAAGUUCUUGCCCAGCCUUAAUCCUGGAUACCAGCCCUUAUUGAUGACUUGGCUUAUCACUAUCCUUGAAAAAGAUUAAUUUUUAAGUCCUUCACCUAUACAAUUAACCAAUUCAAAAGAUCGAUAGGAGCAUUCUACUACUUUUUCGAUAGCCUUUACAUACAGAGCAUUCAAGGUUGGGUCACUAGCAUGUCUUCCUCCCAACUACCACUACUAAUUGACCUUUUACAUUAAACUUGAUCUUUUAGUGUAAAGUAGAGGGCACAGCACCUGCCAUGUGAAUCCAUGGCCUUUUUAGUAGACAACUGUAGGAGGAAGAGAUAUCCAUCACUUAAAACUUCACAUUAAAAGUGUAUGGCCCUAUUUGCAAGGACAUCUCGAUAUCUCUCAAGACCUCUCUUUUGGUUCUAUCAAAAGCUCUCACGAUCAUCUGACUGUCUUUCAUAUGAGAGUAGUCAAUGGGUAACCUUGCCAAAGUUAACAUAGGCAUGACGUUGAUAGCGGAGCCAUUAUCAAUAAGGACUUUAGCUAUGAUAUGGCUCUUGCACUUGACUGUGAUAUGCAAAGCCUUGACAUUUCUUCUUCCCUCCGAGGAAAUUUCAUCAUCGUUGAAUGAAAUGUAAUUCAAUAUGACUAGAUUUCUAACUAGGUGGUUCACAUAUUUAACAGAUAAAUUAUGUGCCACAUAUGCCUGGUUCAAUACUUUCAGCAGGGUGUUUCGAUGUGGCUUCGAAUUUAAUAAUAGUGAUAGUAAUGAAAUUCGUGUUGGCAUUUUAUUCAACUGUUCAACAACUGAAUACUCACUAUGUUUUACCAGCUUCAGGAAUUCACAAGCUUUUUUUUCUAACACCAACUUCGGACGAUCUUCCUCAGGUUCUACUUCAAGGUUAUUUUGUCCUUCUCCUUCAUUAGCCUUCUCUCUUCUAGCUUUCUCUAAUAUUUUUAGAGUGUAACAUCUUUCACUUCGGGUAAUACCUCUUACACUAGUUAUAUUGGAAGUGUCAGCUUUAGAGACAUCCCCUUCUUACCCCUGAACUACUGUAUCGCAGCCAUAUUUCUAGGGUAAAGCUUUAUCAUCCUUAUAUGGGAAAGGAGUCGAAACUUUAAAAGUUAUCAGCCUGGGAAUGAGUUUAUCUAUGAUUGACUUUGGCUUGUUCCCAUAAUGGAUGGUCACCGACUUUGGAAAUAGUUUUAUAGGCUUAUCAGUUAUAGACACUUCAACACUUUCUAAGUCUUCUCUUUUUUCAUAGACCUCUAUCUAGUAUAAAUUCAAGAGCUUUUGCACUUUUUAGUGAAACUGCUCACAAGUUUCGAUAGAGUGACCCAUUGUCCCGCUAUGAUAUUUACAACAAGUGCCAACUAUAUAUAUUCCAUGAUGGCUGUAUAGACUCACUGGUUGUAUCAUGUCAACUUUUCAUAAAAUAUCAAACAGCUGACUAAGAGGCGUUUUAAUAUCUGCCACUUCUUUCUUAAAAUGAUGCUCUUGUUCUUCACUUAAAGCAUUCAUAUUAUGAUUAGGGAAGGGAUUGCCACUAAAAUUUGGUGUAGUUACCCCUCCUGUAUCAAAGCUAAUUAUUCCAUCCUUGAUCAAUCGUUGCACUUUGUGUUUCAGGACGGUGUGAUUUUUGAUAGAGUAACCGACAAUCCUAUAGUGAUAGUCACAAUGGGCUGUGGGAUCAUACCACUUAGGGUAAGGUAGCUUGAGGGGCUCUAAUUUACUAGGAGCAAUCAGAUGACUGUUGUAAAACUCAUGAUAUAAUUCUGUAUAGGUCAUUAGGAUUAGGUCAAAUACAGGUUUUUUGUGAGUAGUUUGUUACUCUCAUAAACCACCCAUUAGGUUAGCUAGAUGAGUUUAGGGUUUUAGGUAGGCUGAAUAUUAGGACUAUAUGUGGUAUUCUAAGGCCUAAGAGGAGGUUGAUAUGUUUGGGGAUAAGGUGACUGUGUAAAUGGUUGGUAUGGGUAAGGGGAAGUGUUAUUUACAGUAGGGUAAUAUGGAAGGUAUCCUUGUGGUGAGUAGGGCUGAUAACCUCCAAAUUAUCGUCUAUUAAAGCUCAUAGCUUGAGCUUCAGUCUUUUUCUUCUUUGGGACUCUUUUGCUAGAUGCUUCACUUCCUUCCAACUUGCCAUUCUUGAUGGCAUUCUCGAUAAUUUCUCCUGAAAUUACCAUAUCAGUGAAAUUUUUGGUUGCAUUCCCUAUCAUCUUUUCAUAAUAAAGAGGUUUCAAAGUGCUAACAAACAGCAUUGUAAUCUCUUUCUCAGUCAGAGGAGGUUGUACUUGAGAAGUUACAUCCUUCUAUUUCUGAGCGUAUUCUUUAAAAGACUCAUUUGCCUUUUUCUCCAGGUUCUGUAAAGACAAACGAUCAGAAGCCAUAUCGAUAAUAUGUCGAUAUUGAUUGAUGAAGUCAUGAGCUAUAUCACUUUAAAAAUGAAUGCGGGUUCUAUCAGCUGGACAUACCACCUGGCAGCAGAGCCUGUAAGGCUAUCUUGAAAAAUAUGCAUUAGUAGUUUUUCAUUAUGGGGCAUGGGCUGCCAUCUUCCGACAAUACAUGGUGAUAUGAGUUUUUGGGCACUUCGUAUCAUCAUAUUUCUCAAAUUUUGGUACUUUGAACUUUGGUGGAAUGACUACAUCCGAGACUAAGCAUAGCCCAGCAGCAUCAACAGAACCAUAAAAUCCAAUUCCUUCUACGGCUUGUAAUCUUUAUUCAAACAUACUAAUCUUUAGAUCUUCCUGAGACUCUGCCACUUUUGCUUUCUCUUUAUUUUUCAAGUCAUCUAGAUUAGGAACCGGUUCUAUUGCCUUUUUAGUAAAGAUAGAAUUUACAUAGCUAUGGUAAUGCCCUAGAUUGGAGGCUGAUGGCAUUCCAGGAUAUGUAGGAUAUGUGAAGUAUUGUGGUGAAACCUCUUGUGUAGACUAGGCUUGAGGUGGACCAAAACCUGAAGGAUAUAAAAGGUCAGCCACUUCUUGUAAUGGGGGAACUUGUUGGUUUGUAUUUUUUUCUAUUCCUUUUCCCUUAUUCAGCUUAUUGAGAGCAUCUAAAAUCUUGCUCAACUUAUUUUUAAUCUUUUCCUGUGCUUUCUCUAGCUUUUCAAAUCUGUGAGAGUUUUUCUGCUCCAUUUGUCUGACUCUAGCUUUUUUGUUGUAUCGAUGGACAGGGUUCUCGCUAGAUGGAGCUAUCCUUGAACCUUGAGUACCAUAUCUUAGAAUUAGUAAAUUUGCAUGACUAUCUCAUGGUUACUUUGUUAAGUGUAAUGAGUGAGAAUGCAAUGAAUGAGAAUGCAUGUAUGCAAAGAACAUUUGCCUUAAAGACGGUAUUUAACUAAAAGAUUUCAUUUAUUCCAAAAAACUUUUAUUUACAUUGAGUUUAUCAUCCUAAAAUUAUAACCAUAAAAUUGUUUGAUCUGUUCAUAUUGGGCCUUGGCUUUUUCGAUAAAGUUUAAUAGAUGCUGCCCAUGCUCUCUUACUGGGGUCACCACUUGUUUUAAUACCUCUACCUCUUCUACCAUCUCUCUUGCCUUGCAUACCCCUUUACAAAUUUGGGUCGUUAGGUACUCAAUAUAUUUCUAUCUUCUUAAGUUCUCUCUUUUACCAUACCAGACUUGGUAUGAUAACUCUCUAUGCUCCCUAAGUAAUGCAGCAAUAUGGUCUUCUUGUUCAUUCAACUUUUAUCUCAGCCUGCUUAGAUAACUAUUCAGCAUGUUAUUCUCUAUCUAUACUUAGGUACUUUCUUCUUCCAAUUCAGCAUAUUCUUGUUUCAAUCUUGCAUUCUCUUCAGUUAGCUCAACAAUCAUUAUCUCUUUGGCCCUUUCUCUCACGCAUAAUCUCUUAUAUUUUGAUAUAGCUCUGCUAGGUCUUCAAUAGUCGUAUCAUGUUAUCUAACAAUCUUACAAACUUUGGCUUCAUGUCUUUCAGCUCUAUCUUUCCACUGGUCUUUUUCUUCUCGAAGCUUCUAGAUUUCUUACUUUAACUUACCCUUUUCCUACUCAAAUUUUUUUGUCGCAAGCUCUAAUUCUGAUGGUGUCUCUUCAAGCUUUCCUCCUGUUGGCGGUUGAAAGCUUUCAUAAGUGAAUACCAUUUCUUGUUUUCGUUUUGCUCUCCAAACCAGAUACCCUGGAGUGACUUUAUCAGUAAACGAUCUAAGACUCACUCUUCGGGGAUUUUUCCAUGCUUUAAUCAUCUCAUUCAUCUUCUGAAAUGCUUUUGGCUCACUGUAAGAGAAAUCUAAUUAAUGAAGCCCAUACGUCAUAGGAAUAAACUGUUCUGCCCCAAACUACCUUUUCACUGGGAGUGAUGUAUAAUUUGUCGCUCUCUAUAAACACAGAAGUGGGGCCACUAUAUUUAUCCCCACAUUGAUACAACAUAGGCUCACAAUUCAUCCAUGGGGCCAACCAUCUUACUGUGGCACUGGUCAAUUUUUAUAGGAAAGUUAUCCAUUCUUUUUUAGAUUUUGGUUCUGACCACCCACUUUCACAGAAUUCUUUGAUCAGAGCUCGAUUACGAGCAUAAAGCUUUGAGAAAGCACCUUUUCUCCAUUCGAAAUGGCUUUUCAUCCAUAAGUACAAUAACUGUAUGCAACCUAUAAAGUGCCCUCCAUUCCGACGGUAGUAACUCAAAGAUCUGAUAGUCUCUACUAAUAUUAUGGUUGAAGGAUUACAGCCAUUGAUCACACUCUCGAAGAAGUCAACCACCGUUAUCUCAAUAUAACCCAAAACCUUUGAGAAGAUCACCAUUCCAUAUAUAGCUAAGGCAAAUACAUCUAACCCCCGUUCUUCGUUGGCAUGUUGCAAUAGAAACUCAUGAAAGAACUUCCACGGUAGACAAACCUGUUCUUGUUUCUUCUUUAUAUGAGAAUCCACAACUUCUUUGUCUAUCCUCAUGAGUUAACCUAAACCAUUACAAAAUCCUGACUUGUGUUUUUUGACAUAUAUCUUAUCGGGAGCCUUGAGGUGCAAACCCAACAAAGUUGAAUAUUCUUUGAUGGUUGUGUCAUAUCAACUUCAUUGAAGAUGAAAUACUUGUAUGCAGGAUCCCAGAAUUAUGCUACAGCUCUGAUUAGUUGAUCGUCGACAACUACUGCUAGAAGGUGUGCUAUAUGCCCGUGUCUCUGGCAAAACUGCUCUUAUCUUGACGAACUCAUCUUCUUCCAUAUAUCAACCAAGUCCUCUAGAUUAUUUUGUUUGAGAAGGAUAGAUGUUUCUUGAGACAAGGUAGAAUCAUAUCCGAUUGAUAAACAAUCCCACAUCUUCAGUUGAAUCUUUUUUUACUGGACCCUUACUUCGUUGGGUGACUCACAAGGUGCUAAUACAGAUGAAGAACAAACUAGUUGUUUUGUGGAGUCCAUGAAAAAUUUUUGUUAAAGACCGUCUUUCAAGCAAAUGUUCUUUAUGCAACUUUAUGAUAUGAGCAUGAACUGAUGCAAAAGAAUAAGAGAAAAGGUUAGUAUGCUCAAAAAAUAAAUAAAUAAAUAACUAAGUAACUUAAAAUAUCACACAGAAUAAGAGGAAUGAAUCCUAUGCUUUUGGUUAAUUCUAAAAAGGAAGAAUAAUGGCUCUAUCUAUAGGUUAGGCACUCUUAAGGUUCACUAUAUGUGGUUUGAUGUUAAAGUCUAAAGGUUCCCAAAUUACUCCUUACAUCAUUGUCCAUCACAGACUAGUAAGGCACCCUAAUCCUCACCCAUUACAAGCUACAAGCGAAAAAGGUUCAAUUUGAGUGGGAGUAUUUCGUUAGCCACUGCAAAGGCAUUGACCUCACGAAAGUAAUAGGUACUUUACUCCCUCCUAGAGGGACGGAGCUCGGGUAUAGAGCUCAUAUUAUGCAUAUGCAUAUGAAUGACAUAAUUAAUAAAGUAAAUAAACAUGAAUGAAUAAAAGAAUCUAUACAAAAGGUUCAAUUUUAUUAGGCUUUUGGAUAACACAAAUUUAUUUGCUAGCCUAACACUCAGACAUCCCCAGUGGAGUCUCCAAGCUGUCAUAACGUCUAAAUUCAGGGAUCUAUCACUAGACAUUGACUUAAGGAGUUGCCACCAAUCUUUUUUAUCUAGGUGUGAUUGGCCACCUAAGGAAUCUAUCCUUUCAGGGAACACCUAAGUUUAAAGGUCCCUAAAAGAAUAGGUUCAGGUCUACUAACCAGAACAGGGUUCGAGAGUUCGGUUACGUGUGAGGAAGGUUAUAGCACCCUCACAACGCCCAUCGAAAGAUGAUACCAGCUUAAUUUUGUGUUAUCCAAUAAGCCUUAAAAAUUUACCAAGUAAUUAAUUAUUGAAAAGUAUUCUCAAUUGACUCUAAUACUUUUAGCAAAAAAUUGAAAAAAUUUUUUCACCUCAAGAGUAUGCAAGAAAACUACUAUUUCACUUGCAGAGGCUCCAUCGUCGGAUUAUUUAACAUUAAAGAAAAUUCAAAAAAAUAAAAAGGAAAAAAUGAUUGCUUUAGAUAUAAACUCUUUUCUCUUCAAGAAUUCAGUGCUUUUAUACAAGAAAAAUUUAUACUUUUAACUUUUCCUCAAAAAUUCAUUUUUGAAAACUUAUUUUUAAGUAAAAUUGAUACUUUCAACUUUUUCCCAAAAAUAUUCUUUCUCAAAAAUAUAUUUUAGAAAGCUUAUUUUCAAGGAAAAUUGAUACUUUCAACUUUUCCCCAAAAAUAUUUUUUAGAAAUACUUAUUUUCAAGGAAAAUUGAUACUUUCAACUUUUUCCCAAAAAUAUUUUUAGAAAGCUUAUUUUCAAGAAAAAUUGAUACUUUCAACUUUUCCUCAAAAAUAUAUUUUUUUGAAUUUUAUUUAAAGAAAAUAAUAAAAAUAAAAAUAAAAAUAAAGAUUAAAAUAAAAUAAAAUAAAAUGAGAUAAAAUAAGAAAUACUAAAUAAUUCUAAUCUAAUCAAUAAAUAAUAAUAAUAAUAAUAAAUAAAUAAUGAAAAAAACCUGAAAAUGGCUCGGCUUAGCAGCUCGGCUCAGCUCAGCUCAGCUCCGUACUUGGGUCACAUGCGGGUCGUAAGCGAGUUGGCGCUCGGGUCGGGUUGCCCAAUUUCAAAACGCGCGGAUCCUCUGAGAAUAGUUACGCCAAAAUGAUGUCGUUUUCAACAAGUAUAAAAGGCUAAUUCCUUUAUUUUUCAGUAGAUCGAUCCUUCCCUCUCUCUCUCUCUCUCUCUUUCCUUCCUUUCCUCUCCCCUCUCUUUAAACAGAUGAAGAACUCCGGUUGAAUCUCGUCGAAUUUUGGAAAAUGUCACCGAAAUCUGGGUUUUUUAUUGAAAGUUCAUCGAAAUGUUGGUCGGUUUCUGAAAAUAGUCGUCGAAAACUGGGUAGCUGACCGAAAAAUUCACUGAAAAAUUCAUCGAAAAAUUCAAACUUGGCCGAAAAAUUCAAUCGAAAUCUAAAAAUUUUCCAAAAAUUUCCAGAAAAAAAAUUCACCAAAAUUCUAAAAAAAAUUUGAAGCUGCUUCUGGCCCUUUUGAAUGUUUUUUUUUUCUUCUCGCUCUUUUUUUCAGUCAGUCUCUGCGUUUCUGUUCUAGUCUUUGUGAUUCGUAGAUCUAUUUAUAUGGAUUGAUCAGAAGAGUUUUUGAUCAAUCCCAAUUCCUCCUUGAAUUGGGAUUCAAUCCUUGAAUCCAAUAUGGACUCUAAUUGAAUCCCAAAUCCACGGUAGAAUUUCAAAUUUCCAUCCCAAUCCCAGUCGAAUAAGAAGAAAAAGAAAAUCAAAUCAAAUAAAAAAAUGUUAAUAGAUAAUUAAAAGAAAAUAAUUAGAUAAAUAAAAAUGUUAAUAGAUAUAUAAAUAGAUAAGUAAUAAUAAAAAAUAUAUAUUAAUAAAUAGUAAUAAUAAAUAAAUACAAAAAAUACAAAAUACAGAAUAAAAAAUAAAAUAAAACAAAUUGAAAUGGGCUGACCCAUUUGGACCAGGCCCAAUUGAUCCGAGCUUGGACCAAAUUGGGUGUCUACAAAAUUCUUUAUUAGUUUGGUAAAAUUCAUAAUUGAAAUUUUCUAAACCAAUGAAAUAAAAAAUUCAUAAUUUAAAACUCACAAUCUUUAAAUUUUAUUUUAAACGUACAUAAAAAAGUAAAAUAAAUGAAUAAAUAUAUAAAUAAACAAAAUGUAAAAAUUACCCUAAUGGAUGGAGACAUGCCUAGGUUGAAGUAUCUCUUCAUCUAUGGUAACAGAUAAUCACCAAAGAGCUCUACCACCAAUUUUAACCUAAGAGCUAGGGUAUAGAUUGCUACUCAUCCAUUUCUUGGUGGGUUUCCCUUUUUUUCUCCCCUUUUUUUUGUAUUUUGUUGAUUGGUGUUUAUAUUAGGCCUUUUGCUAAGAGUUUUAACGAUUUGCAUUGAAUGAAAAGGAUUGCAAAUCAGAUUAUACUCUGAACUUAUUUUUUCUUGAUUCUCUUUAAAAUUUAUUUAAUUAAUUUCUAGAAUUGUCUCAAUUUUCCUUGAUUUUCAGAGUCCCUUAAAACUUCCCAAGCUAAAUUUGACUUUGAUUCCUUGAUUUGCUUUCUUUUCAACCUUCCUUUAAUAUUUAAAGAGAUCAUGUUUUAGUUUUAAUUGUCGAGAUCAUCCUUGAUUAGUGCUCAAAUUACUCCAUAAAUUUUAUUGACAUGAUUUAUGAUAAAAAUUUAAAAUAAAAUAAAUAAAAAGAGUAAAACAUAUAAAUAAAUAAGAUAUAAAAAGAAAUGAAGGAAAUUGGACAAUUGGGCUUAGUUUGAGCCCCGAACUAAAUAGGGUGUCUACAGUUGCCCUCUUUGCAUAGUUUUUGUAAAAUAAAAAUUAUGCAAAGAUAUAGAUAUCUAUUACGUUCAAGCCCAAAUUAUUCAAUUUUUUUCUUUUUUUUAAAGGCUCUUAAAAAUGAAGGCACACAACAUUUUAAAAAAUUAAGGACGACACCCGAAGGUUUUGACAAUCAUGCCCAAAGGUUUUAUAGAUCAUGUCCAAAGAGCUUGAAAAUUAAGCCCGAACGUCUUACAAAAGCAUUCAUUAAAAAAUGCUCAUUUAAACAAAGGCUACACAACUAUUAAAAAAGUACCUAAAAGUUUUAAAAGAUCAUACCCAAAGGUCUUAGAGAUUAUGCUCGGAGUUCUUACAAAUCUUGACUCUAAAAUAAAUUCAACUCGAAAGACUUACAAAUCUUCCCUAAAGGACUUAGAGAUUAUGCUCGGAAGUCUUACAAAUCUUGAUCUUAAAAUAAAUUCAACUCGCAAGACUUACGAAUCUUGCCCAAAUGACUCAGAGAUUACACUUAGAAGUGUUACAAAUCUUGACUUUAAAAUAAAUUCAGCUCAAAAGACUUAUGAAUCUUGUCCAAUGACUUAUAGAUUAUAAUCAGAGGUCUUAUAAAUCUUGACUCUAAAAUAAAUUCAAGUCAGAAGACUUGCGAAUCUUACUCGAAGGACUUGGAGAUUAUGUGUAGAGGUUUUACAAAUCUUGGAGAUUAUGCCUAGAGGUCUUACAAAUCUUAACUCUAAAAUAGAUUCAGCCAUGAAAAUUUAUGAAUAUUGCCUAAAAAACUUCGAGAUUACACCCGAAGGUUUGAUAAAUCUCAACUCUAAAAUAAAUUCAGCUUGAAAGACUUAUGAAUCUUACCUAGAGGUCUUACAAAUUAAACUUCAAAAAAGCUUAUUUAAAAUGAAUGUUCAACCACUUUAAAGAGAAAAAAGAUAUUUUGAGGUUUUAAAAAUCAUGCUCGGAGGUCUUAUAGAUAUUGCUUGAAAGACUUUUAAAAUAGUUUAAUAGUUUUGAAGGUGUUGCCAAAGGGUUCAUAAAAAAAAUUAUCCGAAGGUUUUUUAAGACUAAUACUUAAAAAUUUUAACAAAUUUNNNNNNNNNNNNNNNNNNNNNNNNNNNNNNNNNNNNNNNNNNNNNNNNNNNNNNNNNNNNNNNNNNNNNNNNNNNNNNNNNNNNNNNNNNNNNNNNNNNNNNNNNNNNNNNNNNNNNNNNNNNNNNNNNNNNNNNNNNNNNNNNNNNNNNNNNNNNNNNNNNNNNNNNNNNNNNNNNNNNNNNNNNNNNNNNNNNNNNNNNNNNNNNNNNNNNNNNNNNNNNNNNNNNNNNNNNNNNNNNNNNNNNNNNNNNNNNNNNNNNNNNNNNNNNNNNNNNNNNNNNNNNNNNNNNNNNNNNNNNNNNNNNNNNNNNNNNNNNNNNNNNNNNNNNNNNNNNNNNNNNNNNNNNNNNNNNNNNNNNNNNNNNNNNNNNNNNNNNNNNNNNNNNNNNNNNNNNNNNNNNNNNNNNNNNNNNNNNNNNNNNNNNNNNNNNNNNNNNNNNNNNNNNNNNNNNNNNNNNNNNNNNNNNNNNNNNNNNNNNNNNNNNNNNNNNNNNNNNNNNNNNNNNNNNNNNNNNNNNNNNNNNNNNNNNNNNNNNNNNNNNNNNNNNNNNNNNNNNNNNNNNNNNNNNNNNNNNNNNNNNNNNNNNNNNNNNNNNNNNNNNNNNNNNNNNNNNNNNNNNNNNNNNNNNNNNNNNNNNNNNNNNNNNNNNNNNNNNNNNNNNNNNNNNNNNNNNNNNNNNNNNNNNNNNNNNNNNNNNNNNNNNNNNNNNNNNNNNNNNNNNNNNNNNNNNNNNNNNNNNNNNNNNNNNNNNNNNNNNNNNNNNNNNNNNNNNNNNNNNNNNNNNNNNNNNNNNNNNNNNNNNNNNNNNNNNNNNNNNNNNNNNNNNNNNNNNNNNNNNNNNNNNNNNNNNNNNNNNNNNNNNNNNNNNNNNNNNNNNNNNNNNNNNNNNNNNNNNNNNNNNNNNNNNNNNNNNNNNNNNNNNNNNNNNNNNNNNNNNNNNNNNNNNNNNNNNNNNNNNNNNNNNNNNNNNNNNNNNNNNNNNNNNNNNNNNNNNNNNNUGAAAAGAAACUCCUAAAUAUUUCAAUUUAUUGGUAAUUUUUAGAAGACUUUUCUCACCUAAAGAAUUCUUGAGAAUUACUAUUCAGACUUCCCAGAGUCCCAUCAUUAAAAUUUUUUUUUAAAACAUGCAAUGCAGACAAGAAAAUAGAAUAUGUACACAAAAAUAUAUAUUUAUUAGGAAUUAAUUUUCUUUAAUCAUUCUCUAAUUAUCACUAAAAUUUUGAAAGGAACAAAAAAAUAAAAUUUUUAUUGAAAAUUUUCCUGAUACCCUAAUACACUGGCAAUAAUUUUAAAAAAAUUUUCUCACAUAAGGAUUUCUUAAAAAUCUUUACUCAAACUUCCUUUGAAUUCCAUUCUCUAAAAAUUUCAUUCAUAUCAUUAUUAUAUGCAUGAAAAAUAAAAUAUAUCAAACAUGAGUUUAAACACAAAAUAUUAUAUUAAAAUAAGCAUGAGAAUCUAAUCAACAAAAAAAUUAAAAAUGCAUAGGAUUAAACUUAUAACUGAAUUUAAACAAUCAUAAACGACUUGUAUGAGUAUAAUAAAACAAACAUAAAGGUGGAAUAACAUAGUUCAUGUGAAACUCAACCUAUAGCCUAUUUUCAGCUUUCAUUCUUUUUGUUAUCAAUCAUAAGAACAAGCCAAGACAGCCCCCACGCAUAGGGAAAUAAACAAAAAAAUACAAAAAGCUAGAAGCUUUAUAGCUUGUGCAAAACCUUUCACAUAAAGACAACAAACUAGAUAAGAAAAAAAACCUCAUUCCAUGUUGAAGAGCAAAGACCUAUGAAGCUACCCAUUGAUGUUUUAUAUAGCUCAAAUGGAUUAUAGCCCAAAAGUCAUCAACUUCAGACUUCCAGCUUUAUCCGUUUUAGCUUUCAAAACAAAACAACACUAUGGUCCAAACAACUUUCAGUCAUGUUUUUUUUACCUUGCUAGUAAACCCAUGUCUGUCUCAUACAAAGAAAGAAAGCAAAAUAGAUGCUGAAAUUACUUUAGGCAGCAAUGGAAAUAAGUUACAAAAUUUGUUUGGAAGAUCAACCAAACCGUGACUUCCCAUGAGGAGUUAGGCAGCAUGAUUUGGCUUAGUCUAAGCUAAUUUCCUUUUCUUUGUUUGCUUUAGCUUAAACCAACUAGAGGUUGGUUAUAAAGGAUGAAAAAAAGGGUGAAAAAAUUUAUGGCAUGAUCAAACAGCUAUUGUCAGAAGGAGAAACAACAGCUGUUCAGCAACACAAGAAAAACAAUGGUGUUCCAACCAUCUUGGAAAAAAUGAAAUAGAAACAUAGAACAAAUAAGGCUUGAAAUUUUAUUAACAAACACACCAAACACCAAAGCAUGAAAGGAAAAAAUAAGAGCACUUGCAGAAAAGAUCAUGAUAGGAGAAAAAAUAGUGUGAAAUACAUUAUAUAAUUAGCAAACUCAACCUUGGUAUAGGCUAUCUCACCUUUUGAAUUUUUUGAUUUUAGCUUUUCUUUUUUUUUCUGCUCUCUCUUUUUUUUUUUUUUCCAAUGCUUCAUCCCCCUUCUUCCGCCAUUCUAGUAGCCUUUGGAUGAAAUCUCAUCCAAGGGCCAUAGUUUUUCCUUUUCUUAUUUUUAAGGAGCCACCUUUGGUCCUUGGAUUAAAAGACAACAAAGGAUCCAAUGGCUCAGAUUACACACUGCAAAGGUUGAAUUUUUAUGCCCUCUUAAACCCAUAAAAGACCAUUUUAUGCUUAGUGCAAAAGUUUUGGUAUUUGUGGUCAUUUCUUUAUAAAUUAAUGUUCCCAUGGUCAUUUUUGUGAUUUUCAAGCACCAAAAAUCAUAAAUUAUUAUUAAGUUGAGAUCUGAAAAGUUUCAUAAAAUUUUAAGCUCAAAAAAAGCCAAAUUAUGAAAAUACCCAUAUAAGGGUAUUUCAAUAAUUUUACACUUUCGGGGGUACUGCUAUGAUUUUAGAUGCACCAAAAAUUAUAAAAUAUCAUGAAAUUGUGAUCUAAAAAGUUUCACAAAAUUUCAAGUUUAGAAAGAUCAAAUUACAAAAAUACCUUUACAAGGGUAUUUUGAUAAUUUCAUGCUUCCAAGCGUACAAUAAAAACUCUAAUGUUUCAAAAAAAUCUCAACUUUAACUUUAAACAAUAUUGAUUUUAAUUAGGUUUUGAAUUUUUAGAAUUGAUCCAGGCUCUAUCCCUUUUGACCAAGUUUCAUGCAAUUUUGACUAGGGUUGACUUUGAAGUUUUAAAUAGACCAAUUUGUGAGGUCUUUACAAGUCUUAAAUGGUUCUCAUAAAUGGUUUUAGCCUUUUAUUCACAAAUAAGCCCUAGAUAAAUCAUGUUAAAAAAUAUCCUAGACAAAAUUUGGUGUCUACAACUACCCUUCUUUGCAUACUUCUAAGGAUCAAAAGUAAUACAAAGACAUAAAUGGUAAUUUUGUCUGAAUGAUGUUUUCGAGUGAGCGAACCUUUGUUUUUUCUUCUCUUCUUCUCUGUUUUAUUUUUUAAACUAUGGAUUUUAGAGAUUAAAUCUUAAAAACUUUUUGAAUGCUCCUCCAAUCAGAGGCAAUGGAGCUUUGAAUAUUUAUAAUGUUUUAUGAAUCACAAAACUUUUGGAUGCUCAUCUAGUCAGAGGCCAUGAAACUUUGAAUUUAAAAUGGUUGGAGAUUAUGCCUGAAGGUUUUACAAAUCUUAAAAUCUUUAAAUGCUCCUCCAAUCAGAGGCCACGAAACUUUGAGUUUAAAAUGUUUGGAGAUUAUACUCGAAGGUCUUACAAGUCUCAAAAUCUUUAAAUACUCCUCCAAUCAUAGGCCAUGAAACUUUGAAUUUAAAAUGUUUAGAGAUUAUACUUGAAGGUCUUACAAAUCUCAAAAUCUUUAAAUACGACUCCAAUAAGAGGCUAUGAAACUUUUAAAAAAUUAGAAUGUUUGCUUGAAGGUCUUACAAAUUAUAUCUAGAGGUCUUAAAAAUUAUGCCCGGAGGUCUUAAAGAUUAUACUCGGAGGUCUUAGAGGUUUCAAAAUCUUUGAAUGCUCCUCUAAUUAGAGGCCAUGAAACUUUUAAACAAUUAAAAUGUUUUGUCCGAAGGUCUUGAAAAUUAUGCCUAGAGGUCUUAAAGAUUAUGCCCGGAAGUCUUAGAGAUUUUAAAAUCUUUGAAUGCUCCUCCAAUUAGAGGCCAUGAAAUUUUUAAAAAAAUUAAAAUCUUUUUCCCAGAGGUCUUGAAAAUUAUGCUCGGAGGUCCUAAAGAUUAUGCUCAAAGGUCUUAGAGAUUUCAAAAUCUUUGAAUGCUCCUCCAAUAAGAGGCCAUGAAACUCUUGAAAAAUUAAAAUGUUUUACAAAUGGUUUUCCCUUAAAAAGAGAUUUUUUGAAACUCUAUAGAUUUUUGUUUGAACAUGGCUCUUUCCAAAUAGAGGCUUCAAAAUCUUUAUUUGAAAAUGGCUCCUCUUAAAUAGAGGUUUUGAAACUUGAAAAUCUUGUUUCUCUUUUCUCUCUAUUUUGAAACUAGUUUGAAAAUGAUUCAUGAUGUCAUGGCUUGAGAAUUUCACAAGUUGUGAUUGUUUAAAAUAAUUUUUCAUACUUCAGUCUUUUAUUUGAAUGAUUCUUUCUUAAAAAAAAAGUUUAAAUUUUUCAUAAUUCAUGAAUGCAAUGGAUAUAAUGCAAGUAUUAUUAGAAACCAAUAUGAUGUAUCCAAAAUGUGGUAACAAGUUUCCUUACAUCAUUCAUUUUUCUCUUUUUUUCUCUUUUUUUUUUCUAUAAAAUGAAACCAUUCUCAAACCUGGUUUGCAUAUUCUAGGAUCUUCUUUCUUAUGAACUUCAAUGAUCAUUUGUUGAUCUUUAUCCUUAUAAUGUUGAUAAACACAAUCCUGAUGCAAAUGUCUAUCCAAUGAUGUGAAUACAAAUGUCAAUGCGAAUGUAAAUGUCAUUGCAAAUACAAAUGACUUUUUCACAAUGCAAAUGCCAAUGUGUUUUCUGUAUAAAUGCCCCUAAAAAUUCUAAAAUGCCUAUGUCAUGAUGCAAAUGCAAACUUCUUUCUUAUAGUGCAAACGUAAAUGCCUUGGUUAAGAUGUAAAUACAAUGCAAAUACAAGUUAUACAAAUGUGAAUGUCUUUCUUAUGAUGCAGAUGUAAGUGAUGCAAAAGCGAAUAUCUUUCUUGUGAUACAGUUGCAAGUGAUGCAAAUGUAAAUGUGUUUUUCCUUAUGAUGCACAUGCAAGUAUAAAUGCAAAAGUCUUUUUUUUGUGAUAUAGAUGCAAGUAAGGCAAAUGUGUUUUUCUUUUUUUUGUGAUGUAAAUGCAUUGGGCUUAAUAUUUCAUCAAGGGGCAACUAAUCUGGGCUUAAAUAUUUCUUUAAAGGUCGGCUAAAUUGGGCGUACAUUCAUUUGAGGUCAACUAAUUUGGGCUUAAAUCUUUUUUUUGAAGGCCAGCUAGAUGGACUUAAUAUUUCAUUAAGGGCUAGCUAAUUUAGGCUUAAUAUUUAUAAGAGGCAAGCUAAUAUGGGCUUAAUAUUUCAUUAGGGGCCAGCUAAUCUGGGCUUAAUAUUUCUUUAAAAGCCAGUUAAACUGGCUUACAUUUAUUGGGGGUUAGCUAAUCUAGACUUAAAUAUUUCUUUGAAAGCUAACUAAAUUGGGCUUAAUAUUUCAUUGAAGUUUAGCUAAUCUGGGCUUAAAUCUUUCUUUAAAUGAUAGCUAAAUUGGGCUUACAUGCCCGAGAAUCAACAAUCUCUAUUAAAAAUGAAAGAUGAAGAUUCUUUCCAAAUGGGUUGAAUAGUUCUGUAUAUAGAGAUUUUUGUUUAUUCAAAAGGGUUUCAGCACCUAUAAGGGAUAAAAGGCAUAUACUUUUUUCAACAAGUUCACAGAUGUAACAAGUUUCCUUACAUCAAUCAUUUUUCUCUUUUUUUCUCUUUUUUUUUUCUUUAAAAUGAAACCAUUCUCAAACCUGGUUUGCAUAUUCUAGGAUCUUCUUUCUUAUGAACUUCAAUGAUCAUUUGUUGAUCUUUAUCCUUAUAAUGUUGAUAAACACAAUCCUGAUGCAAAUGUCUAUCCAAUGAUGUGAAUGCAAAUGUCAAUGUGAAUGCAAAUGUCAUUGCAAAUACAAAUGACUUUUUCACAAUGCAAAUGCAAAUGUUCUUUUUGUAUAAAUGCACUACAAAUACUUUUUCUAAAAUCCUAUUCAUAUAAAUGCAAAAUUUUUUCUAUAGUGCAAAUGCAAUGCCUGGUUAAGAUCAAAUACAUAGUUAAUUGCAAAGUUUGAAUGUCUUUCUUAUAUUCAAUGUAUGUUGAUAGCAAAAAAUAUCUUUCUUGUGAUACAUAUUAAGUAUCAAAUGUAAAUUUUUUUCUUAUGAUCACAUGCAGAUAUAAUGCAAAACUUUUUUAUGUGAUAUGACAAUAAGUAAGAUAGUUGUUUUUUUUUUUGGGAUGUAAAAUCAUUUCAGUAAAUAUUUAUCAAGUCAACUAAUCUCUUAAAUUUUCUUUAAUAGCUUAAAUGGGCGUACAUUCAUAGGUAAUAAUUGGCCUUAAAUCAUUUUUUGAAGGCCAGCUAGACUGGAUUUAAUAUUUCAUUAAGGGCUAGCUAAUUUAGGCUUAAUAUUUAUUAGAGGCAAGCUAAUAUGGGCUUAAUAUUUCAUUAGGGGCCAGCUAAUCUGGGCUUAAUAUUUCUUUAAAGGCCAGUUAAACUGGCUUACAUUUAUUGGGGGCCAGCUAAUCUAGACUUAAAUAUUUCUUUGAAAGCUAGCUAAAUUGGGCUUAAUAUUUCAUUGAGGGUCAGCUAAUCUGGGCUUAAAUUUUUCUUUAAAUGAUAGCUAAAUUGGGCUUACAUGCCCGAGAAUCAGUAAUCUCUAUUAAAAAUGAAAGGUGAAGAUUUUUGCCAAAUGGGUUGAAUAGUUAUGUAUAUAGAGAUUUUUGUUUAUUCAAAAGAGUUUUAGCACCUAUAGGGGAUAAAAGGCAUAUACUUUUUUCAUACAAGCUCAUAGAUGAAACAUAAAUUUUCUCAAAAACAUGAAUUCCUUAAAAAUCAAACAUGUUAAACACUUUUUUUAGUCUUUAAAUGUGAUAUUUGAUGUAUGUCAAAGUUAGCUAUAAAGGUUUAAGAUUUUAAAAGGUUAUUUGGGAAUGGACAAAGGUUUAGAUUUUCAAAGUCAACUCAUUUUAGACUUUUAUGACUUUGAUAUUUUAGAUCUUUCAAUGAGGUUUGGCUUAGGAUUUACCACAUUCAGCAUUAGAAGUGGCUUUAUGAUCAUUUUUCUAAGAGAAACUAUUCAAUUUUAAGCCUUCAUGCUUGAUCUAAUAUAAACGAUUUAAAGGUUGUAAUAUAAGCUAAGAUUCAGGGUUGUCAAAGAAAAAGAUAGAAAGGCCCAAGAUAAGUAUUUAAAGGUAUUUAAAACCAAGGAUCACUUUUUUCGUUCGAAGUAUACACUCUAAGGUUAAUUCUUUUUUGCUUUUCACCCAUUCAUUCCUUUUUCUUUAUUUUAUUCUUCAUUUUCUUUCAUUUUUUCUUUCUUUUUCCUCUUUUUUUUUUUGCUUUGCUUUUUUUUUUCUUUUGGAUCCUUUUUUUUUUUUUGGAUCCUAUCAUUGAGUGGAUUCAAAACUUUUUUGAACUUUUAUAUUAAGCCUUUAGCCCAACAUAUGAGAUUCUAUUUGGACAUCCCCAUUCUUAACCCUUAAAAGUGUUUCUUUUUGCCUUCUAGUGUAAAACGUUAUCCUUAGUUAGGGUUUAUUUUGAAAGAAUUCAAUUAGGCUCAAAGGGGUAACAAGGGAUAAAUUUUUAUAUUUGUGAAAGAAUAAUUGAAGACAACCAUUUGUUAUUUCAAGUAUAAAAACUUAAAUUGGAGAGCAAUUCCCUUUAGGAAAAUGAUCUCUAAAAAAAGUUUUCAUUUCAACAUUUUUUUUGUUUUUUGGUUUUGUUUUUUCUUUUUUAGUUUUGGCAUUUCUAUUUUUAGGCUUUUUUUCUUGUCCCUUUUUUCAAAACUUUGAAUUGUUCAGGACUUUAUAGGAAUUUAUUUGAAUUUUCUAAAUGCAUGAUGUCAUAAUUAUUUUUUCUUCUUUCUCUUUUUUUUUCUUUUCAUUUUUGUUCUUCUUUUUUUGUUUUUAUUAUUUUUUUGACAUGCCCCCCUAAAUUCAUUUUGCCAAUAAUGUGUUUAAUCAAAGAUGCCCCAUUUUAGCAAACCAUCUUUAAUGAAAGUUGUUACAAGAAAGGGUUAUAUGGAAUGAACUAGAAAAUGUCAUAUAGAAAUGAACCUAUUUAAGGUACCAAAUGAUCCAUGUUACUUUAACAAAAAAAGAAUGAAUUGGUUGAUCAUAGCUCAAAUUGUCUAGAGGGCAAUGAGAUCUUUCUUUUCUGAUCAACAUGCCACCCAGACCCAUGGUCAGGCCAAUUUUAAGGCAAAGAGCUAAAAGGUUGGUAAGUUUCAUGAUCAACCUGACCCUGAUGACAUAUGGGUCAAGCCAAUAUUUUGGUAAAGAGCUAAAAGGUUGGUAAAUAUAAGCAACAUGCCCCAAAAACAUAUAAGCCAAGCAAAAUUUUAGGUAAAUGACUGAAAGGUUGGUAAAUCUAAGGUCAUUUUACAGGAUUUGGGUUAACUUUGUUUCAAAAUUUUGUGGAACUAUAGAAUAAUAUUGACACAUCAAAUUACCACAUCUAAAUCCUUAAGAAAAUGUUUUAUUUGUCUAAUAUUAUUGGAAUGCAAAUUUGUUUUUCCUUUUUAAAUUAGAUGUUUCAUUAUUUAUUACCUUGGAAAAGAAUAUCACCUUUUGAUAUCAUAACAUUAUUGGGUGAAAGCGAGGUUCACGAAUUUAAGGUUAUAGCUUUUGAAAGGUCAUGGUUGUUGAAUGGAAUCAAUUGAAAGGCUUAAAAGAGAGGGUAUAGGUAUUUGACAAAUCCCUAAUAAUGAUUGCCAACUCAUAUGAGACUAAAAAUUUUUUUUUCUUCUUUUUUUAUUUUUUUCCCUUUUUUUUGCCUUAUUUCACUUUUUUUCAGAAAAAGCUUUUUUUUUUUUAACUUAAGACCUAACUAUUUAGGGCUUUAUUUAAAUCUAACAUUUUUUUCCUUUUUACCAAUUAUAAAUCUAAAAUUUAAUAGAAAUUAAAACUAUUAAAUGAUGAUGUAAAUCCAUGAAAUACUCAUGAUGCACAAGAUCUAUUCAUGCAAUGCAAACACUCAAAUAUGACCCAAAAAAUUCAUAAUAUUAAUAAUAUUCUUAAGAUGACACUCAAACUUACAAACAAAGGUUUCUCAUUUGAUGAUUCAAUUUUAGCAUCAUUAACCCGUAACUCUCCUACUAUCAAUCAUCACAAUUACUAAUCAAUUCUGUAAAUUUUAUGGGAUUUGCAUCAAUCAAAGCCUAAACUAUAUCCUUCAAGGUAGUGCAAUCUUUUAUGGAAUGUUUUUUAACCCCCAUCAUGAAACUCAUACUUAACAUUUGGAUUAUACCACUUCGGGUACAGAGGCUUUUUGGGUCUUGCCAAAACAAUAAAGAUCAUAUGAUUCUUGACCAGUAAGACAUCGAAAGUGAAUGACACAUCUUGAAUCUCUUUCUCCUAUAGCUUCGUGAAAGGCUUGAGUUGAUCAUUGGUUUUAUAAAUGUUUGUGAUGAAGGAACUGAAGCACACAGAUGAAGUGGUUAAGGAAAAUCUUUGGCCCAAAAUAUCGGUUAGGAGCAAUAUGGUGACCAUUGUGAAUAGUUAUCCAUUAAACCUUCUUGCAUCAUGUGAGAUUUCUCUCAUUUCGCCCUUUAACAAUUGUUUUUUAGGAUUGUUCAACAAAAAUAUCUCCCCUCCUUUCAUCACUAGCAUUUACAAUUCUUUCCUUUUUUAUUUUAUUCUCAAUUCUGCCUAUAACAACAAAUCUACAAACUCUAAUGAAGUUUUUCUAAUCAACUUAUCAUAAUAGGGAGAAUGAAGGGUAUCUACAAAUAGGGAAUUCAAUUCCAUGUUAGUAAAAGAUGGUUGUACUUACAAUGCCAUCUUUUUCCAUCUAAUGGCAUAUUCUUUAUAGCUCUCAUUAGGACUCUUUCUCAUAUUUUGAAAGGUUAAUCGAUUUUGAGCCAACUCUAACAUAUACCAGUAUUGCUUUAAGCAAGCCCACGAUAAAUCCCUCUAAGUAUGAAUCUAACUACUUUCCAGACUAUAAUACCAAUUGACUGCUGCCCUAGUCAAACUUUCUUGAAAAAUAUGAAUAAAUAGCUUUUCGUCACUAGCAUACCCGACCAAUUUGUGAUAGCAUUGAGUGAAAUGUGUCUUAGGACAUCCAAUUCCAUUAUACCUUUCAAAUAUCAAAACUUUGAACUUGGGCAGAAUAACCACAUCUAAAACUAGUUGAUAUUCCUUUACAUCAAAAGUUUCAAUAGCUUGAACUCUUUCUUCCAAGAAAUUAUACCUUAAUUCCUCCAUUAUGGGUCUUAUGCUAGGUCUUUCAAGUUGAUCAUUUCUUUGAGCAUAAAGUCCCUUAAUAAUCUUCUCCAUUUUUCUUUUUAAAUUAAAUAUUCUCUUGACCCUUAGAAAAAAUUGCAAGAAUUAUUCUUGAAGAAAUUCAUCCUUUUCAAGCACACAUGAAUUGCAUUAUAUAGACACAAAAAUGAAUGAAUGGAUGAAUGGAUGAAUGAAUGAAUGAACAAAUGUCAAAGUUCUUUAAUAAGAAGUAUGAAAAUUGGUAAAAGAGUGAGAAUGAAAGACAAACCAUAACAGACAACAUCAUAUCAACAUAAAAACAUUUUUCAAACCAAAAAAAUUCAUAAACUUAUGACUUGAAGACCCUCUUUAAAGAAAAAUCCCAUCCAUGUUCAUCAUCUUGCCAUACCUUUCUCAUUAUUCCUAAAACUUAUAGUCCCCUAUUGUAGUUGGAUCAAACUGUUUCACAUCUACGAAUGACUACGCCUUAUGCUUGAAAGCUUCACAAUUCUUAAUGGAAUGCACCAUAUUCCCAUUAUGGUAUUCGCAUCUUGCAUUUGGGUCAAAAUAUUUUGGGUACAGAGGCUUUAAAGGCUCUGAAGGCACAAUGACAAUAAGGUGUCUCUCAAACAGAUAGCGAAAAAGUUUUCCAUAUGAAAUGGGGAGAGAAUCUAACUAUUUCUUUUCCUUGGAUAAUUUUCGGGUGACAGGUUGACUAGGAAUCCUAGGAUUUGGCUUUGGUGCAAAGGUUUGGACUUGAACAAUUGGCUAAACAGGUGGUUGGGUAAUGGAAGGCUGAAGACUUUGGUUCAAAUAUGGACUUUUUGAAGAUUGUAUGAAGUUUUAGGGCCUGAUUGUAGACAUUUGGAAAGGAGGUCGAAAAUAGUCAUAAGAUAAAUGCAAGUUUGAGCUUGAAACAAUUAAUGAAGGCUACAUGGAACCUAGUAACCAUGAUCUGGAAAUUAAAAUUUGAAACUUAGACACUUGAAUGGUAAGAUCACUCAUCCAUUUCAUGAUCUCAUCCAGACCUUCAUUAUUGUUCAAACCAUUGAAUGAUUCAGUGUGCUCUAAAAUUGUGCUAGGCCCAAUAGGAAUUAAUUGAUCAUGACUCCAUGAAUUCAUAGGAUUUACUUGGGCUAAAAUUGAUAAAGACUCUUGAAAAGAUGUCAAAAUAAAUUUCUUGAGUCUAUUCACGGUCUUCGUCAACUCAACGAGCUAUUUUAUCACCUCUUGAAUGUCAUGACCAAACUCUUCUUGAUUUCGCUCUAAUGCACUAUUUUGGGCCUUCAAUUGAUCUUCCAUAUUUUUGGCUUCUUAUUCCCAGUAACAAAAAUAUUAUCUCAAAAGUUUAAUACGAACAAUGCUUAUGCUAUUAUUCUUAUUGAAUAAAUGACACAAUUCUUAAUUUGCAUGCGACAUGUCAUGAAUGUUUGAAUAUGAUAAUGAUACAAAGAUAUAGAUAAAAAUGAAAUAACUAAAAAAUAUACAAACUAACUUAAUGAUGAAUGGAAUGACUAAACUCCAAAAAGAAAACAAACUUCUUACCUAUCCUAAAUUUUUUUGCUCUUUUUUUCUUCUUUUUUUUAUCCCAACUUUAUUUGCACUAUUAUUACCCUUAAACACAACUGUAUCAAAGUAUCCCAUAUAUCCUAAUUUGGGUAAUUUUUAUGAAAGGAAAAAAAAUGGCAUGGCUUUGGACUUCUGAAUAAUUUUUACAAAAAAGUUGACACCAUUAAUGGCUCCAUGAGAACUCUUUUUUUCUUCCUUGUCUCUUCUUAAAAAAAAUUGGCAUGGCUUUGGACUUCUAAAUAAUUCUUAUAAAAAGUAACACCACUAAUGGCUCCAUGAGAACUCCAUGAAAAAAAGUCAUUAAAAGUUAUAAUCGUCAUAAAAUAAAUGAUAAACUAUGAUAUAUUAGUGAUAAAAGGUAAAUUGUCAUAAUAUUGGUGACAUAAUUAUUAUCAUAAAUGAUUAUAAGAUAAUGUCAAAUGAGACAAUAAAAUCAAACGUUACCUUAUUCUUUUUUUUUUUGUGACGAUAGUUUUUGUCAGCUAUUUAUGAAAAAAAAUCAUUGAAGGCUAUAAUCGUCACAAAAUAAAUGAUAAAAUCUUAUACAUUAGUGAUGAAAGGUAAAUCAUCAUAGUAUUGGUGAUACAAUUAUCAUCACAAAUGAUUGUAAGAUAACAUCAAACAUUAUAAUAAAAUCAAAUGUUACAUUAUGCUUUAUUUUUUUAUGUUAAUUUUCAUUGGCUAUUUAUGAAAAAAGUCAUUAAAGGCUAUGAUCGUCACAAAAUAAAUGAUAAAAUAUGAUAUAUUAGUGAUGGAAAGUAAAUCGUUACAGUAUUGGUGACAUAAUUAAAGUCAUUAAAUCCUAUAUAUAUAAAAUAAAAUUGUUCCAUAGUUGAUUGAACUUGAUGUGGUGGUCUAGUGAAGGACGUUGCAUGGCUAUCACAUUAGUUGAUUGAGCUCAUUGUUUAAUGGUCAUUUUCCUACCUUUUUUUCCAGGCGCCAUCCUAAAGUAUAGACAAAGAAAAUGUAAACAAUCAUCUUUUGUUUAGUAUAAUAAAAUAAAAAAAAACACAAUGCAAAUAAUUAAUAUGCUAAUUACCUUAAAUUAGUUGAACAAUAAUAGUCAUAAGCCAAAGAUUUAAACAAAGUUGGCAAACAUGAUUCAAAAAGUAGUUAUCUAGAUAAAAAUAACAAGCAAUAUAUAAAACAACUAUUAAUGUUAGAAAAAACUAUAUCAAUGUAGUAUUUAUCAUAACAUAGGAAAUAACAUUAAUAGUUGUUUUGCGUAUAGUCCUUUUUCCCUUAUUUUGCAUGUAAAACAAUAGCAAACAGUAGUAGUAGCUUCAUUUUAGUUAAAUAGGAUAAUACUAUGCUAUUUUCUUUCUAUCAAGCUUAUUUCUAUUUUCUAUUUUAUUUCUAUCAGGUCACUGAAUUUUCCCAUUACUCGCCAACACAGCAGAACAAGAAGCUAAAGGUAACAAGAACAUAAAUCUACCCGGAAUUAAAGAAUGCACAUGACUUUGAUAUCUAAGCACUAAUAUUUUAUGUAACUACAAUUUAUUUUAGAACCUAGAGGGAUACUAUAAGGAUCUCAUGAAUAGUAUAUCUAUGCACAUAAAAUUCAAGAAAAAAGGCAUAUGUUAAAAAGAAAAUAAAUGCUACAAUCCUGUAUUAAGGCACUUGAUACAAGGAUAUUAAGUUGACAAAAUAAGGAAAUUUUGCUCUCCAUCAUGUAUUGAUCAGAACAUCCAUUUGAAACUUAAAACACUCAAGUCAUUAGUCUAAAAGAAUUAAGUAAAUAAAUCGGAUUGCCUACCUUUAGGUUUUUGAUGAGUGAUCAAAGGAAAGGUAGAAAUUUAAAAAUAGCGUAUUAACAUCAUAGAAUAUGUAGAAAAGUCUCAGAUAGAAACUUUAAACUAGGCAUGUAUUACAAAAUUAAAUUAAUCACUAGCUGUUAUAUGGUCAUGUUAGGUAGAUGUCAUUAUUCACCUUAUAAUGACUGUGAUAAAGAGAUGAGUACUAGUGCUAGCCUGGAAACUACUGGAGCAAAACAACAGAACUAAUAGAAGGCUUGAGUUAUAACAUUAAGAAGCGAGACAAAACAAAAAAAGACUACUGUCUUUAAUAGGAACUGAAUAAGUUCUAAACUUUAAAUAUGCUAGUUUAAUUGCUAAACUUUAAUAGCUAGUUUAAAUAUGGUCGAAAAUGCAAAUGGUAGAGUGAUGUAAUCCACAAUUAUCUUUCAAGUGUCUAUUAAGGACAUUCUGUUUAACAAAAAGAAGAAAGAUAACCCUGCAUGUAUUCUUGUUGUGAAAGAAAUUAACUUGUACUAUUUAAAAAUGAACAAGAAAAAAAAAUGUGACUUUUGUGCUGCUUAAGUAGGUGAAAGAAGCCAAUAAAUAUAGAUUUACUUUCAAAUAAAAAAUUCGAAACAAAAUAUCAUAAGAUUGGAAACAGGGCUUUUCAUUCAGAUUCUGUUUGGGAAGAAAGUGAUGAAAGGAAAGUGAUAAGAUGGGCCUUUCGAUUAUCAAUGAUCAAUGAUGAAAUUUAAACAACAGUCAAUAGCUAUCAGUUCCACAAUUUCUCCCAAAAUGCAUAUACACAACAGAUUAGUUUUUAAAAUUUUUAGGCAAAUUGAGAAGAUCCUCCACCUGAAAAAUGGAUACAUAUCAUAUCCAUAAAAAAGACAACAUCAAUUGUCCACCUAACAUAGGUUAACAGCUAUAAGCAAUUCAAAGUUUCAGCUUUUAGCUAUCACUAAUAGUUUAAGUGCAAAUCCAUGUUAAACAGCUGGACAUCUGAUGUCAAUUUUGGUGGGCAAGCUAAGCAGCUUAAAUGCAAAUAAAAAUGAGUGAUCUUGAAAUCAGAAGAAAAUAGUUCUAAAUGAAGAUAAAGAUAUAAAAUACCUGUUGUAGGUCAUUUUGAAAGAUGGUUUUUGGUGAACUAAAGAAGACAAAAUUGGCGUUUUGAUUCUAGUCGACCAACAAUGUAGUUUAGGAAUUGCUUCUACUUGAUUUGGAACACUGGAGAGUGGCUUUAGAUGAUUAACAGAUUUAGCAAAAAAUGAAAAAAGAGUUGGAAGAGAUCAGACGGUUUUGGCAUGGGUUUUGGAGGGAGUAUAAAAACCCAAUAAAAAUAUAUCAUUCUAAAGAAUGUAGUUUAGGAAAUUUCAAUUAAAAUUAUUUUUUUAUGGAUAUUAAUAAAAAUUAAAUUUUUUUUUAUUAAAAGUUACUAGUAUGGACAAGUGUAAUUAAAAUUUUUUUCUAUUUAAUUCAUUUUUUGCUUAAAAAUAUUUUUUAACAAAAAUUUUAAAUUUGAAAUUUUUAAAUUUUUAAAAUUUUAAACAAAAUGUGUAUUUUAAAAUUUUUAAUAUAUGUAAUAUUUAAUCAAUUUUCUUUAAUUAGAAAAUUUUCAUAUAUGAAUAUACAUACUUAGCUUAACUCAAACAAUAAUAGUAAUUUUUCUCUUUCCUUUUCCAAUAGUUUCUAACAAUAAAUUAUAUUAAAAAAAUAUUAUUUAAGGGUCAUAUAUGAAAAACGUAAUUUUUUAACUAAUAGUAUGUAAUUUGUUAAUAAAUUAUUAAAAUUUUAAUUUUAAUUAUAAAAAAUCAAAAUUACAAAAUUUUGAAUUAAGAAUUUGAAUAUUGAUAAAAUUUAAACAAUAAACUAGUAAGACAGAGCCAAUACACCAAAACAGUGACUAAUAAUAGUACUCCAUUAACUAUUAAAUAGUGAAAUAGGAUUCUAAGUUUUUAAAUUAUUAGAUCAUAGUUGGAUUUUACUUUAGCCUUUUGGGAACAAGUAGUAAGAUUUAAGAAGCACUUCUUAUCUUAAAAUGUGGAGUUAUUUUCUACUUGCAAUCAGUAUCAUCCCAAUACUUUUAAGAACUUGGCCAUGGGAUGAGAAAGUGUUGAAAUGGCAUUGGGCCCUUUUAGGUUUUUAAGGAGCAAACAAUUAUGGGUUUGUAUCACUUAGUAUCAUUUUUCUUUAGGUGUAGUUUAAGGAAACUUCAAUUAAAAUUAUUUUUUGUAUUGAUAUUAAUAGCUAUUUAAAAUUCAUUUUUUUACUUAACAAUUACUAGUAUGAUCAAAAGUAGCUAAAUUUUUUUCUAUUUAAGAUUAUUUUUUAUUUAAAAAAAUUUUUUUAACAAAAAUUUUAAAUUACAGAUUUUUAAAUUCUUAGCAUUUAUUUUUAAAUUCUAAACAAAUUAUGAAUUUAAAAAAUUUUUAUUAUAUGUAAUAUUUAAUCAAUUUUCUUUAAUUAGAAAAUUUUCAUAUAUGAUACAUACUUAAAUAAAUUGUGCUCAAUAAAAAUUAAAAAUUAUAUUUUUAAUUAUAUAGAUAAUCUAAGUAAAAUCAUCACUUAUAAAUUAUACAUUAAUUUGAACUUAUUAGUGAUAGAUAAAUAACAUAAUAACAUUAUUUAAAAGUUUGUGACAUUUAUGUUAUCGUCAUAUAACACCAUACAUUGAUGUCACAAAAUUGCAAUGUCAUUAAUAGUUAAUUAAAAUGUUCAAUUUAUGACAAAAACUAAUAAUGUCAUCUAAAAUCUAUAAAAAAGUUUUGUCAUAGAUAAAAUUUUAAAUUGGUGAUAAAAUUAUAACAUCACGUAAAAUAAAAAAUGUCACAAAAAAUUUACCACCAAAUUGUUUGUGAUAUUUAUGUUAUCGUUAUAUAACAUCAUAUAUUGACGUGAUGAAAUUGCAAUGUCAUUAAUAAUUAACUCAAGUGUUCAAUUUGUGACAAAAAUUAAUAAUGUCACCUAAAAUGUAUUAGAAAAAAUUCAACACAGAUAAAAUUCUAAAUUGGUAACAAAAUUAUAACGUCAUCUAAAAUUAAAAAAAAAGUCACAAAAAAUUUUUCCAUCAAAUAAAUAUAAAGGUAAAAUUUAGCGACAUUUAUGUUAUAGCCACAUAACAAAAAUGUAUGUCAUCUAAAAUCUAUAAAAAAAAUUCUCCAUAGAUAAAAUUUUAAAUCGAUAACAAAAUUAUAAUGUCACUUAAAAUUAAAAACAUCACAAAAUAAUUUCCCACUAAAUGAAUUUGCUGGUAAAAGUUUAUGACAUUUAUGUUAUCGUUGUAUAGCACCAUAUAUUGACAUAACGAAAUUGCAGUGUCAUUAAUAGUUACUUAAAGUGUUUAAUUUGUAAUAAAACUUAAUAACGUCACCUAAAAUUUAUCAAAAAAAAUUCAUCAUAGAUAAAUUUUAGAUUGUUAAUAAAAUUAUAACAUCAAAUAAAAUAAAAAAAUGUUAAAAAAAUAUUUCUCACUAAAAAAAUUUGGUGACAAAAUUUUGGUAACGUUAUCAUGUGACAAUUUUAUAUAUCAUCAUAUAAAAUAUCAAAACAAUAUAAAAGUGUGACGAAAUAUAUUAUUUAUCACCUUUUACAUACUUCACACAAUGAAAUAUAAUGCUUCAUAUAGAAAAAUUGUCACAAAUUGCCAGUUUUCUUUUAAUGUAUGCAAUGAUAUGAUGAAUGAAUGAUGAUGAUGAUAAUGGUCUAUGAAUGAGUGAGAUGUAUGAAAUGAAUAAAAAUAAACAAGCAAAGAAAUAAAUAAAUGCAAACUUAUUGAUGUUAACAUGAUUCAUGCAAAAGAAAGUAAAAAACAAGAACAAAUUUAGCAACUAAUAUAAAGAAAGAAAAAAACAAAACAAGUUAAUGCAUGACUUAAAAGAUAUGUGACCUAAUUUGGAGUAUUUCUACAAAAAAAAAAAAGAAAGACAUGGAUCUACUUAUGGGUAUUACAACUCAUUAUAUGUGGUUUAGGAUUGAUUCUAUAGGUUCCCAAAUGGUUCCUCAUAUCAUUGUCCAUCAUAGACUAGUAAGACACCCUAAUCCUCACCCAUUAUAAGUUACAAGUGGAAAGGUUCAAUUCAAGUGGGAGUGUUUCACUAGCCCAUGUAGAGACAUGAAAUCUCAUGAAGGCAUAGAUACUUUACUCCCUCUGAAAGGAUAGAACUCGGGUGUAGAAUUCAUGUUAUGCAUAUGCAAGUGAAUGACAAAUAGGAUAAAUAAGUAAAUAAAUAAAAUAUAAAAAAGGAAGAAAAAUAAUAAAAUAAAAUAAUUUUAAAUUUAUUAAGUAAGGCUUGGAUAACAAGAAAUUAUUUACUGGCCUAACUCUCAUAUUCCCCAAUGAAGUUGCCAAAUUAUCAUAACGUAUAAAUCCGUAAACCCAUCGCUAGACACAAACAUUAAGAGUCACACCAAUAUUUUUUGUUUAUGUGUGAUUAGCCACCUAACUAAAUCUAUCCUAUUUAAAGAGGAGUCCAAGAUAGAUUUAGGAUCUUUAAAUAUUAGAUUCUAAAAUUCAUGAAACUAGAUUUUAGGUUUGGAAGUGCAAUUACGCAUAAAAAAGGUUAAAGCACCCUCACAGCAUCCAUCCAAAGGAUGGCAUUGGUUUGAUUUCAAAACAUGCAAGCCUUGAAAUAUUCUUAUAAUUUUACCCAGUAAUUAAAAAUUGAUCUUAAAAUUACUCCAAUAGUUUGGUAGCAAUUUAAGAUAAUUUUUUAAUCUCAAAAGUAUUCAUAGAGACUAAUGUCUCACUCUGAAGAACCUCCAUUGUCAGAUUUAUUAAUAUAUUUUAUUUAAAAAAUAAUUUAUAAAUCCUCCAAUAGUUUGGUAAGAUUUUACUUCGAUACAGAUCUCUCAAUAGUUUGAUGAGAUUUUAUUUAAAAAUCAUAUAUAAAAAUUUUACUUUGAGAAAAUUCAUUAAAUAUUUUAAUAGCUUGGUAAGAUUUAAUUUAAGAUUUUGAUUCUCUAAUAGUUUGGUAGGGUUAAAAAUGUAUUAUUUUAUUUUAUUUAAAAAAUUCAUUAAGUCCUCCAAUAGUUUGGCAAGACUUAAUUCAAGAUUUAAUUCCUCCAAUAGUUUGGUAAGAUUUAAAAUUUAUUAUUAAAAAAAUUAUAUUAUGAAAUUCUCCAAUAAUUUGGUAAAAUUCAUAAUAUAAAAUUUAUAAACCCAUGAAAUUAAAAAAUUCAUAAUUUAAAACUCACAAUCUUUAAAUUUUAUUUUAAACAUACAUAAAAAAGUGAAAUAAAUGAAUAAAUAUAUAAAUAAAAAAAUGUGAAAAUUACUUUAAUGGAUGGAAACACACCUAAGUGGAAGUAUCCCUUGAUUUGUAGUGACAAAUAAUCGCCAAUUCGAACCAAAAAGCUCUACCACCAAUUCUAAUUGAAGAGCUUGAGUAUAGAUUGCUACUUAUCCAUUUCUAGGUGGGAUUCUUUUUUUUUCCCUCCUCUUUGUUUUUUUUUUUUUUUUUUUUGUGUAUGGUUGAUUGGUGUUUAUAUAGUACCUUCUGCUAGAAAUUUUAGGGAUUUGUAUUGAAUGAAAAGGAUCGUAGAUUUGAUUAUGCUCUAAAUUUAUUUUUUUCAUGAUUCUCUUUAAAAUCUUUUUAAUUAAUUUCUAGAAUUGUUUCAAUUUUUCUUUUAUUUUCAAAAUCCCUUAAAAAUUCUCAAAUUAAAUCUGACUUUGAUUCCCUGAUUUGCUUUCUUUUCAACCUUCUUUUGAUAUUUGGUAAGAUUAUGUUUCAGUCUUAAUUGCCGAGAUCAUCCUUGAUUAAUACUUAAAUUACUCCAUUAAUUUCAUUGACAUGAUUUAUGAUAAAAAAAAUUAAAACCAGAUAAAUAAAAGAUUAAAACAUAAAAAAAGAUAAAUAACUAAAUAAAUAAGACAAACAAGAUGUAAAAAGAAAUGAAGGAAAUUGGACAAUUGGCUUGGUUUAAGCCCCAACUAAAUAUGGUGUCUACAAAUAUAUAUUUUUAUACUCUUUUUUUAUUUUUUAAAUUAGAUAAUUUUGUUAAAAAUGAUAUUGAUGGAAGUGUCAACAUGGCAUCCAUAUUUAUUUUCUUUCAACCUUUCAUUUUUUAUAAACUUUUAUUUUUAAAAAAAGUUAAUAAUAAAAAUUAUACCAAACAGUUCAUCAUUGCUAAUUUCACAUGAUAAUGUAACUUUUUUUUUCUUUUUUUCAUUUUGAUUUUUGCUUUUUUUUUCUCCCUUUAUAUUUUAUUAGAUCAAUUGUUUAAACGAAAGAAAAGCCAACGAAUGUGCCCAUGCAUGUGGCAUCUUAUUUCAUUUCUUUCCUUUCAUCUUUUUUUUUUUUAAUUAGAUAAAUAUUACAAUAAAUGCAAAUUAGUAAAUAAAUUUUUUAGUUUAAAAGUCAAUUGAGGUAUUCACAACAAAUUUUCUUAAUUAGAUAAUUUUUUGAGAAAAUAAUGUCAAUGAAAGUGUUCACAUAGCAUCCUCACUUGUUUUUUCUUUUAUAAUUUUAUAAUUUAAUUAGAUAAAUUUUAUAAUAAAAUAAGACGAUUGAUAAAAAUAGUAAAACAAUCUGUAUCAAAUGAGUUUUGAUACAUCUCGAUUUGAUAUGUGUAUUUUUGUCAAAAAUCGAUAUCAAAUCAAAUCAUGUUGGUUGUUUAGGUAAGGAGAGGUAAGAUGUGGAUUUAGGGUGCUUUGUCCUAAAUCAUCUCGUGGUACAUGUAAAAGUAUGUAUUUUAUUAUUAAUUUGGUUUUAUAUUUAUAUACAUGUAUUAUAUUAAUAAAAUUAUCAUUUGAUACUUUAAUUUAAUAAAUUAAUAUUGUAAACUCAAUAAGGGUGUUCAUGUGGCAACCUUAUUGAGCUCUUUUUUUUGUUUUUUGUUUCCACCUUUUUUUUUCUUUCUUUUUCAAUCUUUCAUUUUUAUUCUUUUAUUAGAUAAAUUUAGUGAGAAAAAAAAGCCAAUUGAAAUAUCCACAUGACACCUCCAUUUAGUUCUUUUUUAUCAUUUACUUUUUUUAAAUGAUAAAUUUUUUAAAAUUAAUACAAAAAUAUUUUUAAUUUAAUUUUAUUUAAAUUUAUAUCAAAAUAAUAAUAAAAAAACACUAUGAAUUAUUUUAAUUAAUGAAAUAGUUAAACCUAUGCUGCGAGCUCAUUUCAAGUAUUCAAGAAAAUGGUAAAGAAAAUUAUUUAAACCUCAUCUUUUAAUUUGAAUCUUAAUUAGAACAUGCUAGCAGUUUUAUUUAUAGAGAUAAUUGGAAAUUAAUUACUUUCUUAGUCAACUACUAGGGUCUGAAACAAGUGCCAAAAAAAGUGAUAGGCCUUAAUUUUUCAAUCCCUAGCAUUUUGAAUUCAACAUUGUUGGAUUUCUUUGGGGCUGGGUUGAGCCCAAUGGCUCAUUAAUUAAGUUACUAAUCAGGCCUAAAAUCUAUUUAACCACAAUUUAUGGUUUUUAAAACUUAUGUAAGUCUGCCUAUACAUUUAUAUUAUAAAAAUUAUCACAUUCAUUUGUAGUAGUGGGGUUUUUAAAUUUUAUUAUCUAGACUGUAGCAGCAGUGUGAGCAGUUGAUAUAAUAUUAAAAUUUUAAUUUUAACGAUCAAAGUUUAAAUUAUUACAAUUUUAAAUAUGAAUUCUUUAUAUCAUCUUACAUUAUACAUGCACAUGUAAUAAUACAUAUAAAGUAAGUAAUAAAAAGCUAAAAACUAUCUUAUAAAAUGUGAAAAUUAUAGUGGAGAAUUGGGGGUUAGAUAAUAGGAAGCCUUAAAAAAUAUGAAUUAUUACCAAAUUACAAUAACAUCGUCUCACUAUAAUAAUUUUGUAAGAAACCUUUAUGAAGUAAGAAAGGGUCUGAAUUUAUAAUUGAAAAAUGAAUUAAUUAAUAGUAGGAUAGAAAAAUAAUUUAAAAGAUUACAAUUAGUAAUUCAUAACCAAAUAAAUGAUUUUUAUAAAUUAAUGUAAAACUAUGUUCUAAACCAACACAACGCAUAAAUAACGUCACAAAUUAAUCCUUUAUAUAUGCCUCGCAAACAUUUUAAUAAAAUUAUCAAAAAAAUGUUAACUAUUUCCAAAAAUACUAUUCAGAUAUAUAUAAUAUUGCUAAACAUGCUACUUCAACUUUUGAUAGUUGAAGUUACCUUCACAAAUGAAAUCUCACUUGAAAUCUUGCAAUUAAUUAACAUACUUUGAUAUUUUAAUUUUCAUCAGUGUGUAACUUUUUUUACCUGAUGAACAGAUAGUAAUUUUCAAUUUUUUUAUCAAAAUCUUCAAUUUAUCAAACAUUUUUUCUAUACUACUUUCAUUGUAACAUAUAUUCUUGCGUGUAAAACUAAAAAGGAUUAAACGUUUAAAUUAAAUUCAUAUAUACAUAUACAUUUACAUAUAAUUUAAUAUAUAUAUAUUAUUAUUAAUAUAAAAAUUUGCUUUUUCCCAAUAUAUUACUUCAAUUUCAUCGGACUUUUGCAUAUUUUUAGGUAAUAUAAAUAUUAGUGUAAUUUAUAUAGUGCGAUAAUAUCAAUAAAUGUAAUUUGAACACAGAAAAUAACUUGCAAGCAUGCAAAAUUACACACAGAUUUGCAUAAAAACAGGGGGUUUUAUUUUAUUUUAAUUUUAUCAUGUUUUUCAGAAAACAUGAAAGAAAAAAACCCAAAGCUAUAUAUUUAUUUUUCAUCACUCUAAGCACCCCCCAUGCUUAGGCUGAAAGUUGAUCCAUCAGCACUUAAACGGAACCAUUGAAGCCUUUAUUGUAAGCAUAUUCAACAAGGGAAUCCAACUCAUCAUUGGUGGCCAGUCGAUCAAAAUUGUCCUUAUUGUUUUAUCAGGCAACGUCCAUGGCCUCUUCGACUCUGCUUGUUUGGCGUGAAGUGCACCUCGGAGAAGGACGGAUGUUCAAAAGCAUCCUUGAGCUGGUCCUGGUGAAGGCUGCCCUGCUUAGAGUAAGAUCGAAACACUUGUUCCAAUUUGUUUUUUCUGAUCCUUCGGUUAAUCCUUUGUGGCUUGCAAUUUGCGAUUUUGAGGCUUAUGGACCAGGGUGUAUCUUAGAGAAGGCUUGCCCUAGCUUGGUUUGGUUUUCUUUUUCCAACGCAAUUCGUUUAUAUAGACCCAAAACUUUGAAUACGAUUCUGUUGAAGUGUAGGGGUAUAAAACAUUAUUUGGUGGUGGGUUUUAAAAAUUGAUUUCCAUCCUCUUUAUCAACAAAAGUAGUAAAUCAAUCAAUAAAUUUUUGUAAUAAACACUUCAAAAAAAAUUCCAUGAGGAUUGGUACGAAUAAAAAUAUUAAUGUUAAUUUCUUCUUUUCUUCUGGGUUCAAAUUAACCACAGAUUGGAAAAUGCUAAAUAGCAGCCUCCACUAUCUUGUGUCGUAGUGAUGAUACAAGCCUCCACUAUCUUGUGUCCAUUUUCUAUUGUUUCAUUUGUUUUAGCCCUCAAUUUGCAGUUUUUAGUUUUUUUUUUUUUUUUUUGUGGUUGCCUGAUUAAAUGAUACAUUUUGGUUUUAAUGAAUUUCCAGAAUUUGGUAGAUCUCGUGAAAGGAGUUCUAGGAAGCACUUUGAUGAGCAUGCUUGAAAAUUGUGAUAAUUAUUGUGAAUGAAUGUUAAGUUAUCCAAAAAUAAAUAAGUUUAGUUUUAGGACUUUCUUUCUUUUAUUGUUUGCUAUGAGCAAACUACUGUUAAACUAAUUAUUUGCAUUGUACCACUUCCAGGAAUCGUGGCUUUAGUGGGUUAAAACUGUGUCCAUGUUUCUCUCUCGUAUGCUCUUAAUCUGGGUAGGAUAGAACUAAGUUUGGGCUAUUUCAAUUCCUUCGCACCUUUCUUCCCCUGUACUGCAAUAUUUUCUCAACCACCCUUUUCAAGGGGAAAGCUGUAAUAUAUAUUUUUUAUAUUUUUUCUUUUUUUUAAAUUGGAUAAUUUGUAAAAAAAUUAUAUUGAUGGAAGUGUCUACAUGGCAUUCAGAUUUAAUUUUUUGAAUCCUUCAUUUUUUUUUUUUUAUAAAUCUUUAUCUUUAACAAGUUCAUAAUGAAAAUUUUUACAAGAACAGAUCAUCAUUGCUAAUAUUGUGUGACAAUAUAAUUUUUUUUUGUUUUCAUUUUCGUUUUUUUUUUUUUAGUUUUUUUUCUCCCUUUAUUUUUUAUUAGAUCAAUUGUUUCAGCAAAAAAAAAAAAAACCCAAUGGAUAUGCCCAUGUGCCAUCUUAUUUAAUUUUUUGCCUUUCAUUAUUUUUGUAAUUAGAUAAAUAUUACAAUAAAAAAAUCAGUAUAUAAAUUUUUUAAGAUAAAAAUCAAUUGAGGUAUAUAGAACAAAAUAUCUUGUAUCCUAUAUGUUUCAUUUCCUGUGUAUCCAAUUGGUGUGCUUUUUUUAAAAAAAAAAAAAAUUUAGGAUCAAAAGCCCUAAAAAAUAUGAAUUAUUACCCAAUUAUAAUAGCAUCAUCUACUAAAAUAAUUUUGUAAGAAACCUUUAUAAAGUAAGAAACGGAAAACUUAUAAUUGAAACAUGAAUUAAUUAAUAGUAGGAUAGAAAAAAUUUAAAAGAUUACAAUUAGUAAUUUCGUAAUCAAAUAAAUGAUUUUUUUAAAAUUAAUGUAUAACUAUGUUUUCUAAACCAAAGCAAUGCACAAAUGACACCACAAAUUAAUCUUUUAUAUAUGCCUCGCAAAUAUUUUAAUAAAAUUACAAAAAAAUUUUAACUAUUUCCAAAAAUAAAAUCUUGAUAUUUAUAAUUUUGCUAAACAAGUUAUUUAAACUUUUGAUAAUUAAGGUUAUCUUUAUAAAUGAAAUCCCACUUGAAAUCUUGCAACUAAUUAACCCAUUUUGAUAUUUCAAUUCUCAUCAAGAUAUAACUUUCUUUUGCUGCUGAGACCUACAACAAUAUGUACUUUAAAUUUUUUUGUCAAAUAGCCUCAAUUUUAUAAAAAUUAAUUUUGUCUAUACUUAUAUAUAUGCACUUGUAAAAACAUAUGCAUAAGUAUGUGUAAAAAUAAAAAGAAUUAAGCAUUUAAAUUAGAUUGAUAUAUAUAUAUAUAUACCCUAUCUGCUUUCCUUCCAAAAAGGUUGACUUUCAAAUUUCUUCAUACCUUUUAUCAUGUUUUUAAGUAAUAAAAAUAUUAGUGUAUAGUUUAUAAUAGUAUGAUCAACGUGUUCAUGGUAUUUGAUACACACAAUAUAACUUGCAAGUAUGUAAAAUUACACAGAUUUAAAUAAAAAUAGGGGGUUUUAUUUUAUUUUAAUUUUAUCAUCCUUUUGAGACAACAUGAAAGAAAAAGACCCAAAGCUAUAUAUUUAUUUUUCAUUAGUCAUAAGCAUCCCCCAUACUUAGGCUGAAAGUUCAUCCGUCAGCACUCAAACGGAACCGCUGAAGCCUUCAUUGUAAGCAUAUUCAAUAAGGGAAUCCAACUCAUCAUUGGUGCAGUCGAUCAAUUGUCCUUAUUUUUAUCAGCAACGUCCAUGGCCUCUUCAACUUGCUUGUUUGGCGUGAGUGCACCUAGUUGUUGAAAAGCAUCCUUGAGCUGGUCCCUGGUGAGGCUGCCCUGCUUAGAGUAAGAUCGAAACACUUGUUCCAAUUUGUUUUUAUGAUCCUUGUUAUCCUUUGUGGCUUGCAUUGUGGAUUUCGAGGUUUAUGACUGGGUGAUAUUAGAGAGAAAGCUUGUCUAGCUUGGUUUGGUUUUCUUUUCCAACGCAAUUUGUUUAUAUAGACCCAAAACUCGAUUUGUAUUCCGUUGAAGUGUAGGGGAAUAAAAUCUUUUUUUGUGGUGGUUUUUAAAAUUUGAUUUCGAUUGAAAGGAAACGAUAUAAUUGUAUGACAAUUUCUUCAUUUGAAUUUUUUUUAAGUAUCCAUUUUAUUAAUAAAAUUAAUAUAUCAAUCAAUAAAUUUUAUAAUGAAUACAAAUAAAUAAAUAUUCCAAGAGGAUUGGUACGAAUAAGAAUAUUUAAUGUUGGCUUGAAUUACCACAGAUUGGAAAAUGCUAAGCGUAGUGGUAGUAGCCUCCCUUUCUUGUCCCCUAGUGAUGAUAGCAGCCUCCACUAUCUUGUGUCCAUUUUCUAUUGUUUCUUUUGAUUUUGCUGGUGAAAAGGCUAGACAACAAAGUCAGGAGUAAAUCUAAACUCUCACCCUGUCCAAAUUUGAGCUGUUUCUUCACGAAAAAGUUUGAAGAGAAUCGUCUUGUUGCUCCUGGUUGGACAGAACUUGAUCAUACACAUUGAUUUUCUAAAAACUUAUAAUUUGAUGGAAGUGUCUUGUCUGUAGGAUAAUUUGAUAUUAUUGAUUAAAAAUAUUGUUAUAACAUAUAGAUUCAUGGAUCCAUCAUAGACAUAAACUUUAAGAGUCACUACCAUUUUUUUUUUUUUGUUUAGGUGCAAUUGACCAUUUAACUGAAUCUAUCUUAUUUAAAGAGGAUAUCUAAGAUAGAUUUAGGCAUUUUUAAAUAGUAGAUUCUAAAAUCCAUGAAAUCAAAUUUAAGGUUCAGGAGUACAAUUAUGCAUGAAGAAGUUUAUAGCUCCCUUAUAAUGUCUAUCCAAAAAAUGGUAUCAGUUUGAUUUCAAAUUAUCUAAGCCUUGAAAUAUUCUUAUAAUUAUAUCCAGUAAUUUAAUUAUUAGAAAUUGAUCAUAAAAUUACUCUAAUAGUUUAGUAGCAAUGUAAGAUAAUUUUUUCACCGUAAGAGUAUUCAUAGAGACUAAUGUCUCACUCUGAAGAGACUCCGUCGUUGAAUUUAUUAAUAUAUUUUAUUUAAAAAAUAAUUAGUAAAAUCCUCCAAUAGUUUGGUAAGAUUUUACUUUGGUGCAAAUCUCUCAAUAGUUUGGUGAGAUUUUAUAUGAAAAUCAUUUAUAAAAUUUUGUUUUGAUGUAGAAUUCUAAAUAGUUUGGUGAGAUUUUAUUUGAAAAUUAUUUAUAAAAUUUUACUUUGAGAAAAUUCAUUAAAUCUUCCAAUUUGGUAAGAUUUAAUUCAAGAUUUUUAUCCUCCAAUAAUUUGGUAAGAUUAAAAAUAUAUUAUUUUAUUUUAUUUUAAAAAUUCAUUAAGUCCUCCAAUAGUUUUGUAAACUUAAUUCAAGAUUUAAAUAUUUCAAUAGUUUGGUAGGAUUGAAAAUUUAUUAUUAAAAAAAUUACAUUAUGAAAUUCUCUAUUAGUUUGGUAAAAUUCAUAAUUGAAAAUUUCUAAACCAAUGAAAUAAAAAAUUCAUAAUUUAAAACUCACAAUCUUUAAAUUUUAUUUUAAACGUACAUAAAAAAAGUAAAAUAAAUGAAUAAAUAUAUAAAUAAACAAAAUGUGAAAAUUACCCUAAUAGAUGGAGACAUGCCUAGGUUGAAGUAUCUCUUGAUCUGUGGUGACAAAUAAUCACCAAAGAGCUCUGCCACCAAUUCUAACCUAAAAGCUAGGGUAUAGAUUGCUACUCAUCCAUUUCUUGGUGGGUUUCCCUUUUUUUUCCCUUUUUUUUUUGUAUGUUGUUGAUUGGUGUUUAUAUUGGGCCUUUUGCUAAGAGUUUUAGCGAUUUGCAUUGAAUGAAAAGGAUUGCAAAUCUAAUUAUACUCUGAACUGAUUUUUUCUUGAUUCUCUUUAAAAUUUAUUUAAUUAAUUUCUAAAAUUGUCUCAAUUUUCCUUGAUUUUCAGAGUCCCUCAAAACUUCCCAAACUAAAUUUGACUUUGAUUCCUUGAUUUGCUUUCUUUUCAACCUUCCUUUAAUAUUUGAAGAGAUCAUGUUUUAGUUUUAAUUGUCAAGAUCAUCCUUGAUUAGUGCUCAAAUUACUCCAUAAAUUUCAUUGACAUGAUUUAUGAUAAAAAUUUAAAACAAAAUAAUUAAAAAGAGUAAAACAUAUAAAUAAAUAAGACAAAAAAAGAUAUAAAAAGAAGUGAAGGAAAUUGGACAAUUGGGCUUGGUUUGAGCCCCGAACUAAAUAGGGUAUUUAUAGCUGGCCUUUUGCAUAGUUUUUGUAAAAUAGAAAUUAUACAAAGAUAUAGAUAUCUAUUACGUUCAAGCCCAAAUUAUUCAAUUUUUUUCUUUUUUUUAAAGGCUUUUAAAAAUGAAGGCACACAACUUUUUUAAAAAAUUAAGGACGACACCCGAAGGUUUUGACAAUCAUGCCCAGAGGUCUUAUAGAUCAUGUCUGAAGAGCUUGAAAAUUAAGCCCGAAGAUCUUACAAAAUCAUUCAUUAAAAAAUGCUCCUUUAAACAAAGGCUACACAACUAUUAAAAAAGUACCUAAAAGUUUUAAAAGAUCAUGCCUAAAGGUCUUAAAGAUUAUGCUUGGAGUUCUUACAAAUCUUGACUCUAAAAUAAAUUCAGCUCGAAAGACUUACAAAUCUUACCCAAAGGAUUUAGAGAUUAUGCUUGGAGGUCUUACAAAUCUCGAUCUUAAAAUAGAUUCAACUCGCAAGAUUUAUGAAUAUUGCCCAAAUGACUCAGAGAUUACACUUGGAAGUGUUACAAAUCUUGACUUUAAAAUAAAUUCAGCUCAGAAGACUUAUGAAUCUUAUCCAAAGACUUAGAGAUUAUACUUGGAGGUCUUAUAAAUCUUAACUCUAAAAUAGAUUCAAGUCAGAAGACUUACGAAUCUUACUUAGAGGACUCGGAGAUUAUGCCUAGAGGUCUUACAAAUCUUAACUCUAAAAUAGAUUCAGCUAGGAAGAUUUAUGAAUAUUGCCUAAAAAACUUGGAGAUUAUACCCAAAGGUCUAAUAAAUCUCAACUCUAAAAUAGAUUCAGCUUGAAAGACUUAUGAAAUUUACCUAGAGGUCUUACAAAUUAAACUUAAAAAAAGCUUAUUUAAAACAAAUGUUCAACCACUUUAAAGAGAAAAAUGAUAUUUGGAGGUUUUAAAUAUCAUGCCUGGAGGUCUUGUAGAUAUUGCUUGAAGGACUUUUAAAAUAGUUUAAUAGUUUUGAAGAUGUUGCAAAAGGUUUUUUUUUUAAAAAAUUAUCCGAAGGUUUUUUAAGACUGAUACUUAAAAAUUUUAACAAAUUUACCUUGAGGUAAAAUCAUGUUUGGUCAAAGUUUCAUUUUUUAUCAAAAAUUUAAGUCAAUAUCUCUUUCCUCUAAAAAAUAUGAAUGUAACAUAUGAAAUAGAUGUGAUGUAUACUAUGUAAGAAAUGCAUGAAGUGCAAUGAAUUAAAUGCAUGAAUUUUAUACCAAAUGUCCUUAAUUGUGGUAAUAGGUUUCUCAAAACUUUUAUUCCUUCCAUCUUUCCAUGACAUAUCCUCUGAAUUAGUUGACAAGUUCUUUCAUGCCCUAAAGUAGACAUUCUCAACAUUUUCAUUCUUGAAAACUAUUCUUCUCUUCUAGUGAGUUGUUUUAAUUUUGAUCUUUUGCAUUUGGCAUUUUCUUGCCCCAAAAAGGUCUUUUAUAGCAUUCACCUAUCUCCCACCCUGAGCAUUAAGAUCGACCAUAUUUUGAACAUUUUUCAAAACUUACCAUGAAUAGCAAUAGAAAUUACCCCAAAUAUAUCUCUUCUACAUGUGAUCAAAUCUCUUAAAAAUUGGUGAUUAUCGCUUAGAAUAAGGAUGAUGAAUCAUAAUUUUGGUCUUCCAAAAGGACGCAAUGGUUUGGCACCUCUUUCAGUUCUUGAUAGGUGGUAUUUUAAUAAAUAUCAAGAACAACUAUGUUAGGUUCAAAUUUUCAAGUUUGAAAAAAGAACAAGGCCUAAAAUUUAGAAUGAAUCUUCAUACUGAGAUCAAUCUUUUGGGCCUUUAAAGAAAAGUCUCCUUGGUGCUAAUGAAAAGUCAUAAGUUGCUUUCAAAGUUUCAAUCUUGCUUUAGGCUGCCCUUUCAGGUUUUCACCCUAAAACUUCAUUCUUUUCUCUUUUUUUUUGUUUUUGAUAUUCCAUCAUGCAUUUUAGCAUUCAAAAUUUAUCAAAAAGUGAUGGUGAUUUCCUAAAGAAAAACUUCUUAAUUUAGAUAUCCAUACUUGAUCAAAAUAGACUUUUUAAAUGACGUAAUGUGGGCUAAGGUUUAAGGAUUUAAAAAAAGCAUAAAUAGGCCCAAAAAAUGUAUUUACAGGUGAUCAAAUCAAAGAUCAUUUCUUUUCCAGAAACAUCUUUCCUUUUUUCAAAGAUGCAUUUUCUUUUUUCUCUUUUUUUUUUCUUUUUUUUUCCCUUUUUUUUUUUUUCAUGACCUUAAAAUUUUUUAAACUCUUAUUUCAAGCUUUUCUAACAUGAGGCAUUAUUUCCUAACUCAGCACAAGAUAGAUGCCAUUUGAGAAAUCCUUUUUCUCUUAAACUUGCCCCCAAAAUUUAAAGGUUGAUCCCUAGUUAAGGUUCGUUCGAAAGAAUAAUCAAAGGUUGAAAAAAGGUAGCAAAUGGAUAUUUUCUUCUUUUAUGAAGGGAAUUUAAAAGAUAACCAUUUUUCAUUUCAAGUAUGGAUAUCUAUUGAAAAACAGUCUAUAAGAGACAACUUGUUUCUAAUUGAUUUUAGGUUCAUUUGAAUGCCUCACAUGCAUGAUUUCAUAAUCAACUCUCUUUUCUUUUCUUUUCUUUUUUGUAAUUCAUUCAUUUUGAUAACAAAGACAUCUAAAUGUUCAUCAAUCAAAAUGAUCAAAAGGAUUAUUUAGGGCAUCAAGUAAAUUUGGCUUUUACCCCAAAGUAAGUACCAAUGAUCACUUGGUAAACGAUUCAAAAAAAAAGAUGAAUGUAGACAAGCUAAAAUACUGAACAAAUUAAGAAAAUAUAGCUCAAGAAAUUUAGGUGGUGACGUGCUUGAAAGAAGCUUGACAUUUAUUGAAAGACCAAAAAUUAAAAUGCUUAGGAGAGUGCCUUAAAAGAUUUUACAAAUUAAUCGACUAUCACAUUGUUCAUAGCCCAAAUGAAGAUCAAUAAAUUUUAAGUUUCAUCAUGGUCAAAUAAAGGGAAGUUUUGAAACUUUCAUCCCUGGAAAUUCUCAAGGCUUUUAAUUUUCUAAAUGAAAAAAAUUACAUGUUCAGGGGAAUGGCUCAAGAUACCUAUUCCUAAUAAUAAUUAUCAAAUUUCUUGAUUUUUUUUUCACAUGCAUUUGUAAGAAGCUAAACNNNNNNNNNNNNNNNNNNNNNNNNNNNNNNNNNNNNNNNNNNNNNNNNNNNNNNNNNNNNNNNNNNNNNNNNNNNNNNNNNNNNNNNNNNNNNNNNNNNNNNNNNNNNNNNNNNNNNNNNNNNNNNNNNNNNNNNNNNNNNNNNNNNNNNNNNNNNNNNNNNNNNNNNNNNNNNNNNNNNNNNNNNNNNNNNNNNNNNNNNNNNNNNNNNNNNNNNNNNNNNNNNNNNNNNNNNNNNNNNNNNNNNNNNNNNNNNNNNNNNNNNNNNNNNNNNNNNNNNNNNNNNNNNNNNNNNNNNNNNNNNNNNNNNNNNNNNNNNNNNNNNNNNNNNNNNNNNNNNNNNNNNNNNNNNNNNNNNNNNNNNNNNNNNNNNNNNNNNNNNNNNNNNNNNNNNNNNNNNNNNNNNNNNNNNNNNNNNNNNNNNNNNNNNNNNNNNNNNNNNNNNNNNNNNNNNNNNNNNNNNNNNNNNNNNNNNNNNNNNNNNNNNNNNNNNNNNNNNNNNNNNNNNNNNNNNNNNNNNNNNNNNNNNNNNNNNNNNNNNNNNNNNNNNNNNNNNNNNNNNNNNNNNNNNNNNNNNNNNNNNNNNNNNNNNNNNNNNNNNNNNNNNNNNNNNNNNNNNNNNNNNNNNNNNNNNNNNNNNNNNNNNNNNNNNNNNNNNNNNNNNNNNNNNNNNNNNNNNNNNNNNNNNNNNNNNNNNNNNNNNNNNNNNNNNNNNNNNNNNNNNNNNNNNNNNNNNNNNNNNNNNNNNNNNNNNNNNNNNNNNNNNNNNNNNNNNNNNNNNNNNNNNNNNNNNNNNNNNNNNNNNNNNNNNNNNNNNNNNNNNNNNNNNNNNNNNNNNNNNNNNNNNNNNNNNNNNNNNNNNNNNNNNNNNNNNNNNNNNNNNNNNNNNNNNNNNNNNNNNNNNNNNNNNNNNNNNNNNNNNNNNNNNNNNNNNNNNNNNNNNNNNNNNNNNNNNNNNNNNNNNNNNNNNNNNNNNNNNNNNNNNNNNNNNNNNNNNNNNNAAUUGUCCUUAUUUUUAUCAGGCAACGUCCAUGGCCUCUUCAACUUGCUUGUUUGCGCUUGAGUGCACCUAGAUGUUCAAAAGCAUCCUUUGAGCUGGUCCGUGGUUGAGGCUGCCCUGCUUACGUAGUAAAGAUCGAAACACUUGUUCCAAUUUGUUUUUCUGAUCCUGUUGUAUCCUUUGUGGCUUGCAUUGUGAUUUUGAGGUUUGUGACCGGGUGGUUGAUAUUAGAGAGAAGGCUUGCCUAGUUUGGUUUGGUUUUCUUUUCCAAUGCAAUUUUAUAUAGACCCAAAACUCUGAUUACGAUUCUGUUGAAGUGUUGGGGAAUAAAACAUUUUUGGUGUGCUGGUUUUAAAAAUUGAUUUCCAUCUUUUUAUCAAUAAAAUUAAUAAAUCAAUCAAUAAAUUUUAUUAAUGAAUACUUAAAAAAAAUAUUCCAAAGAGGAUUUGGUACGAAUAAAAAUAUUAAUGUUAAUUUCUUCUUUUCUUCUGCUUCAAAUUAACCACAGAUUGGAAAAAGCUAAAUAGCCAAGCCUCCACUUAUCUUGUGUCCAUUUUCUAUUGUUUCAUUUGUUUUUAGCCCUCAAUUUUGCAGUUUUUAGGUUUUCUUUUUUUUUUUUUUGGUUCCCUGAUUAAAUGAUGCAUUUUGGUCCAUUGCUGGUUUUAAUGAAUUUUCAGAAUUUGUAGAUCUCGUGAAAGGAGUUCUAGGAAGGUACUUUGAUGAGCAUGCUUGUAAAUGUGAUAAUUAUUGUGUAUGAAUGUUAAGUUAUCCAAAAAUAAAUAAGUUUAGCAUUAGGACUUUCUUUCUUUUAUUGUUUGCCAUAAAUGAUUCUGGAGCAAAGCAAACUACUGUUGAACUAAUUAUUUGCAUUGUACACUUUCAGGAAUCACUUAGUGGGUUAAAACUGAUAUACAUGUUUCUCUCUCAUAUGUUCUUAAUCUGGGUAGGAUAGAAUUAAGUUUGGGCUAUCUCAAUUCCUUUGCACCUUUUUUCCCUUGCACUGUAAUAUUUUCUCAACAACCCUUUUGCAAGGGGAAAGCUGUAAUAUAAAUAUAUAUAUAUAUAUUAUAUUUAAAUUAGAUAAUUUUGUAAAAAAAUUAUAUUGAUGGAAGUGUGUACAUGGUAUUCAGAUUUUAUUUUUUCAUUUCUUCAUUUUUAUAAAGCUUUAUUUUUAAAAAGUUCCUAAUAAAAAUUUUUACAAGAAUAAAUCAUCAUUAAUAAUAUUGCAUGACAAUUCAAUUUUUUGUCCUUUUUAUUUGUUUUGAUUUUUUCAUUUUCAUUUUGAUUUUUACUUUUUUAGUUUUCUUUCUCCCUUAAUUUUUUAUUAGAUCAAUUAUUUCAGUGAAAAAAACUCAUCGGAUGUACCCACAUGGCAUCCUAUUUUAUUUUUGCCUUUCAUUUUUUUUUAAUUAGAUAAAUAAUACAAUAAAAAAAUCAGUAAUAAAUUUUAUAAGAUAAAAAUCAAUUGAAGUAUAGAUAACAAAAUAUCUUGUAUCCGAUAUGUUUUGAUUCCUAUGGAUUAAUCGGUGUGCUUUUUCUUUUUUUUUUAAUUUAGGAUUGGAAACCUUAAAAAAUAUGAAUUAUUACCAAAUUACGAUAGCAUCGUCUACUAAAAUAAUUUUGUAAGAAACCUUUAUGAAGUAAGAAACGGAAAACUUAUAAUUGAAAAAUGAAUUAAUUAAUAGUAGGAUAGAAAAAUAAUUUAAAAGAUUACAAUUAGUAAUUUCAUAAUCAAAUAAAUGAUUUUUUUUAAAAUUAAUGUAAAACUAUGUUUUCUAAACCAAAGCAAUGCACAAAUGACACCACAAAUUGAUCCUUCAUAUAUGCCUCACAAACAUUUUAAUAAAAUUACAAAAAAAAAUUUAACUAUUUCCAAAAAUAAAAUCUUGAUAUAUAUAAUUUUGCUAAAUAAGAUAUUUUAACUUUUGAUAAAUGAAGUUACUUUCAUAAAUAAAAUCUUACUUGAAAUCCUGCAACUAAUUAACUCAUUUUGAUAGUUUAAUUUUCAUUAAAGUGUAAUUUUCUUUUGCUUGCAAAGACCAACAUCUGUAUGUACUUUAAUUUUUUUGUCAAAUAGCUAUAGUUUUAUCAAAAUCAUUUUUGUCUAUACUUACAUAUAAGCACGUGCAAAAACAAAUGCAUAAAUGUGUGUAAAAUUAAAAAGAAUUAAGCAUUUAAUUAGAUUCAUAUAUAUAUAGAUAUAUAUAUAUAUAUAUAUAUACACACAUACACACACUAUCUGUAUUCUUCAUAAAUAGGUUGACUUUCAAGUUUUCUCGAAGCCUUUUAUCAUGUUUUUAAGUAAUAAAAAUAUUAGUGUAUGGUUCAUAAUAGUACGAUAACAUGUUCACGGUAUUUGAUACACAACAUAAACUUGCAAGCAUGUAAAAUUACACAGAUUUGAAUAAAAACAGGGGGUUUUAUUUUAUUUUAAUUUUAUCAUGUUUUUCAGAUAACAUGAAGGGAAAAAGACCCAAAGCUAUAUAUUUAUUUUUCAUCAGUCAUAAGCAUCCCCAUACUUAGGCUGAAAGUUGAUCCAUCAGCACUCAAACGGAACCGCUGAGCCUUUAUGUAAGCAUAUUCAACAAGGAAUCCAACUCAUCAUUGGUGCAGUCGAUCAAAUUGUCCUUAUUUUUAUCGGCAAUGUCCAUGGCCUCUUCAACUUGCUUGUUUGGCGUGAGUGCACUAGAUGUUCAAAAGCAUCCUUGAGCUGGUCCCUGGUGAGGCUGCCCUGCUUAGAGUAAGAUCGUAAACACUUGUUCCAAUAUGUUUUUCUGAUGUCUUGUUACCUUUGUGGCUUGCAUUGUUGGAUUUUGAGGUUUAGACAGGGUGAUAUAAGCAGAAAGGGCUUGCCAGCUUGGUUUGCUUUCUUUCCAUGCAAUUGUUUAUAUAACCCAAAACUCGAAUAGUAUUCUGUUGAAGUGUAGGGGAAUAAAAUCUUUUUUGUGGUGGGUUUUAAAAUUUGAUUUCGAUUGAAAGCAAACAAUAUAAUUGUAUGAUAUUUUCUUCAUUUGAAUUUUUUUUAAGUAUCCAUUUUAUCAAUAAAAUUAAUAAAUCAAUCAAUAACUUUUUAUAAUGAAUACAAAUAAACAAAUAUUCGAAGAGGAUUGGUUCGAAUAAGAAUAUUAAUGUUGGCUUGAAAUUAACCACAGAUUGGAAAAUGCUAAAUAGCAGCCUCCACUAUCUUGUGUCCAUUUUCUAUUGUUUCAUUUGUUUUAGCCCUCAAUUUGCAGUUUUUAGUUGCUUUGUUUUUUUCGUUGCCUGAUUAAAUGAUGCAUUUGGAUAAAUUUAUUAUCCAAGCUUUAUGAUGAGUACCUAUAGACUUUUUGUAGUAAUAUGAUGAUGAUAAUAGUUUUGAAAGAACUAAAAACCUUUUGCUGUUAUUUGUUCACCCGAAAACUGAGAGUAAUCAUGUUAAUAGAGAAAUGCUCAGACAUUGAAGUUGAAAAAAGGAAAAGUGGUUGAGAAGCUGAAUAUGGGAUAAAAUUGUGGCAACUGGCAAGUGUACAUUAACUUUUCUGGGAUAAGAGUUUUAGUUUACAAAAUGUCGUUUUGGCCGAAUAUAUGUCUUAUAUGAAAAGUCUGAUGACUGAAAACGUAAAUUUGAUCUAUGAUGUCACUAUUCCAGCAUCCACGGUGGAGAGUUCUUGUUGAUAAUCAAUAUUAAGUUUGGGCAGUGAACCUAUCAGAGGCCCGUUUUUGUUAUUGGGAUAAAACUGGUUUUGUGUGUAAUGUUUCAUUUGCACGACAUUUAAGCUGUCUGUUCAUCUAGUAUUAUAAAACUUGUUCAUUUGACUGGAGGUGCAGUGGGAUUUGCAGGUCUGUGGAGAGGAUAAUGGAAGUUCAUGAACGUUGUGGUGAGGACAAGAAUGCUUUAUGGAGCACAAACUUUGUGCAAACACCAAGUUCUUUCUGCUGUUGCUCUUAUUUUAUGCUUAAAAUCAUAAGCUUUUUUUGUGCUUUUACUACAAAUUUUACAUCAAUUUAACAAACCUGAGAAUCCAGUAAUAUAAUAAUGGCCACAGCAGGGGAACUUUGCUUUUCUAUUACAAGUUCUUUCAGAAAGUACUUAUUGCUUUGUGUUUUCCUUACAACUGACCACAAUCUUUUACUUUCCAAAAUCAUGCCUCUGAUUAAGUAAAACCUGCUCGAAAACUAUUGUUACACUUGCAACACAAAGACUUCAUAUAUAUAAAAGAAAAACAUUACAAAAUUCAUAUUUCACAUUUGAAUUUAAUGUUUUUCCUUUUUUAUGUGAAGGCUUCAUAGCAUUAGGAUUUAAUACUAGAAAUUAAGUUAGUGACACAAUGAAGACAACACAAAAGGCUUUUGUCAUAUCUUAUGUGUAUCUUCGAGGUGUCUCUGGACUGGAGUAAUGAAUUGUUGAAUCGAAACGUUACACAGGCUAAAAUCAAAUAGCUAGCUUUUGCAUACGUUUUGUUGCACUUAGAUGUGAAUCAUUUUUUCCAUGAGAGGAGAUUUUAUUUACAUCUUUAGUAUAUUGUUUUGAUGCAAACAAAUGAAUUUGCUUUGUCUUGUGAAAAAAUUUGUAUACCCUAUUGAUCCUAAUUUUGAAUUAAUUUUCCUCUUUCUCUUCCAGCUGCCAAUGGUCAUAUAAUACCAAAAACCUGCAUCCUCAGUCUCAGAUUGUCCUCAACCUCACCUGGCUUGCAUCAGUGAAUCUGAUCACACUGCAUGAUUUCAUGUAUGGAUAUAUAGAUAUCUUGGACCAUUUAUAUAUAAUUCCAAACCAUUUUACAUUUCAUAUAAUUCACCCCUACAUUUAAUUACUACUUAGGACAGCAAUAGAAAUGUUGAUUGAACAGUUCUUUUAAUUUUAUGAUUCAAAUGAUGAAAACUUUGAAGUAAUUACAUUUAAUGAUGGUGAUUCAAAUGGGGGUGUUCAUGUGACACCUUUAUUGAGCUUUUUUUUGUUGUUUUUGUUUUUCUCCUUUUUUUUUUCAAAUUUUUUACAUUUUUAUUUUUUGAUUAGAUAAAUUUAAUGAGCAAAAAGGCCAUCGAGAUAUAUUCACAUGUCACUUCUAUCUAGUUUUCUUAUCUUUUAUUUUUUUUAAUUAGAUAAGUUUUAUAAAAAUAAUAUAAAAAUUAUUUUUAAUUUAGUUUUAUUAAAAUUUAUAUGAAAAUAAUAGAAAAAUAAAAUAAAUUAUCAAUUAUUUUAAUUAAUAAAAUAGUUAAACUUACGCGUAAGCUCAUUUCUAGUAUUUAAAAAAAUGAUAAAGAAAAUUAUUUAAACUCCAUCUCUUAAUUUAAGCUUUAAUUAGAACAUGCUAGUAGUUGAUUUAUAGAGCUCGCUAGUUUGUUAUUCGUUCGACGUAGGUAUUAUUUUUAAUUAUUUAAAUGUGUAGACACAUAAAUUAUUACUGUUUAGUCACUUAUAUAUUCAAGACAUAUGUAAAAUACAUAUAUAAUUAAGAUAUCAAAUUAUCAUAAAAUUACAAUCUUUUAUUAAAAAUUAAAUUAAUUUAAAAAAUAUGAAAAAUAAACUAUCCAAAAGAUAUUAUAAAUAAUAAUAUUGAGUUCACCAAAAAAAUAUUAAAAUGAAAACUAAAAGUUUGAUUACUUCAAAUUAAUUUUCUUCUGUUUGUAUCUAUCGUAACGACUUUAGAGAUCACUAGACGAAUUUGGAAAAAUAAAAGAAAUGAAGUCGUUAUCAAUUUUUUUUGGUUAGGUGUGAUUGACCACUUAUUAAAACUUACUUUAUUAAUAAAUUAAUUAAAAUUUAUUAAAAAGAUAAUUUUUAAGUUUGCAAAAACAGUUUGAGUACGGGAGUCGGUAAUGCGUGGGGAAGGAUUAGCACCCCACAAUGUCCAUUUAAAACAUUACUAAUUAAUUAUGUGUUAUCUUUUAAUAUUGACAAAAAAUGGUCUUAAUAUUGGUAUUAACAAUUACUAUUCUUAAUUUUCUUUAAAAACAUGUUUAUGAUUUUUUAGUAAGCUCGAAAAAUAAAUAAGAACUUUAUAUUGAAAAUUUUCUAAAAAUAUCUCAAUACGCUGGCAGUAUUUUUAGAAAACUUUUCUCACUUAGAGAUAUUUUAAAAAUCUCUACUUGGACUUCUUUACAAUUCCAUCAUCGGAUAUUUUUAUUUCAUUGAAAAUUAUAUAAUGCGAGCAAUCAUGCAUACAAAACAAUAUAUAUAUAUAUAUUGAUUAUGACUUAAUCAUCUUAUUUUAUCCUCUAAUUGUCAAUAACACCUUUGGAAGGAACAAAGUGAAUAAAAAUUUUAUUGAAAAUGUCCCUAGAUAUUCCAAUAAUUUGAUGGUAUUUUAAAAAAAUUUUCUCACCUACGGAUUUCUUAAGAAUCUCUACUUUGACUUCCUUAAAAUCCUAUCCUCGAAUAAUUUCAUUCAUAUUAUUAUGUGCAUGAAAAAUAAAAUAUAUCAAACAUGAAUUUAAACUCAAAAUAUUAAAUUAAAAUAAGCCUGAGAAUCUAAACAACAAAAAAAAUUAACUAUGCAUAGGAUUAAACUUAUAAUUGAAUUUAAACAAUCAUAAACAAAUUGUAUAAUUAUAAUUAAAAUUAAACAUACAUAAAAAAAAUUUCUCGGAAUCAAAUUUUAAGCCUUAUAUUCUUUAUGAAAUUUUAUUCAUUUAAAAAUUUUAACUAGAAAAACAAACUUGGACCUAGCCUAAAAGCUUGAAUGUGAAUGGUAUGGCCUCAUUUUUUUUUUUUUUUUACAUUUCUUCUAUUCUUCAAUCAAAUAAAAAACAAGCCAAUCAUGUAGUCCCUACCCAUCUCAAUCAAAGCUCUAGUUUUGUCCCAUAUAUGGCUUCUUUAUUUUAAUAAACUUUAUUCUCCCAUCCUAAGAACCAUGCAACCCUUAGCCCCAUUCUUUUCUACGUAAAGCUUGCUACUUUCUAUACCUAUUGGUUUUUACCUUCCAUUUAAGACUAGCCUACAUGACAACAAGCAUUGGAACCAAACUUGACAGCAAGCCUUCACGGUCAACAAUGAAAGAAGUGGAUCAUCCAUCAUCAAGCAUAAAAGAAAAUUGAAACUCUAGCUUCUACAGCAACAUUCAUGCAAAAAAAGGAAAAGGAAACAUGGAUGGUGAGGCUUUAAAUAAUUCACCGAAACAUGAUAGAAUUAGUGUUCUUAGCACCAUACUUGGAGCUUUAAAACUACCUUAAUCACCUCAUUUCACCCACAUGUGGAAACUAGGCAAAGAGAAGCAAGGUGGGAUCAUGCAUUGUAUGAGAUACUUUCCCUACAUCUAUAAAGGCUUCAUGUACUGAAUGAGUAGGCAAAAGCAUGUAAAAAUGGCCGAGCAAAACAAACAUAAAGGUGGAAUAGCAUAGUUCACGUGAAAUUUCCCCUACACAUGGUCUAUUUUCAACUUUUCAUUCUUUAUAUAAUCAACCAUAAGAACAAGCCAAGACAGCUCUGACGUAUAGGGAAGAAACCAAAAAAAUACAAAAAACUAGAAGCUUUAUAGCUUGUGCAAAACCUUUCACAUAAAGACAACAAACUAGACAAGAAAAAGAACCCCAUUCCAUGUUGAAGAGCAAAGAGCUAUGAAGUUGCCCAUUCAUGUUUUAUAUAGCUCAAAUGGAUUAUAGCCAAAGGUCAUCAACUUCAAACUUCCAGCUUUCUUCCUUUUAGCUUUUAAAACAAAACAACACUGUGGUCCAAACAACUUUUGAUCGUGAGCCCUUUUUGACCUUACUAGUAAACCCAUGUCUCAUACAAAGAAAGAAAGCAAAAGAGGUGCUGAAAUUACUUUAGGCAGCAAUGGAAAUAGGUUCCAAAAUCUGUUUGGAAGAUCAACCAAACCGUGACUGCCCAUGGGGAGUUAGGCAACACGUAGGGAUUUAAAUAGCGAUCGCGGUCACAUUUUCGGUCGCGUAGCAUUUGUCGCGUUUCAGAUAUAACGGAGAUAAUUGCGGUUGCUGUGAUCAUCACAGUCGUGAAAUUUUUUUUUUUUGCACAAUUUAUUAUAACAUGUAAUAAUUCUAAUUAUAAUUAUAAAAACUCUUAUUCAAUGAUUCUAAAAAUAGUUUAUGACACUCCAUGUUUUUUAUUUUCUAAAAAAAUUAUUUAUAAUUUUAUUUAGAUUAUAAAAAGCAUUCAUAUUUGGUUUAUCCAUAAAAUUUUUCUUGGCCAAGUUCAUAUUCAAUAUUAAUUCUAGACAAAUCAAAUAUUAAAAAACAUAAUAUGUUAAAUACCAAGCAUUUAAUUUAAUAAAAUUACAAACUUAAAAAUAUAAUAAAUUCAAAUUUCAUCAACUACAAUUCUUGAUACAUAUUUCAAAUUUACCACAUGGUAGAAUGACGAGGAGGAUCAGAUUCUCUAUCUUCACUUUGAAAGCCAAGUUGACUCCAUCUCCAUUCCUGAGGCCUUUGUUCUUGAUACAUUUGAGAUGGAAAGAUAUAUUUGAGGAUGAUACACUUGUGGUGGAGGGUACAUUUAUGGUAACUGAUACAUUUGAGAUGGAAGAUACAUUUGAGGUGGAUAAUAAGCAUAUGGAGGUGGAUAACCAUGAGGAGGAUGAAAAUUAUGUUGUUCUAGUGGAUAGUAAUGUCUUUGAGUACUAGCAGAUGAUUCACUAUACUCAAAGUUACUAGAAUUUAGUUUUUCACCUAAAGAUGAAGAACCUUUAGAAAUUUCAUAGUGGUGCUUCUUCGCUUUUCCUUUUGAUCGAGUUGUACGUGCACUUUGACCCUCACUAGAUUUAGCAAAUGGAUUUCCUCUGUAUUCUACCAUAUUAAUGAAAAGUCCACCAGUAACAACAAACUCAAAUUCUCCUCUAAGUGGGCUGUAAAGUCGAUUUGCAUCCACAUUAUCACCAAAAUUUACACCAUCACCAUCACCAUCUCCAUCACCAUCAUCAUCUGGACUUAAAGCACCACCAUCAUCACUUUAACUUGGUGUUGGACUUGAACUUGAAUGAGACACAUUCCUUUCUUGAGAUAGACGUGAUCGUUCAACAUUCAUUUCAUUAUUAGAAUUAUCUACAGGUAACUAAUUAAAGUUUUGACCAUCUAAUAGAAGAUUUUCUUUCUCUUGCAGCCAUUCUGUUAGUGGAUCAUCAUCUUCAAAAAUAUGGUCAAGGCUAAUAGGAUUAAAACUAUUAUUUAUUUCAUCAAUGCUCAUUCUUUUCUGAUGUCUCAUCCUCAACCUCAUGUUAUAAUAGGUAUAUACAAGUUUCUGGAGUCUUUCAAACUUCAAUCUAUUUCUUGCUUUGGUGUGAAUAUAGCUAAAUGUGCUUCAAUUAUAUUGACAAUUUGAUGUAGAUGUUGUUUGACUAAGCACUUUGAUUGCUAGUUUUUGUAAUUCAGGAACACAAGUGCCAUGUAUCAUCCAUCACUCAGCUGUAUAAAAUUAUUUAAAUUAAAUUUCAAUGGGCUAUACAAUUAAAUAAUAUAAAUAAAUUAUAAUUAUUUAACUUACUAGUUACCUGGAUUCAUUUGCUUCCAAGCUCUUUGUGCUUGUGGACUACCAAAUGUUUUAUGCUUGUCUCAAAAUAAUAACAACUACAUCGAUUGAAAAUACAAUAAUGAAUGAAUAAAUAAAAAAUAAUUUAAUUUUUAAUAUAUUAAAUAAAUGUUAAAGUUAUAAAAUAGUAUUAAAUACUAACCUGAUUAAUUAUUUUGAUUUGAGUAUCUAUCGAAGGUUCUAAUCUUUCAAUAACUACUUUUAUACCUUCUAAUGUUUCCUUAAAUACAUUUGCAGAAUGUUCCACUCCAAAUUGAAAUUAUGGAUUUAGAUAGUAACCUAAACAUAAUUUAUAAAAAUAUUAUAUUAAAGUAAUAAAAAAUAAAUAUAUAAGCAAUUUAAGUAUAAAAAAUAAACAUAUUUUUUAAAUACCAUCUAUAUUCUUAGUUUUCUUACCAGCUGAAUGCAAGUCAGAGUGCAUGAAACUCCAUCUAUUGUCAAUAAUCUUUUCAUAUUCAGCAGAAUAACGACAAGUUUGUUGAAUUGCUUGUUUAGCUCUAUCCACAGCCUUGUAAAUAAAGCCCAUUGUUGAUUUUUCAUCAACAUCCACAAGGCGCAACACUUUUACCAAAGGCUCAUAAACUUUUAUUAUAUUGCCUGCUUUUUUUCAAAAAUCUUUUCCCAAAAUGAUUUUUUUGACUUCAUAAGCAAGUCUUGAUUUUUGUUGUCCCCAUUUUGAAUCUUUAAAUUCCUAUAUAUUCAUCAAUAAAUUUUUAAAGUAAUAUAUUUUAAAUUAAUAUUUUAAAACAAUAAUAUCAUAAAAAGAUGCUAGAUUUAAAUAGUUGUACUAAUUACUAAGUACUAACCUUUGAAUUGAACAUCUCUCUCAAACUUUGCUUUUGCCUCAUUAUUUCUUCUAAUCGUAUGAAAUGAGUGGCAAAUCGGGUAAGAGCAGGACGAAGUAUUUACUUCCCUUGUGUAUAUUUCUUCAUCAAAUUAACAGUCCAAAUGUGAUUGUAUAUAAAACAAGUCACUUUCUUUACAUCAUCCAAAACCUUUGCCACAUUUUUUUCCUUCCAAUAUCUUCAAGGCACAGUCCAAACAAUGAGCUGAACAUGCUGCCCAAUAGAAAUGUUUUCUCUUCUCUAUUAGUCUUUUUCCUGCGGCCUUAAGUGUUGUCUCAUUAUCAGUGACUAUUUGAACAAUGUAUUUUUCUCCAAUUUCUUCCACAACUUAAUCUAAUAAUCUGUAGUAAAAGUUUGUAUCUCUACUACAAACACUUGAGACAUCUAUAGAUUUCCAAAAAAUAGUCCCUUUACUACAGUAAACAAGGAAAUUAAUGAUAUGCAUUUGAUUCAAACUAUUGGUCCAACCAUCACACAUCAAAGUGACACCCAAUUCAUUCCAAUAAGCUUUUAAUCCAUUAACCCAUUCAUGAACUUGUUGAUACUCAGACUCCUAAUACACAUCUGAGACCUCAUAAAGUGUUGGAAGUCUUACAUGUUGGCCAACUUCUACUGCCACAGAAAUCAAAUUAUGUAACCAUGGGGAAUUUGCUAACUGAAAAGGAAAUCGAUCAUAUAUCAAAAAUUUUGAUACUGAUUCACCCAUUUUUCUUCUUAAUGUCUUUAGAAAUGAAUCACUUACAUUUUGUUGUCUUGAACUUUUAUUUCUAACCAAUUCAAGAACAGCUCCCCUUAAUGAAAAUUCAGACUCAUUUGGAAUUGAUUUUCUUGUUCUUUCUUCAAAAUAUUCAGCAACUGAACCAUGAGAGCUUCGUCCUUCGUCAUAUAUGUUACUCCAACCACUAGUUCUUUGUCUGAAUUCUUGUCUUCUGUGCCACUUAUGUUGUGAUUGGAUACUAUCUCGCACGGCUUGUCAGCAGCAAUGUCUUCAUCAAUAAAUCCUUCAUAAUCAUCUUCCCUUCUUAACUGUGAUAAAAAUUCAUUUUUUUCUCCUUUUAUUGUCAGCUUUUUUUGAUUUGUUUUCUUAAAAGAGUUUCAUCAUACUUUCUUUUACUAUACCUAUUAAUAAUAUAGUUGAAAAAAGAAGAGAAAAUUAGCUGCACACGCUUAUGUAAUUUUAUAAUUUUUAUUAAAAAAUUAACAAUAAUAUUUUCAAAGAAAUUAAAAAAACUUAACAUACCAAUAACGUUGGGGCAUGGUGCAACAUUGCCAGUUUUAUGAGCAAUGUGUUCUUUGAAACGUGUUAUUCCUCCUUUUACAACCUUACCACAAAGUUUACAUGAAACAUUUCCUCUUGUAUUUGGCACAAGUGUUCCAAAAUGCCAACCUAUAUCAUCAUUUGGCGCGCCCUCUACUCCUUUACUCGGGAACUCUUCACGUGGUGGCAUACUUACUAUUUUGUAUAAAAACAAAAUAAACUUAUAUUUAGAAAUAUUAAUAUUACUUAUUACAUCAUUAAAAAUUGAUUUUACGCUAAAUUUUUUAAUUUUUAGUUUUUAAUAUUAAGAAUAUUAUUAAAUAACUUAAUCUUUUUGAUGCACUAAUUGAUAUUAAUUUUUUUAUCACAAAUAACUUCAAAUAAUUAUAUAAUAAAUACAAUCUUCAAUAAUUACUCAAAAAUAAUAAGAAUUAAUCUAAUAUCAAAAGAAUUGACAACAAUAUAAAUAUCAAAACAACAAAAAAAUUUAUUAAAUUUCAUAUACAAAAUUAUAAAUUAAUAUCUAACACAAUCAAAAUAUAAUAUUUAAUUUUAAUUAAUUUUUGUCUAACUUAUAUAAAAAAUUUAUCAAUAAUUUUCAUCUACAAUCUCUAUGUAUAUCAUAUUAAAUUAUUAAUCUCUUUUUUUUUAAUUAUAAAUCUUCAAUCCCUCUAAUUAGAUUUUAUCUAAAAAAAUUUCAAAAAUUAAAAGCUUUCAAACUUAUAUUUUAAUAAAAUUUUCAAACCUAUAUUUUUUAUUUUUUAGUUUUUAAUCUUAAUAAGAGUAAUAGAUCAUAAAAUGCUAAAUUUGUUAAGUAACUUAAUUUUUUUGAUACACUAAUUGAUAUAAAAUUUUUUUAUCACAAACAACUUUUAAUAAUUAUAUAAUAAACACAAUCUUCAAUAAUUACACAAAAAUAACAAGAAUUAAUAUAAUAUCAAAAGAAUUGACAAUAAUAUAAAUAUCAAAACAACAAAAAAAAUUAAAAUUCAUAUACAAAAUUAUAAAUUAAUAUAUAACACAAUCAAAAUAUAAUAUUUAAUUUUAAUUAUUUUUCAUCUAACUUAUACAAAAAAAUUUAUCAAAAUUUUUCAUUUAAAAUCUCUAUAUAUUAUAUUAAAUUAUUAAUCUCUUUUUUUUAAUUAUAAAUUUUCAAAACCACUAAUUAAAUUUUAUCUAAAAAAUUUUCAAAAAUUAAUUACAAAAUUAAAUAAAAAAAUUCAAUCCCACCCUCCAAACACCCUACCACACCCAAUCCCUCCCCACCCCAUCAAUCCCUCCACCUUCCCCCAACAUCCCACCACACCCAAUCCCUCCCCACCUUCCCCCUAACGCCCACCACACCCAAUCCUCCCCACCCCAUCCAAUCUCUCCCCACAUGCCUAAUAUCUCAAAUUUGUUUAAUUCUUUCUAGCAAACGGCAGACCCUUCUAGAAAUGCUACUUUCUUCUGUUCAUCAUCUUCUUCGUGUUGCCUUCUUUGGCUUUCCAUAAAUUUUUUCUUAUCUUUUUUUUUUAUUUCUCAUUUUCUCUCACAUCCCUUUAUCACUGUCACUUGCUGACUUGCCUAGUAUCUACAGAUAUCUCAUUUGUCUUUCAAACUCUCACAAGAAACAACAGAUCAUUUUACAAAAAUUUUACAAAAAAAAGGUAAUUUAACUUUCUUUUCUUACUUUAUUUGAUCUUGAAUGUUGAUUGAAAACUUGAAGCUGAUUUGAAUUUGAAUGUUGAAAAUGCCGAUUGAAUGGUUGAAAGUUGAAACUUGAAAUAAUUGAUCUAUUUUCUAGCUCAUUUUAAAAUUUAUUUUAAUGAUAAAGAUCUGAGAUUGUGAGCUUUAUUUUUUGAUUUGGCUUUUACUUUUACUUUUGCAGGUUUAUUGUUUCAUUCUGCAGGCUUAAAAUUUUAUUUUUUUGUUAGAACUAUUAGAUCCGUGAGUAGAAAAACAGAAUAGCGACAAUAACGGUCCGUUGUUGUCGCUAUUGCCCAUUAUGCCAUUAUUUUACUAUCGUUACUCUCCGUUUUUACUGUGAAUGAAUUUCUCAACCACUUUUUAUCUACUAACGGUGGCAGAAGGCAGCGCUACCAUCAUUUUGCGGUCGCUAUUCCACUAUCAAACCAUUAUUUGAAUCUCUCAGCACGGUUUGGCUUAGUCCAAGUUGAAUUCUUUUUCUUUGUUUUCUAUAGCUUAGACCAACUAAAGGUUGGUUAUGCCGGAUGAAAAAAGGGAUGGAAGAAUUUAUGGCAUGACCGAACAGCUGCUGCCAGAAGGAAAAACAACAGCUGUUCAACAACAACCAGCAAAGAAAAAAAAAGAUGAGAUUCAACCAUCUUUGUAACAAGAGCACUAGAGUACAUAAAGUUAAACUUCAUCCACACUCAUACCAAAGUCCAAGCAAGCAAAGAACAAAUGAAAACACAUUGUAGAGAAGAUCCUAACUAGUGCAAAAAUGGAAUAGAAACAAUGAUAUAAAAUGGCAUACAUGCCCUUGUAUGUGGGUUGCUCAGCUUCGAAACCUCUUUUGUUUUCAAUUCCCCCCACCUUUUUUUUUCUUUUUUCAGAUCCUUCCUCCUCUUUUUUCCCUUCCUUUCUAGCAGUUUCUUCUCCAUGCUUUUAUUUGGCAGACCCUUCCAAGAAAUGCAAGAUUUUAAUCUUGCCCAACGAGGGCCCUUGGAUGAAAUCUCAUCCAAAGGCCAUAUUUAUUCCUUUUCUUAUUUCCAAGGAGACACCUUUGGCCCUUGGAUUAAAAGCCAGCAAAGGAUCCAAAGGCUCAAAUUACACACUGUAAAGGUUGAAUCUUUAUGCCUCUUAAACCCAUAAAAAAAACCAUUUUAUCCCUAGUGUAAAGUUUUAGUGUUUAUGGUCAUUUUCUUAGAAAUCAAAGUUCCCAUAGUUAUUUUUUGGAUUUUCAAGCACCAAAAAUUAUAAAUUAUUAUGAAGUUAAGAUCUGAAAUGUUUCGUGAAAAUCUGAGUUUGGAAAGAUCAAAUUACGAAAAUACCCUUAUAGAGAUAUUUUGGUAAUUUUAUACUUUUUCGGGUAUACUAUGAUUUCAAAUGCACUAAAAAUCAUGAAAUAUUAUAAAAUUACGAUCUAAAAAGUUGUACAAAAUUUUGGGCUUGGAAAGAUCAAAUUAUAAAAAUAUCCUUAUAAGAGAUAUUUUGGUAAUUUUAUACUUUUCGGGGUACAAUAAAAACUCCAACAUUUCAAAAAAUCUCAAAUUUAACUUUAAACCGAAUUGAUUUCAACUUUUGAAUUAUUAGAAUUGAGUCAAGCUCUAUCUAUUUUGACCAAGUUUCUUGCAAUUUUGACCAAGGUUGAAUUUGGAGUUGACUUUAUUAGGCCUAAAUAUUGAUUUCUUAAAGGGCAUUUUUUAUCGGCUUCAAGUGGGUUUUAUUUAACUAUGCUAAAAUAUUUCAGAUAAAAUUUAGUGUCUAUAGCUAUCUUUUUUUGCUUAUUUCUGAGAAUAAAAAAUAAUGCAAAAAAAUAAACAGUAAUUUUAUCCAGAUAAUGCUUUUGAAAUUUUCUUUUUUAACAUGUUUUGAACUUGUUUGAAAAUUGCCCUCUCCAAACAAAGGCUUUGACACUUUGAAAUUGGCUCUUCCCCAAACAGAGGCUUUGAAACUUUGACAAUAGCUAUUUGUAGACACCUAAUUUGGUCCAAGCCCGGAUCAAUUGGGCCUGGUCCAAGUGGGUAGGCCCAUUUAAUUUUGUAUUUUUGUAUUUCUUAUAUUUUUAUAUUUUAUUUUACUUUAUUUUGUAUUUUAUGUAUUUAUUAUUACUAUUUAUUAAUAUAUAUUUAUUUUAUUUUAUUAUUUUUAUUAUUUAUCUGCUGAUAUAUAUGUAUUAUUAUUUAUCUAUUUAUAUAUAAUUAUUAUUAUUUAUCUAUUUAUAUAUAUUAUUAUUUAUCUAUUAAUUAAUAUGUUAUCCUUAUUAUUAUCUUUUUAUUUUAUUAUUUUAUUUAUUUUUUUUCUUUUCUUCUUUCUUUUACCCGAUUGAAGCUGGAUUAGGAUAGAAAUUUGAGUGUGGGAUUCCAUCAGAAUCCAGAUUGGAUUCAAAGAUCGAAUCUCAAUCCAAAAGGGAAUAGGGAUUGAUCAGAAACUCUUCUGAUCAAUCUCUAUAAAUAGAUCCACGGAUCAAAGGACUGGAACACAGAAAAAAGGCAAACAGUGAAGAAACAGAAGCUUAAAAGGGUUUUGAUGCAUUAGAAUAGCUCUAAGAAUCGGUGGGAAAUUUUUAGAGAAUGUUUUGUAAAUUUUUUUCUAGAAAUUUUUGGAAAAUUUUCAGAUUUCGAUUGAAUUUUCUGACGAAGAUUGAAUUUUUCAACGACUAUUCUAGCCAAGUUUGAAUUUUUCUGCCAACUUCCAGUUUUCGAUAAUCAUUUCCAAAAACCGAUCAAUUUUCUGACAAACUUCCAGCAAACCAGAUUCUGACGAAAAUUUUUAGAAUCCGACGGACAUUCAACCAAAGUUUUUCAGGUUUUAGAGAUAAGGGAGAGAAGAGGAAGGGAGGAGAUAGAUAGAGGGAAGGAGGGUUCUGCUGAAAAAACAGAGGAAUUAGCCUUUUAUACCCUCCCAAACGACAUCAUUUUUGCGUUAGUAACCCAGAUGAUUUGCGCGUUUUACUAAGAUCCGACCCAACCCGAGCGUCAACUUGCUUUCGACCCGCGUCUCCGAGCCGUUUCCCUGAGCCAAGCCAAGCCGAGCCGAGUCGACGCCCUCUGAGCCACGUUUUCGAGUCUUUUUUUUCCUCGAGCCGAGCCGUUUCCAGGUUUUUUUUUUCAUUUUUUAUUAUAUAUAUUUUUUUAUUAUUAUUAUUUACUUAUUUAUUUAUUAGAUUAGAUUUGUUUAAUUUUUUUAUUUUUUUUAUUUUCCUUUAUUUUUAUUUUUAUUUUUAUUUUAUUUAUUUUAAAUAACAUCAAAAAAAAUAUUUUUGAGGAAAAGUUGAAAGUAUCAAUUUUCUUUGAAAAUAAGCUUUCUAAAAAAACAUAAAUAUUUUUGGGGAAAAGUUGAAAGUAUCAAUUUUCCCUGCACAAAAGCAAUCAUUUUUUUCCUUUUUUUUCUUGAAUUUUUUUUAAUGUUAAACAAUCUGACGAUGGAGCAUUUGCAAGUGAAACAGUAGUUUUCUUGCAUACUCUUGAGGUGAGGGGAUUUUUUCAAUUUUUUACUAAAAGUAUUAGAGUCAAUUGAGAAUAAUUUCUAAUAACUAAUUACUUGGUAAAUUUUUAAGCCUUAUUGGAUAACACAAAAUUAAGCUGGUACCAUCUUUUGAUGGGCGUUGUGAGGGUGCUAUAACCUUCCUCACACGUAAUCAAAAUCCCAAACCCUGUUCUGGUUAGUAGACCCGAACCUAUUCUUUUAGGAUCCUUAAACUUAGGUGUUCCCUGAAAGGAUAGAUUCCUUAGGUGGCCAAUCACACCUAGAUAAAAAAGAUUGGUGGCGACUCCUUUAAGUCAAUGUCUAAUGAUAGAUCCCCGAAUCUAGAUGUUAUACCCUUCCUAAACGAUGUCAUUUUUGCGUUAGUAACCCAGAGGAUCCAUGCAUUUUACCAAGAUCCGACCCGACCCGAGCAUCAAUCCGCUUUCGACUCGUGUCUCCAAGCUGUUUUCCUAAGCCAAGUCAAGCCGAGGCAACGCCCCCUAAGCCACGUUUUCGAGACAUUUUUCUUCCUCGAGCCGAGCCGAGCCGGGCCGUUAGCCGGGCCGUUUCCAGGUUUAUUUUUUUCAUUUUUUUAUUUUAUAUAUUUAUUUAGUUAUUUAUUAUUAUUAUUAUUUACUUAUUUAUUAGAUUAGAUUUGUUUAAUAUUUUUUUUUUUCCUUUAUUUUUAUUUUCUUUUUAUUUUUUAUUUUAUUAUUUUAUUUUCUUUAAAUAAAAUAAAAAAAAAUAUUUUUGAGGAAAAGUUGAAAGUAUCAAUUUUCCUUGAAAAUAAGCUUUCCAAAAUAUUUUUGAGGAAAAGUUUAAAGUAUCAAUUUUCCUUGAAAAUAAAUUUUCCAAAAAAUAUUUUUGAGGAAAAGUUGAAAGUAUCAAUUUUCCUCGAAAUUAAAGUUUCAAAAAAAUAUUUUUAGAGAAAAGUUGAAAGUAUCAAUUUUUCCUGCACAAAAGCAAUCAUUUUUUUCUUUUUUUUUUAAUUUUUUUUAAUGUUAAACAAUCCGACGACGGAGCCUCUGCAAGUGAAACAGUAGUUUUCUUUCAUACUCUUGAGGUGUGAGGAUUUUCUCAAUUUGCUACUAAAUGUAUUAGAGUCAAUUAAGAAUAAUUUUCAAUAACUAAUUACUUGAUAAAUUUUUAAGGCUUAUUGGAUAAUACAAAAUUAAGCUGGUACCAUCUUUUGAUGGACGUAAUCGAACUUUCGAACCCUGUUCUGAUUAGUAGACCCGAACCUAUUCUUUUAGGGAUCUUUAAACUUAGGUGUUCCCUGAAAGGAUAGAUUUCUUAGGUGGCCAAUCACACAUAGAUAAAAAAGAUUAAUGGCGACUCCUUCAAGUCAAUGUCUAGCUAUAGAUCCCCGGAUCUAGACGUUAUGACACUCUUCUCAAAUAGUAGCCAUGAAACUUUGAAAAUUUAAAAAGGUUCACCGGAGGUCUUGAAAAUUUUGCCUGGAAGUCUUAAAGAUUAUGUCCGAAAGUUUUAGAGAUUUGAAAACCUUUGAAUGCUCAUCCAAUCAGAGGCUGUGACACUUUUAAAAAAUUAAAAUAUUUUGCUUAGAGGUUGUGAAAAUUGUGCCUGGAGGUCUUGGAGAUUAUGCUCAGAGAUCUUAAAGAUUUCAAAAUCUUUGAAUGCUCCUCCAAUCAAAGGCCAUGAAACUUUUUAAAAAAUUAAAAUAUUUUCCCUGUAGGUCUUGAAAAUUAUGCCCGAAAAUCUUAAGGUUUUCAAAAUCUUUAAAAAUUUUAAAAAUUUAAAAUGCUUUGCCUUGAGGUCUUAAAGAAAUUAUGCCUAGAGGUCUUGAAAAUUAUACUCAAAGGUUUUAAAUAUCUCAAAAUCUUUGAAAAUUUUGAAAAUUUAAAAUGCUUUGGCCAAAAGUCUUGAAAAUUAUGUCCAGAGGUCUUAAAGAUCUCAAAAUCUUUGAAAAUCUUGAAAAUUUAAAAUGCUUUGUCCGAGGGUUUUAAAGAAAUUAUGCUUGGAGGUCUUAAAAAUUAUGCCCAGAGGUCUUAAAGAAAUCAAAAUCUUUGAAAAUUUUAAAAAUUUAAAAUGGUUUGCUUAGAGGUCUUAAAGAAAUUGUGCUUGGAGGUCUAGAAAAUUAUACCAAGAGGUCUUAGAAAUUUGUCUAGGUGCCAACUUAACUGAACUUAAGUCUUAUCUUGUAUUAAAACUCUUCUUAUCAUUUUUCAACAAUCUAUUUGCAAAUAAUUUUUCUUUCAGCCUUUUAAACCUUUUUAAUAUUUUGAUCUCCUGUUAAACCAUUUUUCUUUUUCUCAUCUUUUCAUGAUGACUUCUUUUUUUAUAUAUAUUUACAAAGUUGACAAAUACAAUCAUGAUACAAAUGUCUAUUUUCAUCAAAUGAUGCGAAUGCAAAUGUCGAUGCAAAUACAAAUGUCAAUGCAAAUAUUUAACACAAGUACAGGUGACUUUUUCACAAUACAAAUGCCAAUAUUCCUUUUAUAUAAAUGCCCUUACAAAUACUUUUUCUGAGGUGCAGAUGCCAUGAUGCAUAUGCAAACUUCUUCUUAUGGUGCAAAUGCAAAUGUCUUAUACAAGUGCAAAUGCAAAUGAUGCAAAUGUGAAUAUCUUUCUUGUGAUACAAAUGCAAGCGAUGCAAAUGCAAAUGUCUUUUUCAUGUUAUCGAUAUGAAUACCAAUGUCUUUCUCAUGAUGCACAUGCAAGUGCGAAUGCAAGUGAUGCAAAUGCAAAUGUCUUUUUUUGUGAUGUAGAUGCAAAUGCAAAUGGCUUUUUUCAUUUUUUGCAACAUAUAGAUUAAAUGUCUUUUAGAAAUUCAAAAAUCUCUUUUCUUUUUUUUCUUUAAAAAAAAUCUUUGCUCAAAAUUUCAAAGUUCUCUCUUCACCAAAAAUGAUCUUAAUAUCUUGUACAAAAAUGCUUAACUAAUUUUCAAAAUUUUCCAAAGCAAUCACAAAAUUACCCCACAUAAAGUGUUUUUACAAUUAAUGAGAAAAACUAAAAACACAUAACUUCUGAAUCUCUUGUAAAUUGAUGAUUACCAUUUAAAAUGCUUAUAAAUGGCAUAAUUGGCAAUUCAAUUCUUUCACUGGUGGGCAUAUUUCAAAAAAGGCUUGAUGAAGGUUAUAAGGAUUUCUCUUGAGCUUAUAAAUGAGACACUUUUCUUUUAUUGAAAACAUGAUAAAAUCAAUAUGCAUCAAAACUGAUGAUAUUUUUAGGAAAGAUUUAGGAAAAGAAAAGGGACUAUUUUUUACUUUUCACGCUUUGGUGAAAUGCAAAGUCUUCAAUGGGUACUGAUCCUUUAAAAAGUUUUGCAUUGUGACUUUUAUUUUAGAUAGAACCUUGAAACUCUAAAAUUCUUUUGGGGUCUCAAGAGUGGUUAUAGCUCUUAACAGCCCUUUUGGGCUUUCACCUUAGAGCUUUCUUUCUUUUUUUUUUUUGUUAAACAAUGAAAAACUUGGUAAAAUCUACAAGGACACUGUCAUAACGUCUAGAUCUGGAGAUCUAUCACCUUAAAAAAUUCAAAACAAAUCUGAAAGAGGAAAAAAAAAUUUCAAAAAGGGUCAAUGGUCCAAACAAAAAAUUAUGUAAUAAAUGGGCACUUCAAAAUAUUUAUGAUCAUUCUUCCAAGAGAAACUCUUCAAUUUUAAACCCUCAUGCUUGAUCUAAUAUGAACUUUUUAAAGGUUAUAAUGUAGGUUAAGGUUCAGGAUUGUCAAAGAAAAGGAUAGAAAGACUCAAAAUAAAUAUUAAAAGGUAUUUAAAACUAAUGGUCAUUUUUUUUGUUCGAAGGAUACACUUUGAGGUCUAUUCCUUUUUGCUUUCCACCCUUUCAUUUCUUCUCUUUUUUUUUCUUUUUUUUUACUGAGUGGAUUGUAAACUUUCAUAUUGAACCUUUGCCUCAACAUAUGGGAUUCCAUUCAGGUAUCCUCAUUCUUAACCCUCAAAUGUGUUCGUUUUUACCUCCCAAUGUGAAGGGUGAUCCUUAGUUAGGGUUUAUUUUGAAAAAAUUCAAUCAAGUCAAAAAGGGUAACAAAGGAUUAAUUUUUAUAUUUGUGAAAAGAUAAUGAAAGAUGGUCUUUUAUCAUUUCAAAUAUAAAAUCGAAAUUGAAUAGGAAUUCUCUUUAGGAAAAUGAUCUCGAAGAACAGUUUUUAUUUCCAUAGUUUUUUUUACUUUUUACUUUUUUUUCACAUUUUCUAAUUUGGGCCUUUUUCUUGCCCCCUUUCCAAAACUUUGAAUUUGUCAAAGACUUUAUUAGAAAUUAUUCAAAAUUUUCAAGUGCAUGAUGUUAUAACCAUUUUUUAUUUCUCUUAUUUCUCUUUUUUUUUAUUUAGGACAUUUGACUUCAUCUUUAGCAAUCAAAGAUAUUCUCAAUAUCAUAUACUUUCCUUAAAAUUGGGCUUUUAAGGAUAUCCUUAUUUUUUCUCCCAAAGUAAAAAACGAUCUUUGACCGUAGAUUAUUUUGGAAACAAAAAAAUUUAAUAAGCUUAAAAAGGUAACAAGUGGAAAAUUUUUUUAUAAGCAACAGAUAGAGAAAAAUGGCCAUUCAUUAUUUCAAACACAAUCACUUGAUUAGAAGAGCAAUGCAUUUGAAGAAAUAAAAGCUUUUAUUUGUUUCUAUUCCUAUUUUCAUUUUUUUUUAUCUUUAACUAUCAAUCAUUUUUGUGUAACUAAUGCCCUAUCUUGUUUGCCUACUCAAGGUUCUUAUGAUGAUGAGAAUCAGGUUGUAUGAGAUGUCCAAAUUUUGGAUGCAUAGUUUACAAAAGGGUUCAUUUGGUUCCAAAUUGUCUAGCAUUUUGAGGAAAAAAGAUAUUAAGGCAUGAAAACAUUGUCUUAGGCAAGAAAGAAGUUUACUUCUUUUAGUCACUAUGCCUUAAGACAUGAAACAACAGUCACUUAAAAGAAAGAGUUCAUGCAUUUUUAUGUCUAUGUCAUCAAAAGAAUUUGGAUGGUUCAAUCAUAUUGGCAAGAUUUGAUACACAUUGAAUUACCAAUUAAAAAAUUAAAAGAGUAUCUUGGUUUUUGAAAUUCAAAAUAAAUUUUUAAAAUUGGUCACUUUCAUUAAUUGCCCAAGAAAUGAUUAUGGCUUCAAUGUAUCAAAUUGUAACAUGGUUCGCAAGUGGAAAUUCAUGUCCUUUAAGGAUUAUGAAAGGAUUAAAACGUAAGACUGGUUAAGAAAAAAAAGUGUAAUGGAAUUGGAUGAGGUUUUGUUUUUUAUAAGUAAUCACCCAUGAUUUUGAGAUUCUCAUAUAAAAAAAUCAUAAAUUUCCCAUUGAAAAAGCCUAUAUUUUUAUUUGAUCUUGAAAACUACUUAUAUGGGACUUUAUUGUGAAUUUUUUUUAAUGCUUUUCAUUUAUGAUUUUAAAAAUUAAUUAUGUGAGAUUGUUAUUCAAACAAAUACAUACAGAUAAAAUUUCAUAGAAAAAUUGAAAGCAUUCCUUUCUUCCAAAAUGAUGUUUAAUAAGAUUGAUUUAAAUAACUCCUAAAGACCCAUGUAUAUAUCAUGUACAAAAGGUUAAAAGUUUAAAAGAAAACCAUUAUAUAUUGAUAUUUCAAUACUGUAGACACCCAAUUUGGUACAGACCCAGAUCAAUUGGACCUAAUCCAAAUGGGCAAGAUGGGCUCACAUUAUUUUAUUUUAUUUUAUUAUUUAUUUAUUAUUAUUAUUAGUAUUAUUUUUUUCGUUUGUUAUUUAUUAUUAUUACUUAUUAUUAUUAUUAUUAUUAUUAUUAUUAUUACUAUUAUUAUUAUCAUUUUUUUUAUUUUAUCUUUUUUUUUCUUGAUUAAUUAGGAGAUAAUGAUCAGAUUAAUUAAAAAUAAUAAAAAAAUUAUGGAAGUGGAUUUGGCCAUGAAUUUUAGGGCUGACAAAGUUGGGAUUGGAUUCAAAAAUUAAAUCCCAAUCCCAAAUGGAAUUGGGAUUGAUCAAUCCCUAUAAAUAGAGGUUGGAAUACACAGAAAAGACACCAAAGAUAGACAUAGGGUAAACAAAAGAAAUCAGAAGGAAGAAAAAGGGUUCCAAGGAAUAGAAGUAGCGUUCUAGAAUUUUUAGGAAAAUUUUUGAAUUUUUGGCAUUUUUUCUGGGAAAUUUAUGGAAAAUUCCAGAUUUCGAAUAUUUUUUCGAUGACAUUCAAGUUUUUCGAUGACUAUUUCGGUGAAAGACCUAGUUUUCGACAUGUUUUCCAUAUUUCGAUAGAACAUUCAAUCAAAAUCUGGGUUCUGUUUAGAGAGAAGUAGGAGAAAAAGAAAAAAGAGAGAGAGAAAGAAAGAAGCAAUCUGCAGACGAAUAGAAGUUAGAGCAUUUUAUACUGUCCAAAAAUGACAUCAUUUUUUUGUUUAAAGUCCCAAAGGAUCUGUACAUUUUGCCAUCAGGCGACCCGACUCGAAAGCCAACCCGUUUUUUACCCUAAUCUAACUCGAGUACCGACCGAGCCCUGAAGUCGAGCCAAGUCGAGCCGUACACUCUCGAGCUAUUUUUUUUUCUCAAGCCAAAUUGAAUCACAGCUGCUAAGCCGAGCCAUUCCAAGGUUUUUUUUAAAUUUAUUUAUUUAUUUAUAUUAUUAUUGUUGUUAUUAUUAUUUCUAAAUUAGAAUUAUUUGGUUUUUUAUUUUUAUUUUUUCUCUUUCUUUUCAAUGAUUUUUCUAAAAUAAAAUUUCAAAAAAUAUUUUUGAGGAAAAGUUGAAAGUAUCAAUUUUUCUUAAAAGUAAAAUUUCUAAAAAUAAAAAUUUUCAAAAAAAAAUUUUGAGGAAAAAGUUGAAAGUAUCAAUUUUUCUUUGAAAAUAAAAUGUAAAAAUAAAUAAUUUUAAAGAAAGUUGAAAGUAUCAAUUUCCCUUGUUUGGCGUGACUACACCUAGAUGUUCAAAAGCAUCCUUGAGCUGGUCCCUGGUGAUGCUACCCUGCUUAGAGUAUGAUCGAAACACUUGUUCCAAUUUGUUUUUCUGAUGCUUGUUAUCCUUUGCGGCUUGCAUUGUGGAUUUUGAGGUUUAUGACAGGGUGAUAUAAGAGAAAGGGCUUGCCU
rnacentral:lncRNA from 1 species